rnacentral:lncRNA from 1 species
GGAACAGACCAAAUAUGUUCACACGUGGCAUCGCUCAAGUCAUCAUCAUUUCAGACUGAAAAUCAGCCUUCAAGUGUCUGUUGAGCCAAUAAACCUUUCUAGAUAUAUCAAGUGCAAUGGAAAUUCAUGAGUUACAUAGAGAUUUGUAAACAUUUUGAAGAUUGCAACACCUGCAAGUGAGAUAGGCGGUGACGAAAUCAGAGCUGAUUUUGAAGCCUCUGAUGCCCCUGUUGUUGCAAGUUGCACCUGAGAACAUGUUUUUUUUUUCUUUGGGGUAAAAAAACUGGCAACAUGUUCGGAGCUGACAAUUCAAUCCCUGAUGAACUAGAGAAGCGAAGCUCCGGUAAGGAAUUGGUCAAGGUUGUGACAGGGAUGAUUGAUGGUGAAAUGGAUGCUAUUUCUUAUUGCAGCCUGUUCUCAAAGUUCUUGUUGGCAAAUGCAAGAGAUGGAGUAUUUUGAUUGGGAGGAGAUAUAAUGACAUGGCUUGACAAUUCUAGAACAGCCCAUCAUUAAUCCCAGAAAAAAUCCAGUUUCUGCUAAACAAUCACUUAUGGCAAGGCCAACUCUGUAAAUGGAAUUUGUGAUCCCUUGAAAUUGUACACAUUUUUUCUUUUUGAGGAAUUUAAUCAAACAGUAUUCUAAUGUAUUAUGAUAGCACUACACGCUUUUGUUGUAACAAAUUACAAGGAGGAAUUUGGAUUGAGUUUCUUGUAUAAGCACACCUUACACAAAUUUGGUAUAUUUUCUUCCAGCAAGUCUGUUUAUUAACCCCCUUAUCUGAAAUUAAUUGUUAAAAGUUUUGAUUCAUCUUUAAUCAGUGUCUAACCCUUGUUGAAUAACACUCCUCUUUCUAAUUUAUAUUUGAAGUUUGAGGUUUCAAUUUCAAUUGUGGGCUUUGAUUUUACAGAUUUUGUUUGUCAAUUUCAGUUUGGACAAAGCAUAUGCAAACAAAAUAAGCAUUUUAUGUUAUACUUUUGAAAUAGGUGUUGAUUUGAUUUAAUCAUAAGUUUUGCUGGUGCAUUUACUAGGCUAUCAUUCAAUACUUUUGAUCAUAGAACUUCUUUGGUCGAUAUUAUCUUUGUUAAGUUUAACCAUAAAUUUAGAGAGGGGACUUCAACAGAUUUAUAAUCUCAUCAUUAUAGUAUUAAAAAUUAGAGAUUAAGGCAUUGUCUAUUAUCUGAAUUCUGCUUACUUUUAGUUCAUAUGUUUACAUCUUAGCAUAUUCAUGCGAUUAGUGCGGCUCAUACCACAAAGGCAACUUUAGGCUCAUCAAGUGCUAAGCAAUGUCAAGCUUCCAAGUGACAAGUUCUCUACAUAGUUUGAGACCUACACUUACUAGAUAUUAGAUCAUUUCGAUCAUUUCCAUAUGUUUAUAUGUAAUUGACAUGUUAUAACAAUUUUUGUAGCGUUAUAUAAUUAUUUAGCAAUUUAAUUAUUUCUUUGCAUCAAGAAAUAGUUCUUAAGUUAUUAAAAAAAAAAAAAAAGAUUUAAAAAAAAAGAUUUGUUGAUGCUUAAAAAGCAUCAAGAACAGGUAGUUUCUUGACGGUUUAGUGACGUUUCAUAACUGUAGGAGGCUUUUUCUUCCGACAGCUGUAAAUGGGCUGGGUUGCCGUAAAGGGCAGACUGAUGAAAUUGUCCCCUUUUGUCUGAGCUAGAAAAUUAAGCCCCAAAAUACUUCGAAAGGGCAGCAGAGCCUUAGGAAGUAUUUUGGUUACCCUCACCAACUAAAACAACAACAACUUACAGGUAAUUUCUUAAUGCUUACAGAUGAACUCUUGAGCUUGGCAUGAGAGACAUGUGGCAUGGAAGCAAAAUCAACAUGAGUUUAGCACUGAGGGGAAAUUUAGGCUCUCUUGGGGGAAAAAGGGAAGUGUUAAGGUGAGAGAGGAGAAGUUUGUAGGAGAUUUAGCUAAGAAAGGAGAAAUAUAGAACAAUGCUCUUCUGGCAGCUUGACAGAUGCUCUGUCUGCCAGAAAAGGAAGAUGGAGAAGAAAUGUGAAUAGUGCACGAGUUUGCUAGAUUUUUGCAGGUAAGAGAGGAAGCUUGCUCUCUGGGUCUGAGUUGAGUUUUGUUAGGUGGAAGAGACCUCAUUUUAUAGCUCCUGGAAACCAUCACUUCCCAAGAAACCCUAAUGGCUUCUACCCAUUUUGGCCAAGCUUUUCCAUUCCUUUCUCAUUUCCUUCCUUGACUUUACCCCUCUUGAUGAAAUCCUCUCUACCUAUUUGCACCAGAUCAGAGUUUUUUGAAGCUUAAGGCCCCCUUUUCCCGCAGUUGUCUCAAUGGGAGACUUUCAUUCCUAGUCAUUUCCUUUAUUGCUUUCCUUUCUUUUUUUCAUGGCCAAGUCUGGUGGGGAAAGGAGUUGGGAUAAAUAUGCUAGUUUGAAGGGUGCUUCUCUUCUUGGCAUCUUACACACUAAUACCCCUUGGUUCCUUGAAUGUUUUGGCUUUGAAACUUGCUCCCCUCCAUGUAUUGGAACCUCCCAGCAGCCCUGGUCAAUGAAUCUUCAGACCUUCUCUUCGUGGCUUUUAUUUUUUUAUCAACUGGCUAGGGCUUUUGUGGCUCAUUGGGGCAAUUGUAUGGGCUAAGGUGGUUCAUUAAGUAAGUGGGCUAUUUUUAUUAAACAUUGAGCUUUUUGGUUGAGUCACUAGGCUAUUUUGAUUGGGCUAUUGGGCUAUUGUUUCCUCUCUUGUGCUCACCCACAUGUUUGGACCAAAGAAAUGAGCUUGAGUCCUGAGGCUCCCAAGCGACCCGAGACUUUCCAUUUAUCGGUCCAUCAAUGGGCCUCAUGUUGAUUUAUUACCAUCCAUACCACACCCCACUCAAGCAAGCCCCGGGCAUUUGAGUGGCUUGGGCCCACUUAGGCUUGUAGUGUGGUUGGGUGCAAAAUAACGAUUUCGUGCUUGGCAUGUUUUAAUUUUAUCAUCCAUGGGAAAGGCUGCGAUGUUUGAUUUCGGCAUGGGCUUGUAGAGCUGGUAUGCUUUAUUUCAACUCCUAGCAUGACGAAUUAUUUAUUUAGCAUGGCACGUGAAUUACAACUCGCAUGUGGUGGGUUUUUGUGUACUACACCUUACGCCUCUUCUUAAUAGAACAUCGUUUCUGAUAAUUUAUUUGGGCCCAACCGUGAAUUUUUUGGAUCUCAAUAAUAACCAUCAUGAAACAUUACAUUUUGACUGACAUCAAGAAAUGGGGUAUCCCUUUCUUGAUAGUGGCAUCCAUGAUGCCUUCCAAGCCGUCAAUUAAGGGCUAUCGCGAUGCAUUUUAGUUGUCAGCAAAAGGUGUUUUUCUUGUACUAUAUUCACUCAAAAUCGUGUUUCAUUUAAGAUUAGUAGUAUGGUUGAAUACCAUUUGUUUUGUUAAAGAAUAUUAUACAUUAGGGAUUUUUGUAGAAAUGUCAUUUGAACUUAUACCUUAGUUUCAAUUUGUCACCUUGAAGAAAAAUUUAAGAGAAAUAUCACCUUAAUUUUUUAAAAUCCAUGAUUUGUCAUAUGACUUUAAGAUCAUCCAAUUUUCCAUCCAUUUUAAGGGUAUUUUAGACUUUUCAUUUUCAAGGAAAAAAAAGAGAUGAAAAAAGAGACCUCUCUCUUACUUUGUCCCCCAACCCAACCCCACCCGCCCCCAAAAACACAUCACAUAGGAUUGCCUCCCCCUUCCCCACUUUUCUUUUUUCUUUUUGUCAUACUUUUCCACUGUGUUUAUGUUGAAGGAUCUAAAGUUUGCUUGGUCACCAUCUUUUACGUAGGCUUCCUAAUUGUUGGUUUGGGUGGGUUGUGGGAAUUUGUGUGUGGAGGGCAAGGCUCUAUCUGACAGGACCCACCUCGAAUUCCUCGAAACCCGAGACGAAUCUUGUAGAAUUUCCGACAUCACACCGAUGCCGGGUCCACUUCUGAACUAAAUCCUCUUUUCCAAAAUUAAGGAAAAAUAGUACGAGGCUUUCUGCCAAAAUUUCGGCAGUCUUCCCUAUAAAUUUAACGUUUCAGCUUUGGAGGCCGUUCUUUCAUUUCUGCUUUGGUGGCCGGAUGAGAGAACGGCCGGCUAAAACGUGGCCAGCUGGCACUGCCGUCACGAGAGAGAGAGAGAGAGAGAGAGAGAGAGAGAGAGAGAGAGAGAGAGAGAGAGAGAGAGAGAGAGAGAGAGAGAUGUUUAUCAAACCAUUUUUGCCAAAAUUACGAUUAUGCAACUGAGGGUAUUUUGAUCGUAUCUUUUUCGUUAUAACUCCGAUUCAAGCCCACUACAUAUCUACGGACUCAUCUCGCCGUGCUCUAUGCAAUUGUAUAGUUGAAAUUCCCAAAUUCCAUCCCAGUCAAAAAGUCAACUUUAAACCUUAUAAAAUAUUCUAAGGGCAAAAUGGUCUUUUAUCUAAUUAAAUUAAUAAUUGAAAAUUUAUUUAGGACCGGGUCGUUACACUGUCGUUGAUGGACUGUGCGAUGGCACUCACACAAAGUCCUUAAGAAUAAAACACACACACACCAUGAAGAGAGUAAAACAAAUGCACAAAGAUUUAUAAAGGUUUGGCCUCCUGCCUACAUCCUCUUGGUGAUCCACCCGAGAAAUUCACUUGUACGUAAGAACAACUUUGGUUACAACUAAACCCCCUUAGCUUUCAUAAGAACCCUAGAUCUCUUUUCUCCCACCCUUGCUCCAACCCUUUGAUGCCCUUGUAAACACUCAAGAAUUCAUCCUUGAAUUCUAUCAUGUGUUACAUCUUCUCUUCUCCCCUUUGCCAACCUAACCCUACAAGUUAUAUUUAAAAUUCAUUGGACUUUAAGUACAAGUUAACUAGGAAUAGGAAACAUAAAAGACCCCAAAAAUUGGAGAAAAUAUGUCUAGAUCUCAUUAGGAAAUUGCACAACACGUGCGAUCCUCUCGAGCGCCUGCAAAAUCAUCCCUUUGCCGCUCGAGCUGCCGAUAGCUCAUGGGAUGGGGGAAUUAGAAAUUUUUUUUUUUCAAUUUUAAUUGUUUAAAAGAUAUACAAUUUAUUAAUAAUAAUUUUUCCAUUUUUAAAAUACCCUUGAAAAUAGAAAGAUUAAAAUGCCCUUAAAAAUGGAUGGAAAAUUGGAUGGUGUUAAGGUCAGAUGACAAAUCAUGGAUUUUGAAAAAUUAAGGUAACGUUUCUCUUAAAUUUUUCUUUACAGUGACAAAUUGAAAUUGAGGUAUAAGUUCAAGUUACAUUUCUGCAAAAAUUCUUAUACAUUAUGAUAUUCUAACAAUAAUUGGCUAAAAUUGAUAUGUUCCCUCUUUUAUUUUCUUUUUCUCUUUUCCUUUUCAUUUUAUGAUCCAAUCCUUUUCAUAUAUUUUUGUUCAAGACUUUGUUUUAUAAUGCUCUAUUACUAAUUUGGUACAGGUCCCUAAAAUCUCGGAGCCGCCUUAGUACAUUCAUAACGUACAUGUUCAGAGUUCAAGAAUAAUGUAUAGAAUGUGAAAUUGACGAUGCCGGCCUUUAUGAGGCAACAUCUUUAUUUCUUUGGUUAUUCCAGUUUAGAAUAUUUGCACAAAUGAGAUGACUCCAAGCAUAAAGUCACAUUCGACCAAAAAGCAUAAAGUCACACACAAAAAGAACACGGACAAUUGCUAAGUUUAUCCUUGUACCCUUAUUUUAUUGAUCCGACCCAAUUGAAAAAUAAAAAAAGAUGAUAAAAAAUAUUGUUCACUGCUUUAAAAUCUAUGAGUAGAGUCCUCCAUUUGAAAUUUGGUCAUUAUACAAAAUUGGAAUGAAAAAAGAAAAUCCUAAAGCUAUAUUUGAUAUAUUUCAUUUUCAUUUUUUGCUGGGUGUUAGGGCUCGUCAAUGGGCCGGGCCUGGCUAGCCCGGCCCGAAUUUAAUGGGCUUGGGCCAGGCCGGCCCAGGCUUUAAAGAGGAGAGAGAAAAUAUCAGGUCGAGUUUUUUAAGAAAAUUCAAAGCCCAAGCCUGACCCAUGAGCCGGGCUUGAGAAAGCCCAUCGGGCCGGGCCGGGCCUAAACGGGCCCUACUUCAUUCAAAAAAAAUCAUUAACUUAAUCAUAAGGUCAUUUUAGUCCAAAUUUGAGAUUAAACUCACUUAAUUCUAAUAUUUUUACUUCAAACCAAAUUCAUAAAACACCCAAUAAAGUCACACAACUUGUAAGAUUUUCCACAAAAAUAAUAAAACCAAGUAUUAUUUUUGAGGUUAUUACAUAAUUAGAUCGUAAUACGUUUUAAAAAAUAAUUUUUAAAAAUAAUAUUAAUAAGUAUCAAAAAAAUAUUUUUUUAAAGGAUGGUAUGAAUAAAUAUGCAAAUAUUUGGUGAUGUGUUCAAGAAAAGGAUGAUUAUAUUUGGUGGUACGAUUAUGUUUCGUGAUACGAUUAUAUUUAGUGAUGUGAUAUGUUGUUCAUCUUAUAUAUAUAUAUAUAUAUAAUUGUUGAACUAAUAAUUGACACAAAUUAAUGUGUUAAUCAUCCAAUUAUAAACUAGGAGUGAAUAAAGAAAAGUAAAUGAAAUGAAACAAAUUAUAUGUGUGAUUUAAGUGAUAUAAUCCUAAACCUAAACUCUUAUUUAUACAUAAUUAUAUAUGUAUGCGGGCCUAACGGGCCGGACUUUUGUGGGCGUGUCGGGCCGGGCUUUCUUGGGCUUAAUCAGGCUGGACCUAUGGGUCAGGCCGGGCUUCAAACACCCCAACACGAGCCUAGCCUAGCCCGCCUUGGGCCGGGCCAUCUCAAAGCCCAUAACGAGCCGGAUCGGGCUUUUUUCGAUUGGCCGGGCGGGCCCCCUCGACCCAUGAGCCCGCGGGCCAAAUGAUGAGGCCUACUGGGUGUUCAAUUUUUCUUGUUUCUUGUUGAAAAGAAAAAUGAUAAUUAAUAAAAUCUGAUUUGGUGGUUGUGCUCGUCACAAAUCAAUGAAAUGACAGCAGUGAUUUUGCAAGACAGCAUACCUUCUCUUGGGGUGCUUUUCAUUUUGCAACAUUUCUUUACGUGUAAUUUCCAGAGGAGGGUUUAUCAUUGUAUAUAGCUCUUCGGGUGGUUUUUUCUGCAAAACAAAUGUCACAAGGAAGGAGGAGAAACGGAAAAGAUUUACUUGGAAUGUCUCAAGUCUCCUUUGAGAUAAAGGCAUCGAAUGCACAACAUUGUUUUUGUGCUAUUUCAUAAUUAAAGUGUGCUUCCCAAGUCUCCUUUGCGUUUUGUAACUUGUAAUGUUUGUUUUUUUGUUUCCCCUGUUUUGUCUUUUAUAAAAGAAAGAGGAAUGCUAGCAACCUUCUCUCUAAUCUUCUCUUUUGGACCUUCUCCCUUUUCUUUUUGACAAGUGUCAUUUUCCAUACACUUAAAACAAUGACAUUAAUGCAUCACACAAUUUAGUUUUUGUUUUCCAAGUUUACCAUUUUAAAAUGUAUUGGCUUUUAUAUUUCCUUCAAUUAUUCACAUUUUGUUAUAACUUGUUUAGCACAUUAUUUUUUUUAAUUUAAAAAAAGUCAUAUUUUUUAAAAAUAAAAAUAAAGUUUGUUUCAUGACAUUGUUAUCAUUUUUAUUUUGUUUUUAACAAAACACGCAUUCUCUUUGGAAAAAUUAAAAAUUAAAAAACAAUUCAGUUUUUAUUUUCUUAUUUAAUUUUUAACAAGCUAGUAAGAAAGUUAUAAAAAAAAAUUAGCUUGUUAUUAAAAAAAAAUUAAUACAUUUAAUAAGGGUAAAUUUGGAAAACAAAAACUAGUUUGUGUGAUGCAUUAAUGACAUUGUUUUUAGUUUAAGGAAAGUGACACUUGUCAUGAGAAGAAGGGAGAAGGUCCAAAAGAGAAGGUUAGAGAGAAGGUUGUUAGCACUCCCCAUAAAAGAAAUACAGGUCUGAACCACACGGAUCUACUUGCAUAAUAAUGGACCAAAUUUAUGAUUUUUAGAAAGAACCUUCUACUGGUGGAAUCUUGGGCUACUGUUGUGGCUCUCCUCUGUGUGCCUCCUUUUUAGAAUGGUAAAAUAUUCAAAAUACCAGAAAAUGUUCAUGAUUAAUGCAAAUAUUAAGAAUUGAAAUUAUUAAUUAAAUGAAGAUAAUAUGGUAAAUUCACACUUUUUCAUAUUAAAAAAAUUAAAAUUAAAAGAAAUAUCAGAUAAUUACUCUUAUUUUUAUGGAACACAGCUACCCAUUAUCUUUUUUAAUUAUAAAAUAAAUUUAAAUUAUAAAAAAAAAAUCCUCUCACAUGCACGGAAGCGCGUGCUCAGAGGCUAGUUAAAAAUAAUGAACUUUGCUUCUGAUGUCUAUACCAGACCCACUCAACCUGCUUUAUGAUUAUACAAAGAACAAACUCGUCCUUAGACUCAUUUGGUUAAACUUAGAAAAUAAUGAAACAAAAAUAUACACACCCACAAGUAACACAGCCAGGAUUGAAAACAACUGGACAAAGAAAGGCAUGUUAAAACAGAAUUUUCAACAACUCAUCACCAUUAGACAAGAAAAAGAAAAAUCAAUACAGAAACAGAAAGAACAGAGAAUAAAUGUGGUGGAAGAAAAACGUUGAAGCCAUUUGUGAAUCCAACAACACUACCACUCUGUUUCUCUCCUUUUGUUCAGGCGGAUCUGCAUAUAUCCUAAGGCGUAUUACGGAAACAACUUCUUGCCGUUAUACUUGAAUGUUGUGGAUGCUUCAACGUUGCCAUCUGGGUGGAGUGGAUUUGUCCAAUUCACCUUCACUAUGGUUAAUCAACUAGACAGACAUAAGUCAGAAACAAUAGGUAUAUAGGUCCAAAUUGUUGUUAUUUGAAAGGCUUCUAAAUUUUAACAUUUUGAUUUCUAAAUUUUGUUUUAAUAUUUCGGCCCACUUAGUUCUUCUCAAAAUAUGUCAUCAAUAUCGUUGAAAGGUUGAACUUAGUGAAUUAUUAUAGUGCAGUACGGUAAAAUAGGCACAUGAUAUAAUUUGUCCACAUGUUCUAAUAUAAGUGAAUAUUUAUUGAUAUUAUUUUCAAAAAUAAAAAAUAUCAACCAUUACAUCCUCCCAUAUUAUAAUACAUAUACAAAUUAUACCACAUUAUCAUACUCUAAUACCAUUUUAUAAUUUCUCGUACUUAGGAGGUAUAGAGCGAGUCAAUGACAUUACAUAAUAUAUAAUUGUUCAUAUAAUGGGGCAACUAACGUGAUCAACAAGUUGUGGUGAUUAAUUUAACAUAAUAAAAAACAUACCAUUUACUAUGUAACAAUUUGUUCUUUUAAAUUGGAUUGUCAUCACUUUAAUAUGUUAUGUUUCUUAUUCUAGUCUCCCAUGUUAAGUGCUUCAGCAUUGUUUGUGGUGUGUACACAAAUUUUCUUAUAAAAUGUUUUAAUGCUUCUCACAUGUAUAUCAGAUAUAGACAGUUGAUGUGACUUAGAAAUCAAAUUGUCAAUAAAGAAAAAAAAUAUAAUUGGUGAUCGAGGUCCAAUUUAAUAGAAAAUAGUCUUAAUUUGUAUAUUAAAGGUUUCAGAUUCGAAUCCUCACUGCAUUAUUGUUGUAUGCGUACACGAGAAAUUCUAUUUCCCAAUAAUUUAGAUUAUCACUUAUACUAAAAAAAAUAUAUAUAAUAAGUUUUACGAAUGCAAACAUAAAAUUACACCAAACAAUAAUGGAAUAGAAAGAUGGAAGUUUUUUUUUUUUCCUACAUCUAAAGUAUACUUUAUAUAUAUAUUUAUUAUGGGAGUUAUAACCGUUUAAUUUUCAGUUUUUAUUUUCUAUUUAUUGUGUUAAUUUUUAUGGUUUAAUAUGUAUGGAGAUUACAAGUAUUGGAUGUCUAUAAAGGGCCACUCCUCCUUCACAUCUGAAACAAACCACCAUCUCAUUUCUGUAUUUUCAUACUUUCAUAUAUUUUCUACUUUCCAGAUUAUUAUUUUUGGGCAACGGUUUUGUGACUUGGAGAUUUCUAUCCGAUUGUUAACAUGCUCAUAACGGACCUUGAGCUUGCGUAUUGGGGAUCGUAUCUUGGAGCCUUGUAGACCUUUAUUACGUGCAUGUAGGGAGGCUACAAAUGCUUUAGGUCAGCGUCUUUGACGUACUUUUGCUUUCUUUUUUUACUUAUUUCUUCGUUUCUUUAUUUUUACUUUACUUUUAAAUCUUUAUUUUAUGUAUUAUUUAUAUUUAAAAGUUUUGAAUAAGAGUUUUACAGAAAAGGAAAAACACAAUUUCAAAUAACACAAAUUUCUCGUUUUUUGUUCUUAAAAAAGAAGAAGCAUUGAUUGGGGAGUUAUGGUAAACUCAGUUUCAAUGGUUGCGAUGAGAGGCGGUGGCGGCGAGGAGAGGACGAAGGCUUUGCUGCCGACGGGGUGGUGUGGCUGGCUGCUUGGUCCUGGGUUCUCCUUUAAUUCUCUGUUUUCUUUUUUCAUUUUCUUUUUCUCUUAGAGUUAUUGAUGUUAAGUGAAUGGACAGAUGCCAAAAUAGGGACAGAAGAUGUGAACCCAAUUAUAUACAGCUGCUGCUAUAGCUGAUUACAUAAAGUAACAAAUUAAUUAAUGCUUGAGUGGAGGACAGGCUUGAGUGGAAGAAUUGAUUAAGGCUUGAGUGGAAGACAAACUUCAGUGGAGGAAAGUAUAGAUAAGGAAAGCAUGCCUCGUUUAACGGCUUUAUCUAAUAAAGAUUACUUGUUGGCACUUGGAGUUUCUUAGGAAUGCUGGUUUUGUUUCCUUGGUGGACUUGAAAGGUGGUGCCUUGGCUCGGACAUCUCCCAAGACAUACAACUGCUCAUUAGCUGAAUAUCUCGCUCUCUUUAAAGAGAUCGAAGCAAACACAAUUUGCAAUUUGUGUGAUUCAAGCAUGAAUAUCUGAUAUAGUAACUAUACCAUUUGUUGGUUUGAUAAGAAAAGUUUGGUUAGCGAGGAUGAAACCAUAAAGUUCCCAAAACACACAAAGAACACGGACAAUUGCUAAGUUUAUUCUUGAGUUCACACAUAUUUGCACAAAUGAGAUUAUUCCAAGCAUGAUUAUACCAUUUGUUGGUUUGAUGUGAAAAGUAUGGGCAACGAGGGGUAAAACCAUACAAACACACACGAAGAACGUGGACAAUACUAAAUUUAUCUUUACGUUAUUGAUCCGACCUAACUGUAAAAUAAAAAAGAUGAAAAUAUAUAAUGUUCAGUACUUAGAUCUAUGAGCACUUGCACAAAACAUCACUUUUGGUCUUUGGUAAAUUUUUAAAAUAAAUGAAUUUUUUACUUAUUUGUGAACUGAAAUGCCUCUAAAAAAAUAAUGAUAGUUCGAAGAAUUUGAUAGAAAUUAAAAAAUAUCCUCAAAUUACUUGGAAUUGAAGACCACAUAGGCAAAAACACGAAAUUGAAACCUCACUUUAAUGAUAAAAAUGGUAAACUACAAAGACAAAAAUGACGUCUUGCCUUAUAAAUAAUUGGAAUUUGCUGGUGAUAAUAGUCGAUAUCAUCUUUUGUCGGUCCGACCUAAAAAGAAGAAAAAGUUAAAAGCAUCUUGUACCAAUUUUUGCCAAUGUGGGCCCAAACAAUUUGAAGAAGUCCACCGGCAAUUUCUCAAAAGCUAUUGUGUGAGUGUGAAGCUAAACCAAUAUUAUUUUGCAUAUCCGACCCCACAUCCCCAUGUGAUGUGAGGCUACAGAGGUGUUUCCAAAACGAAAUAUGAUAUUUCAAAACGUAGCUAUGUAUAGAGUCAUUUGUAUUUGCUUUCACAAUAACAUUUGAUUUUAUAUUUAUACAUUCUGAUAUUUUAACAAAUAAAUUGACUAAAUUUGGCCAACAGGAUUUAGCCGAAUAGAAAAGUUCUUAUUUAUGGACUAGUAAUUUUAAAUUUAAAAUUUAGACUAUCGCAUGUAUUUAAAAAAAACUAAACAAUUGGCUUAAUUUGAUAUAUUUCCUUUUUUUCCUUUUUGCAUUUUAUGCUGGUUGCCGUUAUUAAGUUUUAUCCUUAUUUUUUGUUGAAAAGAAAAUUGAAAAAAAUAAUAAUAAUUCCUACAGCUAGCAACUUCUCCACCUACAAAAAAUAAUAUUUUUUGUUUUAUCCUCAUGUGAGGCUACAGAAAAUUUUUGAAAACGAAACUGGAUAUUUUAUCUCUAACGACAGCUUUCAUACUUCGUUUACCCUGUGUUUCCAAGUUGUGCUAGCUAUUUGCAAACCUUGGAAUAUUACUUCAUCCAAAUCCCUUGCAGAGAAAAGAAAGAUAUGGCUUUGAUCGGAGAGGCCCUCAUCUCUGCUACCAUCCAGACGUUGUGUGACAAAAUUGCUUCGCCUGAGUUCACCGACUUAUUUCGGCAGAAAAAGCUCGAUGAACAACUCCUCAACAAGCUGAAGACGACGCUGUUGACCUUGUCCGUAGUGCUUAAUGAUGCAGAGGAGAAGCAAAUUGAGGAACCUUUAGUGAGAGACUGGCUUGACAAUCUCAGACAUAAUGUCUUGGCUGCGGAGGACUUACUGGAUGAAAUCGACACUGAAGCUUUGCGAUGCAAACUGGAAGAAGGUGAAGGUCAAACCCACAAUUUAACCAAGAAGGUACGUGAUUUUUAUCAACGCAUGAAUGUUGAGAUGAAAGAUUUAUUAGAAAGAUUAGAACAAUUUGUACAAGAGAAAAGUGCUCUUGGUUUGAGAGAAGGUGCUGGGAGGAAGGUUUCACGAAGAACAACAACUUCCUUGGUUCAUGAACCUUGUGUCUAUGGUAGAGAUGAAGUCAAAGAAAAUCUGUUGCCAAUUUUGUUAUCUGAUGAUGCAAGUAAGGAUGAUGUGUCUGUCCUCACCAUUGUUGGAAUGGGUGGGAUUGGCAAGACAACCCUUGCCCGACUGCUUUAUAAUGACGAUGAGGUGAAAGAACAUUUUCCACUUCACGCUUGGGUUUGUGUUACGGAAGACUAUGAUUCUAAUAGGAUAACUAAAACUCUUCUAGAGUCAGUCACCUCAAAGUCUUCUAAUAUGACAGAUCUAAAUUUACUUCAAGUUGAACUAAAAGAACAACUCAAGGGAAAGAAAUUCUUAUUUGUUUUGGAUGACCUAUGGAAUGAGAAAUAUGGUGAUUGGAAACGCCUCCAAACUCCUUUUACUUCUGGGGCAAGGGGAAGUAAAGUCAUUGUAACAACACGGAGCCAACAUGUAGUAUCUGUCCUGCAAAGUGUUCAUGUUCAUCACUUGGAACCCUUGUCGCACGAAGAUUGCUGGUUCUUACUUGCAAAACAUGCAUUUGGAAAUGAAAAUUGCAGUGAUCCAAACUUGGAAGAAAUUGGCAAGAAAAUUGCACACAAGUUCAAUGGGUUGCCUUUAGCUGCAGAAACACUUGGGGGUUUGUUACGUUGCAAUAUAGAUUCAGAGGAAUGGAAUACAAUACUAAAUAGCAGUAUUUGGGAGCUACCCUAUGAUAAAUGUGACAUUCUUCCGGCUCUUGGGUUGAGUUACCAUUAUCUCUCCUCCCAGUUAAAACGAUGCUUUGUUUAUUGUUCAAUUUUUCCAAAGGAUUAUGAGUUUAAAAAGGAAGAUAUAGUUCAAUUUUGGAUGGCAGAAGGUUUAAUUCCAAAAGCUGAGAAUGGAAAGAGCAUAGAAGCGGUAGCUAGAAAAUACUUUGAUGAGCUGUUGGCACGAUCGCUAUUUCAAAAGUCAAGCAAAUCCGGUUUCACAAUGCAUGAUCUCAUUAAUGACUUGGCCAUGUUCAUGUGUAAGGCAUUUUGCCUUAGGUUGGAAGGGGGGGAAUCACAUGUCGUAGAAAAAGUUCGGCAUUUUUCAUAUGCUAUGGAAAGAUUUGAUGCAGCUCCAAAAUUUGAGCCAUUACAUAGGGCUAAGUUUAUGCGGACCUUUCUACCCAUAUCAUUAAAUUUUGUUUCCACUUCUUAUGUAACUAAAAAGGUUCUACAAGAUUUGUUGCCGUCACUAAGAUGUUUACGGGUGUUAUCAUUGUCACAUUAUCAAAAUGUUACUGUGUUACCUGAUUCUAUUGCAAACCUCAUUCACUUGCGCUACUUGGAUCUUUCCGGUACCGCAAUUGAAAGGUUACCUGGGGUACUUUGCAAUCUCUACAACUUGCAGACAUUACUAUUGUCAAAAUGUUUCUCACUCCUUGAAUUGCCUGCAGACAUUAGAAAAUUGACUAAUUUACAGAAAUUGACAUUGCUCGGUUGUAGUUCUCUUAAUAAAUUGCCUGCAGGCAUGAAGGAGUUGACUAAUUUGCAUCAUCUUGAUGUCAGUGGAACUAAAAUUGAAGAGAUGCCGGUGCAAAUGGGUAGAUUGAAAAGUUUGAGAACAUUGACUGCAUUUGUUGUGGGCAAAUCUACUGGGUUAGGCAUAAGAGAACUGAGGCAGUUCCCGCAACUUCGAGGAAAACUAUCAAUUUUGAAGCUACAAAAUGUAGUUGAUGCGAGGGAUGCACUGCACGCCAAUAUGAAGCACAAGAAAGAUCUCAAGGAGUUAAAGUUUUCAUGGGGUGCGGAGGAUGCUGAUGAUUCCCAAAAGGAGAAAGAUGUACUCGACAAGCUCCAGCCUUGCGUGAAUUUGGAGAAAUUAUCCAUCAAAUUCUAUGGUGGAACCAAUUUUCCGAAUUGGUUAGGAGACUCGUCUUUUUCUAACAUACAAGUCAUGCAUCUCAGUGACUGUAGUUAUUGUUGGUUGCUCCCACCAGUUGGACGGCUACCGGCACUCAAAGAGCUCUGUAUAAAAAGAAUGAAGUCUUUGAGGACGAUUGGCGUUGAAUUCUAUGGCAGAAAUGGAGCUUAUCUGACUCAGCCAUUUCGAUCUCUGGAGAAGCUAGAGUUUAGGGGGAUGCCGGAGUGGGAGGAAUGGGUACCAAGUGGAAGUGCAAGUGGAGGUGAAUAUGGUCCAGACUUUCCUCGUCUCCAAAAGCUGAUUCUAAACGAGUGUCCGAAGCUAAGAGGAAGUUUGCCUUGUGAGUUGCCUUGCUUGAAGAAGCUUACGGUGUAUGGGUGUAAGGUUUUACAUGAUGGAAGGACCGCUACCGCAACUACCAAUAGUGUUAACUAUAAAUCUCUGGAAGAAUUGGAUAUAAGUGGUGGAUGCCAAACUCUGUUAUCAUUAUUAGAGACAAAGCUCCUGUCCCGACUUCGGAUUCGAAAUGUUGUUGACAUACAGUGCUUGCCCAACUGCAAUCGUCUUCAACGUUUGACUCUUUGCCUAACGCUGUCAUCGUUUCCCAAAGAUGGCCUACCCACUACAUUGACAUCACUUUAUAUAAACAAUUGUAGGAAAUUAGAAUUCCUACCUCAUGAGAUGUUGGCCAAAUUAACAUCGCUUGACUAUUUGUGCGUACAAAAUAGCUGUGAUUCAAUGAGGUCCUUCCCGUUGGGCAUUUUUCCCAAAUUGACGACGCUUCAAAUUCGUGGUUGUGAGAAUCUGGAAUCUUUUUCCUUGAUUGAAGAAGAAGGAGCUGUUGACAAUCUCAGCCAUCUCAAUUCCUUGCGUGUCUAUAACUGUCCAAAAAUGGUGUGUUUUCACGAGGGAGAAUUGCCCACUCCCAACCUGAGUCACUUUGUAGUCAUUGGUUGCGAGAAUUUGAAGUCAUUGCCCGAACGCCUUCACACCCUCACUGCCCUUCGAUCUUUGAAUAUAUGGAAUCUUCCGAAUCUGGAGUCAUUUGCAGAAGAUGGGGGUUUGCCUCCCAACCUCCGAUCUUUUAUCAUUAGGAAUUGUAAGAGACUGAGGGCACUUGACUCAGUGGGUUUGCAAGCACUUGUCUACCUUCAGAUCGAUGGAAGUGACCAUGUCUUGGAGACGUUGCUGCUCCCUACCACUCUUCACACUCUCUGCAUCUCUGAUCUAUCAACUCUGAAAUCUUUGGACGGAAAGGGUCUUGGACACCUCACUUCUCUUCAAACUCUAAAAAUUUACAGCUGUCCAAGUCUUCAAUGCCUGCCAGAAGAGGGUUUGCCGCCAUCUCUUUCUCAUCUGAGUAUCCGCUGUUGUCCUACCCUGGAGGAAAGGUAUAAGAAUAAAACGGGACAAGAUUGGGCAAAGAUAUCUCACAUUCCUUGCAUCGAGAUAGGGGAAGAAGUGAUCAUAUAAUAUGAGCUAUUCCAUAUUUCACGCUCAACCCUCAACUCUCAAAUCAAAGUCAGGUGAGGUAUGUGCCUUCUCUUACUUUAAAAAACUGCUUCUCUUCUUCUAAUUGAAUACAAAAACCAAAACACAUAUUCUCUUUCUCUUCCAAAAACCCAAAUACAUGUUGGACAUUGCCCAAAUUUGUCUCCAAAUUCCUAGUUUAAAUCAAAUUUAAUGCCUAUGGAUAGUUUGUUAAUAGGUUCAUGCCAUGAAUUAAUCUUUGGACUUUCCCAGGUACUGCAGGUUUGUUAUUAAUGUUGUGGCCUGAUAUUCGUCGUAUCAAUACGUUGAGGAGAGAGAUCGAUCAGCAAUUACAAAAUUGUUAGUGAAUUUAGCUUGUUUAUCAUCUCUCUCCUUUUGUUUGUUAAGUUUUGUUGUUCUAGGUUAAACCCUUGUCCCCGCAUUUCACAGCAACUCUGUGUUUUUCCACUCUGUUUAGAUUUCACUAGCAGGAGAGCCCGCGCGAUGCUGCGGGUUUUGAAAUUGUGUAGACAAAAUUAGAUUGUUUAUAUAUACAAUGAGAUUUAAUUUAUAACAUUAUGUUUAACUACAGGAGUGUAAGUUGCAAAAAAGUAUAUAAUAACAUAUUUUACAGGCUACUUGUUAUGGUAAAAUACUAUACUUGUUUGUAUAUACAUUGAGAUGUUUAUAGUAGGAAGUAGGCAUCAAAAUAGCAAAAGUUGGAUAGUUUUGUACAGAAUGUUAUUUAAUUGGGCAAGCUUUGUUUUGCACUUGCUUCAUGAUUUUUCUUCUCUUUCAUGGAAGUCUUGAUCCUGUUAUAAAAAAAAGUGAGAAAAUAGUAAAUGUUAAUAUUGAUGAAUGGGGGAAAUUGAGUUAGGACAAUAAUCAUAAACAUUUAAUUAUGUAUAAACAGGAAUAAUAUAAUUUAUUGAUUUAAUAAGAAAGUUAUAAAUAGUUUUUCAAUCUAGGAAAUACAAAGUUACAAAAUUAAGAGAACUAAUGAGCAAGUUGUAGAUGGUUUUCUAAUUGAAGUAAUACAAAGUAAACAUAUUUUAAAUUUUGUGUUUGUCUAAAAGAAAAGUUGAAGAGAGGCAAAAUAAUUAUGGUUGAAUAUAUGGAGAAAAGGAUGUCAAUAUAAUGUUUAGGUUUUUAUGUAUUAGGAAUAUAUGACUUUUUUGCUGUUAUUUAGAGCAAAAAUUAUUUAAGGGCUUGACAUUUCUGUUAAAAAACGGGUAGAAUCUACCCUGAAAAAUGGACAUUUUGCCAAAAAAUUCACCUGUAAACUAAUUAGUACUGAAUACCGAUUGGCGAAGGCAAGACAAUCAUAGUUGUGGAGUACAUAGUUAGAAAGAUGAAUGUGCAAACGUACAUCUAACCCCAUGAUAUACAUCUAACCCCAUGUGAACAUGAUUUAUUCUACAACAAUGAUUAUCAAUUUUCUAAUUGCUCAUUUUCCUAACCCUAAUCAUCACAAACCCAAAAUUAACUCUAAAAAUUUCAAAUAAGCAUGGUUCUAAACCAAUUUCUAACUUACUUAGCGAAGUCUUUUCUAUAAAUGAUAGUUGUUGAAGAAAAAGGGAAACGAAAAUAAGCUUUUAGUGUAUAAGUACAUUGAAGCAAAACAUGAAGAGAAUCCAAUAUAUAACUUCAAUAUAUAACUUUAAUUUUCUAUAAGUGUUGAUCUAAAUUUACAUCCCUUACCACUCUUCAAUUUAAAAAUAGUUUUAGCUACAACAAACAACUUCAGAGAGAAGAUUUGGCCCUGUUUUAUAAGGCAAAACCUCUCUAACCACAUGACAUACAUCUAACUCCAUGUGAACGUGAUUUAUUCUACAACAAUGAUUAUCAAUUUCCUAAUUGCUCAUUUCCCUAACCCUAAUCAUCACAAACCCAAAAUUAAUUCUAAAAAUUUCAAAUAAGCAUGGUACUAAACCAAUUUCCAACUUACUUAGUGAAGUCUUUUAUAUAAAUGAUAGUUGUUAAGGAAAAACGGAAACAAAAAUAAGCUUUUAGUGUAUAUGCACAGCACAGAAAUUGCAUGUAGCUUUCCGAUUUUUAUCCCAACUUCGUUUCUGUGGAAUCACAAAACUACAUACGCACAGCACAGGGAAGGGAAAAAAAAAAAAAGGCACAUUUAAGAGACACCUAUCUUCUCAUUCUACAUCACAUCCUCUUUUCCUAGCUUUCCAACCUUGCAACCAAAGCAAACAUCUUUCCUGAUAAAGGGUAGGAAAGAAAGUGGUUGUGUGAAUUGGGAUGAGAGAGACAGAGACAGAGACAGAGACAGAGAGACAAAGAGAGAGAGAGAAAAGAGAAAUCAAAGUAUAUAUAUAAAUAGUAAGUAUAGUUUAUAUCAUGCAAAGUUUUGAUGGUUUCGUUCAAAAAAAAAACAGGGAAAAAGUUUUGAUGGGUAAUUCUAGUAAUAAUGUUCUUAUAAUUCUAUAUAUAUAUAGAUAUCAAACUGUACUACCAUAUUCUUCCUAUAUAUACACUUGGUCGUCAACUACCUCUCUCUCUCUCUCUCUCUCUCUCUCUCUCUCUCUCUCUCUCUCUCUCUCUCUGUGACCUGCAUUUAUACAGAACCAAUUAUUCCAUCUUCACUAUACAUUUUCCUCAUCUUCCCAUUCAUAUUUUAUGGCUCUCUUGUUCUUCCUCCUAAUUCUUUUGGUCCCUGCAAGCAAUACUAAUUGGCCACCAUCACCUGGCUACUGGCCAAGUUCUAAAUUCAGGUCUAUGAGCUUUUAUAAAGGAUUUAAAACUCUCUGGGGUCCUCAGCAUCAAAGCUUAGACCAACAUGCAUUAACAAUCUGGGUUUAAUGAGGCCAGAAAAUUUUAAGAACUUAUCUACCAAGCAUACCAAACUGACAAAGCAAACCAUAUCUGUAUUUUAUCAUCAAUUUCAUCAAUUUUAUCACCAACAACAGAUAAAAAAAGGGAAUUUUUUCAAAAAAAAAAAAAAGGAAAAAACAUAAAUAAAAAAAGGGGCACAUUUAAGAGAGACCUAUCUUCUCAUUCUACAUCACAUCCUCUUUUCAUUUUGAAGCGGUCAUGUGUUGUGAGUUUCUUGUUUUAUAAAUUUUCAAAACUGUUGUUUAGAACUGCAAAAUUCUUCAUCAUAUAUCUUGCCUUCUAAUAUACAUUCUGUAUCAGGAAACUGGAAUGAGGCUUGCUCUUUGAGGAAGAGAAAUAAAAGAAAAAGUUGUGGCAAAGGUUCACGGAUGUAGUUGGAUUGUAGUGGGACAGAGAACAAAUUUAUUUGUUGCAGGGGAAAAGUCUCAUCCAAAUGCUAUGAAAUCAUGGCAACUUUAAAGUAUUGGACAGCAAUAAUGAAAGAAGAGGGCUAUGUUGGUGACACAGAUUCUUGCUUGCAUGAAUAAGAGGGAGAAAAGCCCCUAUGGUAUUGACUGUUGCCGCCAAGUGCAUAUUGUUAUUACUAUGCGUACUACAUCCCAAGGCCUCUCUCAGCAGGAUUACAAAGUAAACCAGAAUUACUAUCCCAGCAGUAUUCUGCAACUUUGCUCUGCACUUCCUUAUGUAAUCUCUCUCUCUCUCUCUCUCUCUCUCUCUCUCUAUAAAUAUAUAUAUACACACACACACACACACACACAUAUAUCUAGGCAUGCAUAUUUAUGAGUUCCCCAUUGAGGAGGGAUUCCCUUUUGAGGAUUUUAUAAUUAGAAUUAGACUGCCUUCUUAACCAAUAGUUGGGUUUGUGUGGUAAGGUAUGCUGGGUUUGUUGAUGUGGAUAUUUAUGCCUGGAGGUGCUUUGUUUUACUACUUCGUUGAAGUAGAAACAGACACUGACAAAGAAGCCCUUCAUUCUUUGUCUCAAUAGUGAUUGGUUUCUUUGAUCCUAUUCAUCAUAUCUGGUGGUGAGGUUGCCUAAUCAGCCAAAUGUUGGGUUCAACUACCUCUCUCUCUCUCUCUCUCUCUCUCUCUCUCUCUGUCUCUCUCUCUCUUUCUCUCUCUCUCUGUGACCUGCAUUUAUACAGAGCCAAUUAUUCCAUCUUCACUUUACAUUUUCCUCAUCUUCCCAUUCAUAUUUUAUGGCUUUCUUGCUCUUCCUCCUAAUUCUUUUGGUCCCUGCAAGCAAUACUAAUUGGCCACCAUCACCUGGCUACUGGCCAAGUUCUAAAUUGGCCAGAAAAUUUUAAGAACUUAUCUACCAAGCAUACCAAACUGACAAAGCAAACCAUAUCUGUAUUUUAUCAUCAAUUUUAUCGCCAACAACAGAUAAAAAAAGGGAAUUUUUUCAAAAAAAAAAAAAAAAAAGGAAAAAACAUGUUUAGUCUUUGCUUUCCAAUGUUUUAUCCAAAAACCUGAAAAUCAAAGUAACUAAAUAAAUGAACCCAAUCAUUCCUAAUUUCUAUUUUGUCAAAACCUAAUUAAGCUUCACUUCUUUUUUGCUUGUAUUUUAUCAUCAAUUUCAUCUAUUUUAUCACCAAUAGCAGAUAAAAAAAGGAAAUUUUUUCAAUUAAAAAAAAAAAAAACAUACUCAGUCUUUGCUUUCCAAUGUUUUAUCUAAAAACCUAAAAUCAAAGGAAUCAAAUAAAUAGGGUUUAGGGCUCAAGAACCUGAAAUCAAAAGAACCAAAAAAAUGAACACAACUCUACAUAGCACGAAAAAUCUCCCAGCCAACAAUCAAAUUCAUGAAAUAAAUACCAAAAGAUCUGUUAAAAAAUUGAUGAGAUGCAUACCUGAAAACAAAGGAUGCAACAAAGAUGGAAGCCUGAGUCGAAGCAAGAACGAUGGAAGCCUGAGUCGAAGCAAGAAAGAUGGAAGCCUGAGUCGAAGGUUGUAGAAAAGACGAAAUCUCCCGAUCCCAAAUCUGUGACACGAAGACUGAAAGCACGGCUGGAUUUGCAGCUCACCUCCCAAACAAAAAUCGACGGCCUUCAACGCAUCUCCAGCAACGAACACAACUCUUCCAUGGCUGCCCCCCAACCAGCUGGUUGGAAACGAACGGGAGAAAAUGGUUUCUCUCAGCGGACGAAACCAUCUCAACGAAGGGGGAGGGGCAAAAACGGGAACAAAAGAAACUGUUUAGUCAAGGGCAGUUUCGUCAUUUAACUGUGCUGCAGGAAAAAAAACGAAAACAGCAGAAAAAUGAGGGGCAUUUCCGUCAUUACACUGUGCUUAGCUACAGUGUUUAGUUGCAUUGGGUUUUAGUAUAUAUAUAAUUUAUGUUGUGAUUCGACUGCUGCUGUAUUUUAGAUUUAUAGGAACAGACCAAACAUGUUGAUUCUAUCACCAAAAUUAUAAAGUAUACUUCCAUUACAAUUAAUUUGUUGAUUCUAAUUUGGACUUGUAGGAACAGACCAAACAUGUUCAUACGUGGCAUUGCUCAAGUCAUCAUCAUUCGGGACAGAGAAUAAGCCUUCAAAUGUCUGCUGAGUCAAUGAACCUUUCUAGAUAUCUCAAGUGUAAUGGAAAUUGAUGAGUUACAAAGGAUUUGUAAACAUUUUCUACUGGAGGCUAGAAAUGCUUCAAAUAAAUGACUCUGUUGCAAUUAUUUUGUAGGAUCAAAGACUCUGCAAAGAGGUAAGAAAGUCAUCAUCAAGUAACUUCGCUCUUCAUACUUUUUAUUAGGGGUGGGCAUUGGAACCGCAAAACCGCAAAACCGAACCAACCCAAUCCGAAAAAAACCGAAAAAAACCGUGUUGACCGAAAAAGUCAAAAACCGAGACAAAUCCAAACCGAACCGGUUCAGACCGGUUCCGGUUCCGAUUUUCCACCUUAAGGAACCGGUCCAAUCCGAACCGGUCCAAUAUAAUUAAUUUUUAUAUUAUAUUUAUAUUUAUAUUUAAAAUAUCAAAUUUUGUAGGCCCAAACCCAACUAUUUCAUUAUACCAACAAAAAGCCCAAAUCUCCCAAGUCCAUUGCCCAAGUCCAACAAGCCAUAUUUUAAUAUCCUAAUCACAUCAAAUCUCACUUCACUCUCUCUCUCUGACGCACUCUCUCUUUUCCUCUCAGAUUUUUUUUACUCUCUUUUUCUUUCUUUCUUCUCUCUUCCGCCUCUUUUCCUCUAGGUUCUUUAACUUCUUUUUACUUCUUUCUUUCUUCACUCUUCUGCCUCUUUUCCUCAGUUUUUUCUUCUUCUUUCUCUCUUAUUCUUUCUCCUCUCAAUUCGUCUCCAUUUUUUUUCCCUCUCUUUCUCUGAUUUUCUGUUACUCUGAUUUUUUUCUUCUUGGUUUUAUGUUUCUCUCUCUCCCUCUAUAUCUCUUUCUUUGCAACUCUGUUUUUCAAUUUCUCCUUUUUUUUCUCUCUUCAUUUUUUGUUUCUCUGUACAUAUAUGUGUUCAUCUUGUAGAUCUGGGUGAAAUUCUUGUAGAUCUAGGUGAAGUUCUUGGAGAUCUGCGUUAAGUUCUUGUAGAUCUAGGUAAAGAGCCAAUUCAAAGCAGGUCAGCGUCUCUUAUCUCCCCAAUCCCUUGUGAAGAUAUGUAUUUUUUUUGUUGUCAACAAUCCAUUUUGGUGUUUUUAUAUGGUAUUGAUAUUUUCUAUGAUUUUGGGCUGAUUUGAGGUCUGAUUCUUUUUUUUUCUUUCAAUUUUUUCCUGUUGUGUUUUGAUAGACAUGUUCUCUAUUCCUGAUAUCAUUCCUCAGUGGCAAAAUCUUUGAGCGUUGUUGUAAAUUUUAGACGGGAAAGAAGCUCAUUCAUAAUUCAAAAAAAGAAAAUAAAGUUACAACAACUGACAAUUUGUUGCUCUUUGAAAUAGGUACUGAAGUAGCAUGGAUAAAAAGAAAGACUGAAGAUGUUGCAGAAGAUUGAAUAUGUUCUAUUUCUGUAAUUUGUUUGUAAUUAAAUUUGUUUAUUUUGUUUUGUUUUUAGGUUGUAAGUUUUAUUUUAAUGUUUGAUAUUUGUUGUUUUGUCAAAAAAUUGUAUUAAUGCUUGAUGGAUUCAUUCAAUUUGCAGUGCGUGGAUGUGAAUUGGGCCAAUCGGUAAUAAUUAGGCCCAAAAGGUUUUAAAUAUCAAUUGGGCUGAAACUUACAAAAAAAUUUAAGAACAAAAAAAAAAUCAAUUAAGCUGUGUGUCGGCCCAAACCGUAAAAACCGGAACCGAACCGGAUUCAAAUGGGUUCGGGUUGGUCCGGUUUUCUCAAGCAUUUUAGUAAAAAUCCGAACCGGACCGGACCGGUGAACAGUACCGGUUCCGGUUUUAAAUUGAUGCAAAAACCGGUCCAAACCGGACCGUGCCCACCCCUAUUUUUUAUUUUUAUUUUUAAAUAUCAGUAAUAACUGGGAAAGCUUGCAUCUCCUUAAAUUGCUCAUUCUUACAUCUUUUAUAGUUUGUUGAUCUUGGGCAAGUGGAGAGAGAGGCGUCAAGUGAUACGCAACAACCAUUUUCUGUGAGCUGAUUUGAUAAAGAGAAAUGGUAUGCUUUCUUGUCUUAAGCGGUGUGUUCUGCAAUUAUUUGAAACAAAGGAUGCCGCACUUCAAGUUCGAGAAAAUCAGGUAUUUUAGUAUUUUAUUCUUGAGAAAUUUGAUUUAUGUAGAAACUUGAACAUGUAAAUGAGAGAAAAAAAAAUAAAUAUAUAUAUAUAUUAUAUAUUGUAUAUGCUGUUAAUGAGUUAAUAUGGUGCUUGCUCCUAGUUGGAAAUUUAUGUAGUCAUCUACCUAUGAUCAAAUAAAGAUGAAAAAUAAAAUAAAAUUGAGAGCAUCUUCCUCUCCCCUGCUUUGCUCAUCCCUUGUUCUUCCACUUCAGCCCCACUAUUACACCAUUUUUUUCAGCCACAAUUAUAAUAGCUCCAUGAGCAUUAAGUCCCUUUCAAAUUCUGCUGACAUUCAAAAUUGGAAUCUGCUGGUGAUAUAUGAUAGCGUUAACAUAUUGUACCAUUUUGGCCAGUGUACGCAAUAUUAUUGCAUCCAACUUUGCAUAUUAACAUCAGUGGCCACAGUUACACGAUUUGAGUGCACAGAAAGGUUUCAAAAGUUGUCCCACAGAGAACAGUCGUUCAAAGUGAGAGAGUUUUGAAAGCUUAAUUACAAGUUCAUGUUGUUUACAACCUCAAAAAGCUUUCAUACUUGCUUACAAACCUGUAUUUCCAAGUUCUGCAAACCUUGGAAUAUCACUUCAUCCAAAUCCCCUUCCAAAGCAGGAAAAAAUGGCAGCAGCUUUGAUUGGAGAGGCUCUCAUCUCUGCUUCUAUCGAGGUGUUGUGUGACAGAGUUACUUCAGCCGAGUUCAUAGACUUAUUUCAGCAGAAGAAACUUGAUGAAACACUCCUCAUGAACCUGAAGACGACACUGUUGAUUUUGUUUGCGGCGCUCAAUGAUGCAGAGGAGAAGCAAAUUGUGAACCCUGCUGUGAUAGAGUGGCUUAACAGCUCAAGCAUGCUGUCUUUGAUGCAGAGGACUUACUUGAUGAGAUUGACACUGAAGCUUUGCGAUGCAAGCUGGAAGGUGAGGAUCAAACCCACAAUAAUUAACCAACAAGGAUCUUUUUGAUUGUUUGAAAGGAGGGUCUUUGAUGAUUUGAAAGGAGAGGGUUGCUUCAUUUCUGUUGGAUGCUUAAUUAAAUCUUAUCUGGACUUGAACAAGGAUUAGGUUAGCUGUAUAAUUCGUGGUAAACACCUUUUUCUAAGGUUCAUUUAGACUCCUAUUACGAUUAAUUUGUUGUUUCUAAUUUGGACUUGUAGGAACAGACCAAAUAUGUUCACACGUGGCAUCGUUCAAGUCAUCAUCAUUUCAGACAAAAUCAGCCUUCAAGUGUCUGCUGACUCAAUGAACCUUUCUAGAUAUAUCAAGUGCAAUGGAAAUUCAAGAGUUACAUAGAGAUUUGUAAACAUUUUGAAGAUUGCAACACCUGCAAGUGAGAUAGGUGGUGACGAAAUCAGAGCUGAUCUUGAAGCCUCUGAUGCCCCUGUCGUUGCAAGUUGCACCUGAGAACAUGGUUUUUUUUUGGGUAAAAAACCAGCAACAUGUUCGGGGCUGGCAAUUCAAUCCCUGAUGAACUUGAGAAGCAAAGCUCCAGUAAGGAAAUUGGUCGAGGUCACGACAGGGAUAAUUGAUGGUGAAAUGGAUGCUAUUUCUUAUUGCAGCCUGUUCUCAAAGUUCUUGUUGGCAAAAGCAAGAGAUGGAGUAUUUUGAUUGGGAGGAGAGAUAAUGACAUGUGUUGACAAUUCUAGAACAGCCCAUCUGAGUUCUUUUGUCAGGCUGCAUCAUUUAAUCCCAGCAAAAAUCCAGUUUUUGCUAAACAAUCAAAUUGUACACAUUUUUUCUUUUCGAGGAAUUUAACAUUACACAUUUUUUCAUUUUUUCAUCAAACAGUUUUCUAAUGCAUUUGUUGUCCCAAGUUACAAUGAGGAAUUUGGAUUGAGUUUCUUGUGUUAAUAACAUUAUACUUUCAUGGAAUGGUUUAUCUUCUUUUUCUGGACAAAAAUAUUUAGAUUAAUUUCUUGGAAUAAUUUUUUAAUAAUUUUUUAAUUGCAGUAGCGAAAAAAGGAAAAUUGUAUUUUUCAAAACCAAUCUUAAGUCCAGUUUCCUCUUCUUGGUCGUCACACUUGGAAAUUGCUAACCAUAUAUAACUUGGGGUAACAAUCUUAGUCCGAAUGUGUACGAUCUUAGUCCGAUCAAUGGCUACGCGUAUUGGCUCGGCCUUGGGGUCUACCAUUCCAGUGUACAAGCUUCCUGGGUCUUGGGGCAAUUCCUUCAAAUUGUACACAUGUUUUCUUUGAGAAGCAAGGCUCUAGUAAGGAAAUUGGUUAUGUAACAAAUUUUGGUCCCUUUGGAUGGAAUGAUUUACAAUGAGGAAUUUUAUUAUUAUUAUUUUGUUUUUGUUGUUAGUGUAAUGAAAAUGAUCUAGGUUCAUACACUGGGUAUAGCUCUAAUUUGGCCAAUUUCAUUAUUUUAGUUUCUUCAUAUUUUCAAUUAUUAUAAUUUGGUGCGUUGUUUUUUAAAAACAUUCAUGAGAAUCUCCAUUUUUUAGGUGUUUAAGUUAUUCAUCCACAACGGUUUUAUAAUACCGUCAUCUUUUCAAACACAACGAUGAUUUUUUAAUCUAUCGUCGUUGUUUUCUGAUCGUCUUUUUCACUUUUUGUAGUAGUGUCAAUAAGUAAGAUGAAAUAAUACAUUCACAAUCUGUUUAAAUUUUAAAUUAAAAAAAACACAAGAAAAUUUUAAAUAAGUAAGUAAUUUUAAAUAUAUAUUUCCAUUGUUUUGGUUUUCUUUUCAUAUUAGUUUUCUACUAGCUGCUAAUUUCAUUUAAAUUGUUUUUCUUACUUCAUUUAACUUUUAAGCAUGCAGAUGCAAUCAUGACUUCUUCUUUUUUUCAAUAGACUGAUUCUCUUCCCACAUAUAUAAUGCUCUCUAAGUAUUCGUAAUAUGAGUAGGAAUUUAUUUUCAUUUCACAAGAAUUGUCCAUCAAAUUCUGAUAGGUUUGUCGAUAGCACAAGCAUGCACAUAUAGACACUACAAGAACUUUGUUUCUUCAUUUUGUUUCCUAAAGAUUUGUUGGCUUCGUGCAGAUGAAUAACAAGUCUCUCUGUCCUCUAUUUCUUCUUUUUCUUUUUUAACAAUUCAUAUUCUACUUUCUGUUUUCACCCAGUAAAAAUUGAUUUUAGACAUGGGCUUCUAAAUUAUGUGCGGAUAAUGGUUGCAUUUAUAGAAUAUCCAUGGGCUUCUAGUCACCGUGGUUGUUGAUUCAGCAUGUCAUAUUACUCUUGGACUAGCUGUUGACACUACUACAUUUUACACUUUGCGCGACGAAGAACAAAACGUCGCGCAAAGUCGCAUUUAGUCGCCCCAAUUUCAGCGCGACAAAAACGUCGUCGCGCAUAUUCCGUCGCGCGAAGAUCGUGAAGAAAGCCUUUGCACGACGAGGUACAACCCUUCGUCGCGCAAAAGUGUGCGACGGGUAAACCAUCGUUGCACCAACGGUGUGGAGACGAAACAACCCUUCGUCGCAAAAAUAUUUGCGCGACGAUAAAUUAUGCGGCGCACGUAUAUUUGCGAGACGACGGGAAUUGCGCGACAAAACAUUAUUCGUCGCGCAAAAUAUGUAUGGGAGACGUAUAUGUUCGUCGCAGAACAAUUCGCGCGAUGAGAAAGUUUUCGUCGCACAUAUAAUUGCGCGACGAAAAAUUAUGUCGUCGGCCAAAUAUUUUGCGCGACGAAACAUUUCGUCGCGCAAAACGUGUUAUGUGUUCGUCGCGCAUGAAUUAAAAGUGAUAAAAAAAUAUUUGAUUUUUUUUUGUUACAUGUUGGUUUGCGCGACGAAAGAUUUUCCGUCGCGCAAAAAUAAUAUUACAAUUUUUUUUUUAUUUAUAUUUUUUAUUUGAUAUAAAAUUGGUUUCUUUUUAUUGAUUAAACAAUGAAAUUGCAAUAAAAAUAAAUUAGAAUAAAAUUUUGUUAUAAAAUAAAAUAAAAUAAAUGUAUUACAAAUAAAAUAAAUACACUAAUCAAAUAAUGAAUCAAAAUCAACCGAGUCGUCGCCAGUAUGCGGCUCGGAGGGCGGGGCGUUCACCGGGGCAGUGGUCUGGUGGGGAUGCCCGGGAUGGACGGGCUCAGAGGUCGGCGCAUCAAAAUGCGGGACUGGAAUGCCGGACUGUGCGAGGGACUGCAGAAUGACCGACAUCUGGCUCUGAAGAGUGGCCACCUGUGCUGUCAAAGCAGUGACCUGACUGUUUGACUGCGCCGAUGAACGAGGUCGAGGUUCCCUCCGCCGGGCAUUCCCCAUCCCUCGACAAUAUGUCCCCGGCCUCCUCCCGAGAGUCUGAUCCAACGUCUCCGUCAAUAUCUGAAAUCCAGCAUCCUGUGGAGGAGCCACAGACUCGAUCGGAGUCUCGGGAGGAAGCUGGGAGGCGGACUCCUGAAGAACAAGCUGGCUCCUCUCCACCAUCGUCGUCUGUUGAACAUAACAUAAAAUAUAAAUUAAAACAUGCAUAUAAAUUGAAUGCGUAACAUAAGAAUUAAAAUUAAAUAAUACUUACAUGAAGGGACUCGGCCAACUCAUUCCCGGGUCGAACAUAAACGUCACCAAAGACGUCGAUCUCUGGGAACUUGGACCCCUCCUAAAUUGAACAAGAGAAGAAAAAUAUUAGUAUGAAAAAAAUAAAUUAAUAAAAAUGACAUUAAAAAUGAAAUAAAAAUUUUGUGAUUAUUACCCGACGCCGUGCAUCCAUCCUAUAAGAAAAGGGUCUGGAGCCGGAAUGGUGGAGAAGGGUCUUCUUCUUCCUAUUACCCUUAUUCACUUGGGCUUUAUUCUGUUAUACAAAAAAUGAAACGUAUUAGUUAAAAUAUAAAAAAUUAAAUAAUAAUGAAAUAAAAAAAUAAAAUAAACAUUAAUAAGUAAUAAGUAAUAAUUAAACAAAUAUAAUUAAAAAAAUACCGCAAAUUCGGGCGCUUGAAAAUGAGCGCAGAGCCACUCCCAACUAUCCUCCCGCCCCUCAAGCUCCUUCGGGCAACCCUCCUGAAGAGCGACUUGCGGAUCAUCAUAGGCCUGAAAAUGGUGGUGCAAGUCGCUCUUCCACUGCUUGUACCUCUCAGCGAAGAGUCGGUUGACGUACGUCAACGACUCUUCGUCGAGAUCCUCCAAGUUAUAGUUCGUCUGCAAUCAAUUAAUUAGAUACGUUAAGUAAUAGAAAUAUACACAAUUUUAAAGAAAAAUAAUGAAAAUGUAAGGUACAUACCGACAACUGGCCGUGAAUCUCCGCCUGGAUCUCGUCAGGCAUGACCCUCCAAGACUUCCAUUGCAUCGGGCAAUGGGUCCGCACGACGUGGCCAAUGUCGUGGGCCAAGGAGCUAUGCAACUUCGCCGUCGGUGCAGCACGAUGGCGCUCGUCGUAUCCGAUGCUGAUACGACUGUUGGUCACCCGGGUGACCUUCGCCGUCUUCAGCUGACGACACGGUCCUCGGGUGUUCCUCUUCGCUGCAAAGAAAUAAGGUAUUAAUGUUAAAUAAAAAAACAUUGUCAAAUUUCAAUAUAAAAUUAACAAUACAAAAGUGUAGUUAUACCUGGCUGUGAUCCCGAGGCACCAGUACCGUCGGUCGAUGUCGUGUCGAUGGUGUCGGUGGGCCGGUGCCGCCGCCUAGCACUAGCUGGUUGCGCCACGGAUGACGCAGAUGACACAGGCGCCUGGGGCGCCCCGGGACCAACCACCACGUGGUCCAACAAAGCAGGAGCAGUGGCAGCAGAUGCCGACUGAGCCAGGGGAUCCGAACUCGGUGCAGUCGUCAUCGACCUACCACGUCUAAUCAAGUCUGACAUCUGCACAUAUAAUUUCAUUCAGAAUGUAAACUAAUUAAUUAAAAGCAUAGCCUGACCUAGGGUUUGGAAUUUCGGAGUAUCCGGGACUCCGAUCAACGAUCGGUCGAAUCCUAAACGAUCCUAGAAACACAAAGGUACAACUACGCGAGUUUCAGUUCGAUCCAACGGUCCGAACAUAUCAAACCUGGAAAUCGCACAAUAGGCGAAAUUCGAUCAAGACUCAAACGGUAACCAAAUUCAAAUCCGAGCAAACCUACGCGCUCGUGACAAACAGGGGAUCGCUCUGGGACACAAUGCCCCACUGCCACAGCAUCCCACGCGCCGGCAGCGCGUGGGUGUCCAAAGCGAUAACAUUCGCCGGAAAAUUCUAAAAACUAACGGCCAAGGUUCCUACCCUAGGUUGAAAACAAUAUUUGGCGCCACUUUUGUUCUCGGACCUACCCCGAAAAAUGGCCGGAAGUGGCCGGAUUUGAAAUUGCCAAACCGGCCAAAACCUAGGGUUUUAAUUCCUAUUUCCUAUACCCAUCAGCUAGAGCACAAAAAAUAGUCGAGAAAUCAUACCUCAGGCGUCGGAAAUGGUGGCCGGAGGAGAGAGAAAACGGCCGGCGAGGAAUCGGUGAAAAACCGACGAUGUGCGACGGCAGGCUCGACGGCGAAGGCAGGGGAGGCUAUGGCAGGAGCGGCGGUGGCUGAGGUGACGGCGGAGAGAGAGGGCUGAGGUGACGGCGGAGAGAGAGGCAAACGGAGGAAAAAACCAGAAAUGGGGAAGAAGGAGGCAUCGCGACGUUUCUGCAAAUUUUUACGACUUUGCGCGACGAAUCACAUCAUUCGUCGCGCAAAAUGCUAUUAAUGAAUCUUGCGCGACGCUAUAUCCGUCGCGCAAGAUCUGUCAGAACGCCAAAUUCUGAAAGUGGAUUAGGGUCUGUAAGUUUUGCGCGACGAAAUAGACAUACUUCGUCGCGCAAAAGGCUGUCUUUCCGCCAAAAUUUUGGGAUUUAGGGUUUAGCGGGAGGCUGAAACUGAAGGGUUUGCGCUUUUGCGCGACGAAGACGGUAAACGUCGCGCAAUGGUAACCUUGCGCGACGGAACGUAUUAUAUUCGUCGCGCAAAAGGCUAUCUUUCCGCCCAAAUUUUGGGAUUCAGGGUUUAGCGGGAGGCUGAAGGGUUUGCGCUUUUGCGCGACGAAGACACUAAACGUCGCACAAAAGGCUGUCUGCUGAAAUGAAUGGUUUCUGCUUUUGCGCGACGAAGACAAUAAACGUCGCGCAAAACGUUGUCGUUCCGCCAACAAUUUGGGGUUUAGGGUUUAGUGUGAAAACUGGCGCCCAGAUUGCGCGACGAAGAGUACAUAUUUCCUUCGCGCAAUCUAUUUCACUUUCACUUUGCGCGACGGAUAUGUUGGUUCGUCGCGCAAUCUUCAAGAUUUUCAUUGAAAUUUUCACUAAGUGUUCAAAGGGGAUGGAGGUGUGAAAACUGGCGCCCAGAUUGCGCGACGAAGAGUACAUAUUUCCGUCGCACAAUCUAAUUCACUUUCACUUUGCGCGACGGUUAAAUUGUUCGUCGCGCAAAAUGUAGACCCUAAACCCCCUUGUAAACCCUAAACCCUGAACCCUAAGCCAUAAACCCUAAACCCUAAAAUAGUUUCAAUGAUCCAACCGGCAAACUUAUUGUUUGAAACUUGGAGAUCAUAUACGCCAAAAAUCAAGAAGACCAAACAUUCAGAUAUCAGGGAACGGGACUAAAUAUUUCGACGGUUAUAAAUGAAAAGUCAUGAUUUAACGGUUAUUGUAACUCCGAUUUUGAUCAAUUUUGACAGCAGCAUUUGUUGACCCUAUAUGAAUACAAUGACUGAAUUUGAUCUUCAAUUUCAGAUUUUUACACUAGGGGAUACCACAUAAACGUGAAGUUACAUUUGCACAAAUGUAUAAACAAAUUUUAGGGUUUUUGGUGAAUAUAUGAUUUUGAUAGCACAUGCAGUCUACGAAACAAGUUUCAGUCAUCCAGCCGUCAAACUUGUUUUUUUAGACUUCGAGAUCAUAGACAGCAAAAAUCGGACAAAAAAAACAUUCAGAGAUUAAGCAACGGGGUAAAACUUUUCGACGGUUCUAAAUAAAAAGUGAUGAUUGAACGGUUAAUUUAACUCCGAUGUUGAUGAUUUUUUGCAGCUACAGUCCUACACUCCAUAUGAAUACAAUGAACUACUUCGAUCGCCAAUUUUAAAUAUAUAUGUGUGUAUAUAUUAUACUAUAACGUUACCUAAUAUAUAUUUGCGCGACGAAAGUUUGCUUAUCGUCGCGCAAAAAUGCCAUACGCGACGCAUGUAUAUAUGCGUCGCGGAAACUAUGCGCGACCAGUUGUAUUCGUUGCGCAAACAUUACGCGACGCUUAUGUAUGCGUCGCGUAUGGUAUGUUUGCGCGACGAUAUGGAGCCCUUCGUCGCGCAUGGAUUUGGCGCCAUAAAUCCUCAUUGAUUUCAAAUUGUGUAUGCUUUGUAUUUUUUAGAAAGGUUUUGUAUUCAUCAUUUUUUAUGCUUUGUAUUUUGUGGAAAGGCUUUGAAAUAUUCAUUUCUUUUGUUAUUUUUAUUGAAGCUUUAACUUGUUCUGUUCCGCAGAAAAUUCCAAUGAAGUUUGUGAUGAAAUAUGGAGAAUGAAUACACAACUACAUAUGGACAACUACACAUAUUCAAAGAUUUGUAUUACACAAAAUUAAUACACUAACAUAAUAAAUUUACAAAUAAAUUCAUUAUUCAUCAUCUGAACUAUAAUAACUUUCGUUAUCGUCGCUAGCUUUAACUUGUUCUGUUCCGCAGAAAAUUCCAAUGAAGUUUGUGAUGAAAUCUGGAGAAUGAAUACACAACUACAUAUAGACAACUACACAUAUUCAAAGAUUUGUAUUACACAAAAUUAAUACACUACAUAAUAAAUUACAAAUAAAUUCAUUAUUCAUCAUCUGAACUAUAAUAACUUUCGUAUCGUCGCUAUCAUCACUCUCGGUCUCCCAAUCUUCUUCCUCCUCCUCCUCUAUAACUGCAUCAUCGGCGUUGCUAGGGCCCACUGCAACAUCGUAUCGGGGAAGAUCACCGAGGUCAAUUGUAAUUGACUGAAUCGGUAUUUCGACUGAAGACACUCCUUCUAUUUGAAACGGUUCUUGUAUAACAUUUGUAUCUCGAAGUGUUUCCGCAUCAUUUUCCAUUGAAGAUUCUAAACGAUGGUCAGCCACAUUGUCGACGUCGUUGUCACUUGGGUCUAGUUCUGGUAUAUUAUACACGUUCCUAUGAUCCAUCUUCUGCACAACUUUCCACCCGUUCCCGGCUUUAGGGUCAUCUAGAUACACAAUUUGGGACGCCAUGUUUGCCAAAAUGUACGGGUCGUCAUCAUACCAAGUUCUGUUAAUAUUCACAGACAGUACUCCAUGGUCGAUUUUAACACUUCCCGCCCUAUUUGGGUUGGUAUCGAACCAUCGACACUUAAACAUGAUGACUUGGUAUCGAUCUUUGUAAAGCAAUUGCACGACAGUUGUCAGUUUGCCAUAGAAAUCAAUGUCUGUACUUUCGCCUCCACCUGGGACAUGAACACCGCUAUUUUGCGUACACAACUUGUCAUCUCGUGCGGCCCCUAAAAAUUUGACGCCGUUAACAUUACAACCCGAGAACAAUUCAGCGCGAAUUGGGCCGAACGCCAAGUUAUAUAACUCAUCACUGUAAGUGGGGGAAUUCGAUGAUUUCAAUUUAUUCACCUAAUAGUAUACAAAACCAUUUACAUGUUAGUCUGACAAAAUUAAAUACUAAAAUUUAUAUUUGUCAAUUACAAAACACUUAUAACUUACAGAAUCCAAAAACCAUUGUGGAAAUAAUUCACGGUGUUUCCGGGCAACCAAAUGUGAUGGAUGUUCUCGCUUCAUCAUCUGUUCAUGCUCAUCUAAGUAGGCCAUUAUCUCAUCACAAUUGUUCAGUACGAACCAAUGCGCUACCUCCAUGUCAUUUCUAGAAAACGACUCUCCUCGUCCAGGAUCUCCAAAUGGUCGUGCGCUUUGGGCAAAAACAGAAAGUUUUUCAUUUCUCAUACCUCCGUCAUUAUUGCGGUGAGGACGAUUGAAAACCGUCUCCACAUCUUUUAAAUACAUUCCACAGAAAGUAAGCGACUCAUAUUGAACCCAAGCCUCUAUAAUUGAUCCUUCGGGCUUUGCCCUGUUGCGUACACUUUUUUUCAGCUCUCCGAGAAGCCUGCCAAAAUAAAACGAUAUGAUACAAAUUAGCAAAGUGUCGAUAAUGAUGCAUACACAAAUGAUAAAGAUUAUAUACCUUUCUAUUGGAUACAUCCAGCGAUAGUUGACAGGACCAGCAAGCAAUGCCUCUUCUGGCAAGUGAACCAUCACGUGCAUCAUACUUAUAAAGAAAGCUGGAGGAAAUAUCAUCUCAAACUUGCAUAGGACUUGGACAAUGUCAUGGCGCAACUGAAACAUGUCUGUCCUUCGCAAUGUUUUUGCCGUCAGUUGGGAAAAAAAUCUGGAUAACAACAUGAUUGGCUUCACCACAUCUUCCGGCAGUAAGUGUCGAAUACCCACAGGAAGUAGGCGUUGCAUGAACACAUGGCAGUCAUGGCUCUUAAGUCCAGUAAAUUUACCCCCAUCGACAUUCACGCAACGUGCGAUAUUAGAAGCAUACCCAUCGGGAAAUUUGACAGACGAUACAAACUUUAGAAACUCCUUUUUGUCAUUCGGUUUCAUAGAAAAGAAUGCAAGAUCCCUUCUAGCUUUAUCACUGUCCCUAUUCAUCCAUAAACCCCUUCGUAUGCCCAUUCUUUCCAAAUCAAGACGAGCUUUGAUCGUGUCCUUCGUCUUCCCCUCGAUAUCUAGAAUCGUGCCCACCAAUGUGUCGAAAACAUUUUUCUCAACAUGCAUCACAUCUAGAUUGUGCCUCAAUUUCAGUUUCGACCAAUAUGGGCGCUCAAAAAACAUAGACUUGUGCGUCCAGUUCAAAUGUGUAGAAGGUCGGGUCCGACUAACUGUUUUCCCGAACGGAGCAAAAUCCAAACGGUUCAGCUGUUCCAAGAUCUCAUCACCGGACCAUUCUCUAGGUCUGAGGCGACGCUCUGUGUUCCCGUCGAACUCUUUAUCUUUUUCUCGCCACUCGUGGUCCCAUGGCAACCAUCUCCGAUGACCAAGGUAACAAACUUUUCCCGCGUGCCAACCAGAAGUUACAUCUUCCUUGCAUACAGGACAUGCCAUAUAACCCUUUGUGCUCCACCCAGAAACCAUUGCAUAUGCUGGAAAAUCAUUCACAGUCCACAUAACUGCUGCUCGCAAAGUGAACAUCCUCCCAGUUGAUUUAUCGUACGUGCGAACACCGUUUGUCCAUAAAUCCUUCAGCUCAUCAACCAGAGGCCUUAAGUACACAUCAAUUGACCUGCCAGGAUCCUCAGUUAUCAAAACAGUCAUCAUCAUGUAUUCUUUUUUCAUGCAUUUCCAAGGCGGCAAAUUAUAUGGGAAUGCGAAAAUCGGCCAAGUGCUGUGGUGUUGGUUUAGAACCCCAUACGGAUUGAAUCCGUCAGUGGCAAGUCCCAAUCUAACAUUUCGGGGAUCAGCAGCAAAUUCGGGGAACGUUCGAUCGAACUCUUUCCAUGCCUCCCCAUCUGCAGGAUGCCGCAUCACAUCAUCGUCUACCCGUUUUUCCUUAUGCCAUCUCAUGUCUGUGGCAGUAUGCGUUGACAUAUACAAUCGCUGCAACCUAGGUUUAAGGGGCAGAUAACGCAUGACUUUUUGUGGUAUCUUAGUCGUUCUAUUCUGGGAUGUCAGUUUGAACCUCGACUCAUUGCAUAUAGGGCAUGUAUCCAACGUUUCAUGCUCUUUGUAGAAUAACAUGCAAUUGUUUUUGCAAGCGUGGAUUUUUUCAUAACCCAAUCCAAGACCGUGCAACACCUUCUGUGCAUGUUUAUGGUCUUUCGGCAAACAAUUGUCCGUCGGAAGCAUUCUCUUGAAAACCCCCAAAAAGUAAUCAAAACACAAGUUCGACAUACGAUACUUUAUUUUUCCGUGCAUUAGCUCCACAAUGGCAGUGAGAACGGAAAACCUCUCGCACCCCGGGUAUAACUCUUGGUUGGCAUUUUUUAACAGUUUUUCAUACUGUUCAAACUCCGCACUGUCUAUUGGUGUAGGCACGUCAUCUUCCCCUUCCUGAUUGAUGUUGGUCGAUGCGAAUGGAAAAGCAUCCUGUAUAAUACCCAUGACUUGAUCAUUAGGAUCCACAAUAGGUUCAACAUUGUCCACUCUCGGGGCAUUUGAAGACGAAGCAUGGUCUACUUGUUCGCCGUGAAGGUUCCAAAUGCUAUAUGUUUCAAUCAUUCCAUUCCUUACUAAAUGAAAUCCAACAUUUUCAAUUGUCUCCCACAACGUGUUGUUACACCUCCUACAAGGACAACGGAUUCUAGUUGCACCCGGGUUGUGUCUACGUGCAAACUCAAUAAAAUCCUCGAUUCCAUCCAAGUAUUCGUCUGCGCAUCUAUUCGGGUUCUGUAUCCACCUUCUGCUCAUAAUUCCUGAAACCACAAUCACGACACAACAAUCACAACAACUUCAUACGAAGUUAUAAUGUCACCUUAUGCCUCCGGUAAGGGCCCUAUCCCAUUCGGGAAUGCAUAGUCCUGUCACGUAACCUACGGCUACAUGAGAUUAGAUUUCGACGUGGAUUAAUUUCAGCAGCAUCUCGACACAGUUCUUGAAGUGGGCAUAGGUAUAAAUACCUACGUACCACCCGAAGAACGUACCGAGAUGACACCGAAAUCUCCACAAUCGAAACCUAAUCCUGUAGCCGAAGAUUAUGUGACAACACUAUGCAUUACCAAACUGUCCAAAUAAUGGGACAAUUCAAGAAUUAAUUGGACCGCAGUCAUGCAUUACGCAUCCAUGCACGAAAUUCAACUAAUCUCGAACGGGAAACUACGUGUUACUAAACAUAAAAAUAAAAGUACGAAGUUAAUUUCAAUUAACUUCGUACAUCACAACACAUUGUGCUAUGUCACGCACAAUUUCACAACAUUAUACACAUAUAACUUCACAAAAAAAUUACAAACAUAACAAACAAACUUUUACAAUAACAUACCUUCUCAAUCGUUCUCCACCAAUCACAAAUAUCCCUAACGAUAACAAAAUUAAUAGCGUUACUACGAAUUUACAUUAAUACAUUUAAACUAACGACAAAAAAUACAUACCCAAUGAACGUACUGAAUUCACAGUAGAGCAACGGCAGAGAGAGUGAGAGAGAGGUAGAAUGCAGUGGGAGAGUGAGAGAGAGGCAGAAUGCAGAAACUGCAUUCUGCCUCUGCAAUGGAACUGGCUAAAAUGAAGAAGAAGGACUUUGCGCGACUAACAAUCCAAUCCGUCGCGCAAAAUGCCGUCGCGAAAACCCACUUUUCCGUCGCACAAAAAAACAUUUCCGUCGCGCAAUUACCUGCCGACAUCAGGUUUUUUGCGCGACGAAUACAAUUAUCCGUCGCACAAACAUCCGUCGCGCAAAUAACAUUAUUCGUCGCGCAAGGUUUAUAUUACGUCGCGCAAAUAACACUUAUUUCGUCGCGCAAGAAAUUACACUUUACGCGACGAAGGUAAUUCCGUCGCGCAAAAAAGUUUUUUCCACCCUGCAUUUUGCCGCCAAAAUUAAGUAACCCUCGUUUUCUUACGCGACGGUACAUAUUUCCGUCGCGCUAAGGCGUCUUUUGCGACGAAAAUGUUCGUCGCGCAAGAUUCUGGCGCCAAAAACAUAAACUGGGGAUUUUUCCCCGACCUUUGCUCGACGAAAUUAGUUUUGGUCGCGCAUAGAUUGUUUGCGCAACGAAGAUUGUUCGUCGCGCUAGUGUUCUGCUGUUUGCGCUACGGUAUUUUUUUUUCGUCGCAAUAGUGAUUUUUGCGCGACGAAAAUAUAUUCGUCGCGCAAACGUCCGUCGCGCAAAUAGUAAAUCGUAGUAGUGUGAUUUGGUUUAGACUUGGUUUAAUUAUCAUUGUUGUGGUUGGUUCACCAAAAAGAUUUGGCUUAGAAUUACCAGUUUUGUUGUUGGUUUAGUUAUGCUUGGCAUUUGAGGAUCCUAUGCUUACUUGUAUGGGUAAUACAUUUUAUUGAUCGUUUCAUAUACUAAUUAUGAACUUUUAGUUCCAUUGUGCAUUUAAGAGUACACAUAUUUCAUAUGUAAUUCGAAAGUUUGUCGCUGAAAUUUCUGAGAAUUUGAAACUAGAUAAGCACACCUUGCACAAAGUUCAUAUAUUUUCUUCCAGCAAGUCUGUCUAUUAACCCCCCUUAUCUGAAAUUAAUUGUUAAAAGUUCUGAUUCAUCUUUAAUCAUUGUCUUACCCUUGUUGAAUAACACUCCUCAUUCUAAUUUAUAUUCGAAGUUUGAGGUUUCAAUUUCAAUUGUGGGCUUUGAUUUUACAGAUUUUGUUUGUCAAUUUCAAUUUGGACAAAGCAUAUGCAAACAAAGUAAGGCAUUAUCUAUUAUUUGGAUCAUUUCCAUAUGUUUAUAUGUUUUUAAUAUCAUUUGCCUAUGUAGUUGACAUGUUAUAACAUUUUCGUAGUGUUGAAUAUAUAUAUAUAAUAAUUUUAUUUUAGUGGAUGUGAGAUCUCAGUUUGUUGCUUUAUAUAAUUAUUUCUUUGCAAUUUAAUUUUUUUUAUCAGUCAUACUAUUGUUGACGGCUAAAAACCAUCAAGAAACAACUCUUAAGUUUUUUAAAAAAUAAAUAAAUAAAUAAAGAUUUGUUGAUGCUUAAAAAGCAUCAAGAAAAGAUAGUUUCUUGACGGUUUUGUGACGUUUCAUAACCGUCAUGAAACAUUACAUUUUGACGAACGUCUUUCUGAUAGUGGCAUCCGUGACGCUUUCCGAGCCAUCAAUUAAGGGCUAUCGUGAUGCUUUUUAGUUGUCAGCAAAAGGUGUUUUUCUUGUACUGUAUUCACUCAAAAUCGUUUUUCAUUUAGGGUUGCUAGUGUGGUUGAAUGCCAUUUGUUUUGUUAAUGAAUAUUAUACAUUAUGGAUUUUUGUAGAAAUGUCGCUUGAAAUUAUACCUCAGUUUCAAUUUGUCACCUUAAAGAAAAAUUUAAGAGAAAUGUCACCUUAAUUUUUCAAAAUCCACGAUUUGUCAUCUCACUUUAACAUCAUCCAAUUUUCCAUCUAUUUUAAGGGUAUUUUAGUCUUUUCAUUUUCAAGGGAAAAAAAGAGAGGAAGAAAAAGACCUCUCUCUUACUUUCUCCCCCAACCCAACCCCACCCGCCCCCCAAAACACAUCGCAUAGGACCGCCUCCCCCUUCCCCACAUUUCUUUUUUCUUUUUGGCCUACUUUUCCACUAUGUUUAUGUUGAAGGAUCUAAAGUUUUCUUGGUCACCAUCUAUUACGUAGGCUACCGACUUGUUGGUUUGGGUGGGUUGAGGGAAUUUGUGUGUGGAGGGCAGGUGUUCAUGUUGUGUGCACCAAGACCUUAUCGUUGAUGAACUAUGUGACGGCACACACACAAACUCGUUGAGAAUAAAACAAACAUACCACCAAGAGAGUAAAACAAACACACAAGGACACAAAGAUUUAUAGAGGUUCGGCCUCCUGCCUACGUCUUUUUGGUGAUUCACUCGAGAAAUUCACUAGUAUGUAAAAAUAACUUUGGUUACAACUGAACCCCCUUAGCCCUCACAAGAACCUUAGAUCUCUUUUCUCUCACCCUUGCUCAAACCCUUUGAUGCCCUUGUAGACACUCAAGAAUUCACCCUUGAAUUCUAUCUUGUGUUACAUCUUCUCUUCUCCCUUUUGUUAACCUAACCCUAAAAGUCCUAUUUAUAAUGCAUAGGACUUAAGUUACAAGUUAACUUGGAAUAGGAAACAUAAAAUACCCCAAAAAUUGGAGAAAAUCUGUCCAAAUCUAGCCUGCAAAAUCAUCCUUCUGCCGCUCGAGCUGCCGGUGGCGCUCAUGGGAUGGGGGAAUUGGAGAUUUUCUUUUCAAUUUUAAUUGUUUAAAAGAUAUACAAUUUUUUAUUAUAAUAAUUUUUCCAUUUUUAAAAUACACUUGAAAAUAGAAAGCUUAAAAUGCCCUUAAAAAUAGAUGGAAAAUUGGAUGGUGUUAAAGUCAGAUGACAAAUCAUGGAUUUUGAAAAAUUAAGGUGACAUUUCUCUGAAAUUUUUCUUUUAAAAGUGACAAAUUGAAACUGAGGUAUAAGUUCAGGCGACAUUUCUACAAAAAUCCCUAUACAUUACAAUAUUAUAACAAUAAAAUUGGCUAAAAUUGAUAUGUUCCCUCUUUUCUUUUCUUUUUCUCUUUUCCUUUUCAUUUUAUGCUUUGUUGCUAUUGCUAUGUUUAUCCUACAAAUAUAGCAACUUCUCCACCAUUCAUUUGUUAGUGACUACGAUGCUUAGUAACUUCUUCAGCUCCCCUUAUUUCCAUGUACUAACCAGGGACACCAGGUCAGCAUCUUCGGUAAGAAUCCUAACUCAAUCAAACAAUGACAUCUGUAAAUAUUCAAAAUUGGAAUUUGCAUUGUGAUAGUUGAAAGCAUCCUUGUCCCAAAAAAAGCCAAAAAAUAAAAUAAAAUUGAGAGCAUUAAGUCCUUUUCAAAUUAUGCUAAUAUGCAAAAUUGGAAUUUUGAUGGAGUUGCUUCCUUGACUUUUCCACCUUUGUAUCCAGUCCACUUUGCACAAGGAGCCAAGUUUGAGAGAUAGUUUUCUGUAUUUACACCAUCCAGGAGAAAAUUAAAAAACUAUUUCAUGCCAAACUAACUACGGAUUCUUGCAAAGGACCCAUUAGUGUAGUGGUUUGGAGUAUUUACUCCCUCAGGCAAGGUCUUGGGUUCGAGUCCUAGCAUUCAUGUUGUGUGUGUGAGUUUAAUAUGCUAUCACCCCUUCCAAUAGGAAAGGACCUCAAAAAAAAAAAAAAAACUACAGAUUCUUUAAUUGAAAGAAACCCCAUAUUAAUCAUCCUUUGGCACAUAAAUGUUUGGUAAUUGGCAUUAAAGUAUCUAAAGGUUACGAAAUUAAAGAUUUUAAUGCAAACCUAAAAUUGGAAAAGAGGGCACCAAUUCAUGUAAAAUAUGGUGUACUUAGUAGAUCCAACAUAUUUUUUUAGCAACCAAGGACAAUCAUCAUUUUUUUUUUUAAGAACCAAGGAUAGCUUACAUUCUAGUUUGUCCAUCAUGUCAACACAUUUAUAAUUAAAACUUCUUUUUUGGUGAGGUUUCAAUUUUUGUCACUGUAACAAGACCACAAUUGCCAUUCAGUAUGCUAACAUUGUCACUAUGUUUGCCAAUUGCAUAUUAUCUAGAACAUAAAGGCUUUGGUGUUUUGUAUAUCCUCGGGGUGCCAAACCUGUCUUUAUAAAAAUGGUCCUUAUGAUACUACUUUAACAACAAAAAAAUAUAAUAAACUAGGCCUUUGUAGUCACUGAACGAAUGUUUUCUCAUAGAUAUGACUAUUUAAAUGUAAUUACGGGAUUAAAACAUUAUAAUAAAUUGGAGUGAACCAUAACAUUAUAUAUGAUCCAAUCCUUUUCAUAUAUUUUUGUUCAAGACUUUGUUUUAGAAUGCUCUUUUACUAAUUUGGUACAGGUCCCUAAAAUCUACGCCUUUAUGAGGCAACGUCUUUAUUUCUUUGGUUAUUCCAGUUUAGAAUAUAUUUGUACAAAUGAGAUGACUCCCAACAUAAAGUCACAUUCAACCAAAAAGCAUGAAGUCACACACAAAAAGAACACGGACAAUUGCUAAGUUUAUCUUGUAUCCUUAUUUUAUUGAUCCAACCCAAUUGAAAAAUAAAAAAGAUGAUAUAAUAUAUUGUUCACUGCUUACAUCCAUGAGUAAAGUCCUCCAUUUGAAAUUGCGUGAUUAUACAAAAUUGGAAUGAAAAAAGAAAAUCCUACAACUAAAUUUGAUAUAUUCCUUUUCAUUUUAUGUUGGAUGUUAAGUUUUCUUGUUUCUUGUUGAAAAGAAAAAUGAAAAGAAAUAAAUAAAUUACACAGCUAGCAACUUCUCCACCUUCCCUUCUUCCCAUGUACUGACAACAAGGGAGGCCUUCAAUCCAAAAUAAAGACAAGGGAUGCCAGGUCAGCAUCUCAGAUAAGUAUCCCAACCAAAACCAAUCAAAUAAUGACAUAUGUAUCUCUUUUUGUGUUUUGUUCUAUUUCUCUUUGAAUUAACUGCGAAGUUUCAUAAGCGUGUCCUCCUUUUGAAAUUGUGUAUUAUUCAAAAUUGGAAUUUGCUGGUCAUACUUGAUAUAAGCUAAAACAGUUUCCAACAUCUUGUACCAUUUUUUUCCAGUGUGGGUCAUAACUUGAAGAAGCCCACCGACAAUUUCUCAAAAGCUAUUACCAUCCAACUUUGAAAAAUAAAAGUUUCAAAAGUUACCCCAAACAACAGCCCUUGAAAGAGAGUUUUCCAAGGCUAAAGAUUACAAGGAUGUUAUUGGCACAUGCAUUAACGUGUGACAAGAAGUUAGUUAUAUUUAUAAAGUAAAAGAACGAAGUACAUAACAUGUAAGUUGAUGCCAAAUAUUUGAUCAACAGAGCUAAACAUAAAACCACGACAAUAUAACGUUGUUCACCAAAAAUUGUGUUUCGUUGAGGGUCAGUAGUGUAGGUUUCAAGAUACGAUUUAUUUUGUUAAAGAAUAUUCUGAUAUUCUAACAAUAAAAUUGGCUCAAUUUGAUAUGUUUCUUUUUUUUUUUGUUUUUGUUUUCCCUUUCAUUUUAUGCUUUGUUGUGCUAUUGCUAAGUUUAUCCUAGAGACCAGGGAUGCUUAGCAAGUUUCUUCACCUGCCCUUCUUCCCAUGUACUAACUAGGGAUACCAUGUCAGAAUCUUAGAUAAGAAUCCCAACCCAAUCAAACUAUGACAUCUGUAAGUAUUCAAAAUUGGAAUUUGCAUUGUGAUAGUUGAGUGGAAGAAUCGAUUAAGGCUUGAGUGGAAGACAAACUUCAGUGGAGGAAAGUAAUUAAUCUCACAAGACAUAGCCCAUCAGUUGGCUCAUUUUUCUUGAGUGUGUAGUCCUGGCCUUGAGGCGAGGCCACAUUGCUUUGGAGAUUUCUUUCUACUUGGUGAAAUUAUAAUUUAGAAGAAGCAAACUGCGUUUUGCAAUUUGUGCGAUUCAAGCAUAUCUGACACUAGUAAUUAGACCAUAAUCUUUGUCCGACCAGAAAAUAAGAAAAGUUGUCUUGUACCAUUUCUGCCAGUGUGGGUCCCACCCACCCCAUACGAGUAAUUUGAAGAAGUCCACCGACAAUUUCCCAAAAGCUUUGGCGUCCAACUUUGCCGACCCCAUCCCCAUGUGAGGCCAUAGAAAAGUUUUCAGCCACAAUCAAAGAAGGGAACAGUCCUUGAAAAGAGAGGGUUUUCCAAGGCCAAGAUUACAAGUUCAUGUUAUUUACAGUCUCAAAAAGCUUCCAUACUUGUUUACAAACCUGUAUUUUCAAGUUGUGCUAGCCUAGCUAUUUGCAAAUCUUGGAAUAUUUUACUUCAUCCAAAUCCCUUGCAGUCUGCAGAGAAGAUAAAAGACAUGGCUUUGAUUGGAGAGGCUCUUAUCUCUGCUUCCGUCCAGGUGUUGUGCGACAGAAUUACUUCACCCGAGUUCGUUGACUUAUUUUGGCACAAGAAACUCGAUGAGCCACUCCUCAGGAAGCUGAGGACGACACUGUUGGCCUUGAACUUGGUGCUCAAUGAUGCAGAGGGGAAGCAACUUGUGAACCGAGAUGUGAAAAAGUGGCUUGACGAGCUCAGACAUGCUGUCUUUGAUGCGGAGGACUUACUGGAUGAGAUUGACACUGAAGCUUUGCGAUGCAAGCUGGAAGAAGGUGAAGAUCAAACUCACAAAUUUACCAAUAAGGUGCGGAACUUGCUCUUUUCUCCUCGUAGUCAUUUUUAUCAGAGCAUGAAUGAUAAGAUAAAAGAGUUACUAGCAAGGUUAGAAAACUUUGUACAACUGAAAAGUGCUCUUGGUCUGGGAGAAGUUGCUGGGAGGAAGGUUUCGCAAAGAACUCAAACAACCUCCUUGGUUCUUGAACCUUAUGUAUAUGGUAGAGAUGAAGUCAAAGAAAAGUUAUCAAAAGUGUUGCUAUCUGAUGAAGCAGGCAAGGAUCCUGUGUCUUUCCUCACCAUUGUUGGAAUGGGUGGGGUUGGCAAGACAACCCUUGCUCGAAUGCUUUACAAUGACGAUAAGGUGAAAGGGCAUUUUAAACUUAAAGCUUGGGCUUGUGUUUCAGACUACGAUGAUUAUAUUAAAAUUACUAAAACUCUCCUUGAGGCAGUCACUUCAAAGCCUUGUAACACGGCAAAUCUGAAUUUGCUUCAAAAAGAUCUAAGAGAGCAAUUGAGGGGAAGGAAAUUUUUAUUUGUGUUGACCUAUGGAAUGAGAAUAAUGAGGAUUUGAACUACCUUAGAGCUCUUUUUAUUACUUUAGGAACAAUGGGAAGUAAAGUCAUUGUAACAACACGGAACAAAAAUGCAGCAUCUGUCAUGCAAAAUGUUCAUAUUCAAUACUUAGAACCAUUGUCGUAGGAGGACUGCUGGUUAUUACUUGCAAAACAUGCAUUUGGAAAUGAAAAGUGUAGUGCACAUUCAAACUUGGAAGACAUUGGAAAGCAAAUUGCACUCAAGUGCAAAGGGUUGCCUUUAGCUGCACAAACACUUGGGAGUUUGUUACGUUGCAAUAUGGAUUUCGAGUACUGGAAUAGAAUACUAAAUGAUAGUUUUUGGGACCAACCCUAUGAUAAAACUAACAUUCUUCCGGCUCUAGGGUUGAGUUACCAUUAUCUUCCUACUCAGUUGAAACGAUGCUUUGCUUAUUGUUCAAUUUUUCCAAAGGAUUAUGAGUUUGAAAAGGAAGAUAUAGUUCAAUUAUGGAUUGCAGAAGGUAUAAUUCCACAAGCUGAGAAUGGAAAAAGGAUGGAAGCAUUGGCUAGAAUAUACUUUGAUGAGCUGUUAUCACGAUCGUUGUUUCAAAAGUCAAGUAAAUUCAGCUUCAUUAUGCAUGAUCUCAUUAAUGACUUGGCUAUGUUCAUGUCUCAGGGGUUUUGCCUUAGGCUCGAAGAUGGGGUAUCCCGUGAAGUUAAAAGAGCUCGUCAUUUGUCAUAUGCUAGGGGAGAAUUUGAUGCUGCUCCAAGAUUUGAACCAUUAUAUGAGGCUAAAUGUUUGCGGACCUUCCUACCUACCAUUUGUUGUGGGCAAAUCUACUGGAUCAGGCAUAAGAGAACUGAGGCAGUUCCCGCAACUUCGAGGAAAACUAUCAAUUUUGAAGCUACAAAAUGUAGUUGAUGCGAGGGAUGCACUGCACGCCAAUAUGAAGCACAAGAAAGAUCUCAAGGAGUUAGAGCUUUCAUGGGGUGCGGAGGAUGCUGAUGAUUCCCAAAAGGAGAAAGAUGUACUCGACAAGCUCCAGCCUUGCGUGAAUUUGGAGAAAUUAACCAUCAAAUUCUAUGGUGGAACUAAUUUUCCGAAUUGGUUAGGAGACUCGUCUUUUUCUAACAUACAAGUCAUGCAUCUCAGUGACUGUAGUUAUUGUUGGUCGCUCCCACCAGUUGGACCGCUACCGGCACUCAAACAGCUCUGUAUAAGAAGAAUGAAGUUUGUGAAGACGAUUGGCGUUGAAUUCUAUGGCAGAAAUGGAGCUUAUCUGACUCAGCCAUUUCGAUCUCUGGAGAAGCUAGAGUUUAGGGAGAUGCCAGAGUGGGAGGAAUGGGUACCAAGUGGAAGUGCAAGUGGAGGUGAAUAUGGUCCAGACUUUCCUCGUCUCCAGGAGCUGAUUCUAUACGAGUGUCCGAAGCUAAGAGGAAGUUUGCCUUGUGAGUUGCCUUGCUUGAAGAAGCUUACGGUGUAUGGGUGUAAGGUUUUACAUGAUGGAAGGGCCAUUACCGCAACUACCAAUAGUCUUAACUAUAAAUCUCUGGAAGAAUUGAAUAUAAGUGGUGGAUGCCAAACUCUGUUAUCAUUAUUAGAGACAAAGCUCCUGUCCGGACUUGAGAUUCGAAAUGUUGUUGACAUACAGUGCUUGCCCAACUGCAGUCGUCUUCAACAUUUGACUCUUUCGAAUUGUCCAACGCUGUCAUCAUUUCCCAAAGAUGGCCUACCCACUACAUUGACAUCACUUUAUAUAAACAAUUGUAGGAAAUUAGAAUUCCUACCUCAUGAGAUGUUGGCCAAAUUAACAUCGCUUGACUAUUUGUGCAUACAAAAUAGCUGUGAUUCAAUGAGGUCCUUCCCGUUGGGCAUUUUUCCCAAAUUGACGAGGCUUGAAAUUCGUGGUUGUGAGAAUCUGGAAUCCCUUUCCUUGAUUGAAGAAGAAGGAGCUGUUGAGAAUCUCAGCCAUCUCAAUUACUUGCAAGUCUAUAACUGUCCAAAAAUGGUGUGUUUUCACGAGGGAGAAUUGCCCACUCCCAACCUGAGUCACUUUGUAGUCGGUGGUUGCGAGAAUUUGAAGUCAUUGCCCAAAAGCCUUCACACCCUCACUGCCCUUCGAUCUUUGUCGAUAUGUAAUCUUCCGAAUCUGGAGUCAUUUGCAGAAGAUGGGGGUUUGCCUCCCAACCUCCGACAAGUAAGUAUUAGGAAUUGUGAGAGACUGAGGGCUUCAUCAGUGGGUUUGCAAGCACUUGACUCCCUUGAGAUCAGUGGAAGUGACCAUGUAUUCUCUAUCACACUCUUCACAUCUAUUCUCUAUCAACUCUGAAAUCUUUGGACGGAAAGGGUCUUGGACACCUCACUUCUCUUCAAGAGCUAGAUAUUAACAGGUGUCCAAGUCUGGAAUUCCUGCCAGGAGAGGAACUUCAACACCUCACUUCUCUUCAAAAUCUAUACAUUUGGAACUGUCCCAGUCUUCAAUGCUUGCCAGAAGAGGGUUUUCCAUCAUCUCUUUCUCAUCUGAGUAUCCGCCGGUGUCCUACCCUGGAGGAAAGGUAUAAGAAUAAAACGGGACGAGAUUGGGCCAAGAUAUCUCACAUUCCUUGCAUCGAGAUAGGCAACGAAGUGAUCAUAUAAUAUGAGCUAUUCCAUAUUUCACGCUCAACCCUCAACUCUCAAAUCAAAGUCAGGUGAGGUAUGUGCCUUCUCUUACUUUAAAAAACUGCUGCUCAAUAACACUCUUCGCACUCUAUAUAUUAUGGCCUGUCAGUCUAAAAUUCCUGCCAGGAGAGGAACUUGAACGCCUCUCUUCACUGCAAAGGCUACAUAUUUGUGGGUGUGACAAUAUCCAAUUCCUGCCAGAAGAGCGUUUGCUGCAAUCUCUUUCUUAUCUGUGCAUCGACCAUUGUUUUGCCAUGUAGAAAAGGUAUCUCACAUUCCUUGCGUCAAGAUAGGUGAAGAAGUGAUCAUAAGAUAUGAGCUCUCUCUCCCUCUCGCUCACAUACAAAGUACUUAAAACACUCAAUCUGAUUUCUAUUAUUAUUUUGCUCAGUAAAUUUUGUUUAAAUUUGCUUUGUUUCUCAUUGCGCUUGUUCUGCUUAUCACAACUUAUAUCCUAUUUAAAUCUCAAAUGCUGAAUAGUUAGCAGUCUUUUCGCAGGACAGCAUAUCUUCUCUUGGAGAGCUAUUCAUUUGCAAGGUUUCUUUAUGUGUCAUUUCCAGAGGAGGGUUUACUAUUUAAUAGAAAGGUUCACCUGGAAUAUCUCAAAUGACACAUUCCCAAAUACAGGCAUUGAAUGCACAACAUUUUGAGGUACUAUUUUUGUAAUAAAAAUGUACUUGAGUCUCAUUUGAGCUAGUUUAAAUUGUAUUCAAUGUCUAUGGAUAACCUGUGAGCUUAAGUUGUAAGAUAAAACUCACAGUAUAUUAUUAGGGUUUAGGGUUCAACAGGUGAGCUUAAGUUGUACUUUCCUAGGUACUGCAUGUAUAUUAUCUUAGUAUCAACACUUGGUCUUAUGUGGACGAGAGAGAACAUUUGAGGAAUUACAAAAUCUUCUUAGUGAAUUAAGCUUGUUUCAGCUCUGUUUGUCAUCCCUCACAUUUUCUUUGUUAAGCCUUGAUUUUUUAUUAGACAUACGAAAAAAUGCUUUUAUAAGACAGGAGAUGAAUGCUUUUAUAUGUUGAUGUCGUAGUCAGUCUUCAACCACACUCUGUUUUUAGAAUUCAUUUAUGUUACUAGUUGAGAGCUGCUGUAUUUUAUAUUUCGUUCCUGUAAUGUUUGGAUGUUUAGCUUGAGCAGUCUAGCUUAUCCAGUAGAUAACUUGUCCCCUGUUUUGUAAUGUUUUUGUUUCCUCUAAUGAAAGCAGGUUUUACUUAUCUUGAACUGCAGAAGCCUACUUUUUGACAUAGGUGGCAUGGCACAAACUCGCAUCCGCAUUUCCAUCCCCAUUGGCAUGCUGUCUCAUCUUUUCUAUUCUGUUACCAGCUUGAAGCUUGUGUGGACAUGUUAUGCUCUUGUAAUUCUGAUCACAAACAUCACUUGACAAAUGGAAAGUCACAAUCAGAUCUUUCAGGUGAUCUGGAGGUUUACUUUCUAACAUUUGUUUUCGUGGGGGGGAGACAACAAUACAGAAUUUAAAAUUUCUGAUAAUCAAUAGUAGUUUGCAUAUAUCAGCUGGGACCUGUAUGACUGUAUUAUGUAAUUAAUUAUUUCUCUUAUUGUUUGGGUACUGUUAAAAGGAGUUAGCCACACAACAUAAAAAAGGAGGUCUCUUAUUUCAUACAAUUUUUCAAAUGUGAUCAUUAAUCCGUUUCUUUUUCAACAAUAGAGGAAUGUAUACUAAUCGUCUGGUCCAUCUGCUGCUUCACUCCCUAGUAGCUUCAUCUCCUGUCCUUUGCUUUAUUUCUGUUGAUGAAUGUUUUGUCUGGGUUAUUUAUUUUCAUUUCAUGUCCAUUGCUUUAUUUCUGUUUGGAUUCUUAAUUAAAUCUGUCCUGGACUUGAACAAGGGUUAGGUUAGCUGUAUAAUUUGCGGUUUUAUAUACACAACUGUCUACAUUGAUUAAAACCAGCAUUAUUCUAAGGUUCAUUUAGAAUGUAUUAUCACCAAAAUUAUAAAGAAUACUUCUAUUACAAUUAAUUUGUUGAUUCUAAUUUGGACUUGUAGGAACAGACCAAACAUGUUCAUGCGUGGCAUUGCUCAAGUCAUCAUCAUUCGAGACAGAGAAUAAGCCUUCAAGUGUCUGCUGAGUCAAUGAACCUUUCUAGAUAUCUCAAGUGUAAUGGAAAUUGAUGAGUUACAAAGGAUUUGUAAACAUUUUCUACUGGAGGCUAGAAAUGCUUCAAAUAAAUGACCGUGUUGCAAUUAUUUUGUAGGAUCAAAGACUCUGCAAAGAGGUAAGAAAGUCAUCAUCAAGUAACUUUGCUCUUCAAACUUUUUAUUUUUAUUUUUAAAUAUCAGUAAUAACUGGGAAAGCUUGCAUCUCCUUAAAUUGCUCAUUCUUACAUCUUUUAUAGUUUGUUGAUCUUGGGCAAGUGGAGAGAGAGGCGUCAAGUGAUACGCAACAACCAUUUUCUGUGAGCUGAUUUGAUAAAGAGAAAUGGUAUGCUUUCUUGUCUUAAGCGGUGUGUUCUGCAAUUAUUUGAAACAAAGGAUGCCGCACUUCAAGUUCGAGAAAAUCAGGUAUUUUAGUAUUUUAUUCUUGAGAAAUUUGAUUUAUGUAGAAACUUGAACAUGUAAAUAAAAUAAAUAAAAUAUAUUAUAUGCUGUUAAUGAGUUAAUAUGGUGCUUGCUUCUAGUUGGAAAUUUAUGUAGUCAUCUACCUAUGAUCAAAUAAAGAUGAAGAAUAAAAUAUAAUUGAGAGCAUCUUCCUCUCCCCUGCUUUGCUCAUCCCUUGUUCUUCCACUUCAGCCCCACUAUUACACCAUUUUUUCAGCCACAAUUAUAAUAGCUCCAUGAGCAUUAAGUCCUUUUCAAAUUCUGCUGACAUUCAAAAUUGGAAUUUGCUGGUGAUAUAUGAUAGCAUCUUUGUCCGACCAAAAAGAGAAAAAAAAAAAGUUGAUAGCAUAUUGUACCAUUUUGGCCAGUGUACGCAAUAUUAUUGCAUCCAACUUUGCAUAUUAACAUCAGUGGCCACAGUUCCAUGAUUUGAGUGCACAGAAAAGUUUCAAAAGUUGUCCCACAAAGAACAGUCGUUCAAAGUGAAAGAGAGAUUUCAAAGCUUAAUUACAAGUUCAUGUUAUUUACAAUAUCAAAAAGCUUUCAUACUUGCUUACAAACCUGUAUUUCCAAGUUCUGCAAACCUUGGAAUAUCACUUCAUCCAAAUCCCCUUCCAAAGCAGGAAAAAAUGGCAGCAGCUUUGAUUGGAGAGGCUCUCAUCUCUGCUUCUAUCGUGGUGUUGUGUGACAGAGUUACUUCAGCCGAGUUCAUAGACUUAUUUCAGCAGAAGAAACUUGAUGAAACACUCCUCAUGAACCUGAAGACGACACUGUUGAUUUUGUUUGCGGUGCUCAAUGAUUCAGAGGAGAAGCAAAUUGUGAACCCUGAAGCUUUGCGAUGCAAGCUGGAAGGUGAGGAUCAAACCCACAAUAAUUAACCAAAAAGGAUCUUUUUGAUUGUUUGAAAGGAGGGUCUUGAUGAUUUGAAAGGAGAGGGUUGCUUUAUUUCUGUUGGAUGCUUAAUUAAAUCUUAUUUGGAGUUGAACAAGGAUUAGGUUAGCUGUAUAAUUAGUGGUAAACGCCUUUUUCUAAGGGUCAUUUAGACUCCUAUUACGAUUAAUUUGUUGUUUCUAAUUUGGACUUGUAGGAACAGACCAAAUAUGUUCACACGUGGCAUCGCUCAAGUCAUCAUCAUUUCAGACUGAAAAUCAGCCUUCGAGUGUCUGUUGAGUCAAUAAACCUUUCUAGAUAUAUCAAGUGCAAUGGAAAUUCAUGAGUUACAUAGAGAUUUUUAAACAUUUUGAAGAUUGCAACACCUGCAAGUGAGAUAGGCGGUGACGAAAUCAGAGCUGAUUUUGAAGCCUCUGAUGCCCCUGUUGUUGCAAGUUGCACCUGAGAACAAGUUUUUUUUUUCUUUGGGGUAAAAAACUGGCAACAUGUUCGGAGCUGACAAUUCAAUCCCUGAUGAACUAGAGAAGCAAAGCUCCGGUAAGGAAAUUGGUCAAGGUUGUGACAGGGAUGAUUGAUGGUGAAAUGGAUGCUAUUUCUUAUUGCAGCCUGUUCUCAAAGUUCUUGUUGGCAAAUGCAAUUGAUGGAGUAUUUUGAUUGGGAGGAGAGAUAAUGACAUGGCUUGACAAUUCUAGAACAGCCCAUCAUUAAUCCCAGAAAAAAUCCCGUUUCUGCUAAACAAUCACUUAUGGCAAGGCCAACUCUGUAAAUGGAAUUUGUGAUCCCUUCAAAUUGUACACAUUUUUUCUUUUUGAGGAAUUUAAUCAAACAGUAUUCUAAUGCAUUAUGAUAGCACUACACGCUUUUGUUGUAACAAAUUACAAGGAGGAAUUUGGAUUGAGUUUCUUGUAUAAGCACACCUUACACAAAUUUCGUAUAUUUUCUUCCAGCAAGUCUGUUUAUUAACCCCCUUAUCUGAAAUUAAUUGUUAAAAGUUUUGAUUCAUCUUUAAUCAGUGUCUUACCCUUGUUGAAUAACACUCCUCUUUCUAAUUUAUAUUUGAAGUUUGAGCUUUCAAUUUCAAUUGUGGGCUUUGAUUUUUCAGAUUUUGUUUGUCAAUUUCAGUUUGGACAAAGCAUAUAUGCAAACAAAGUAAGCAUUUUAUGUUAUACUUUUGAACUAGGUGUUGAUUUGAUUUAAUCAUAAGUUUUGCUGGUGCAUUUACUAGGCUAAUCAUUCAAUACUUUUGAUCAUAGAACUUCUUUGGUUGAUAUUAUCUUUGUUAAGUUUAACCAUAACUUUAGAGAGGGGACUUCAACAGAUUUAUAAUCUCAUCAUUAUAGUAUUAAAAAUUAGAGAUUAUUUAAGGCAUUGUCUAUUAUCUGAAUUCUGCUUACUUUUAGUUCAUAUGUUUACAUCUUAGCAUAUUCAUGUGAUUAGUGCGGCUCAUACCACAAAGGCAAUUUUAGGCUCAUCAAGUGCUAAGCAAUGUCAAGCUUCCAAAUGACAAGUUCUCUACAUAGUUUGAGACCUACACUUACUAGAUAUUAGAUCAUUUCGAUCAUUUCCAUAUGUUUAUAUGUAAUUGACAUGUUAUAACAUUUUUGUAGCGUUAUAUAAUUAUUUAGCAAUUUAAUUAUUUCUUUGCAACUUAAUUUUUUUUGUCAAUCAUACUAUUGUUGACUGCUAAAAACCAUCAAGAAAUAGUUCUCAAGUUAUAAAAAAAAAAAAAUUUUAAAAAAGAUUUGUUGAUGCUUAAAAAGCAUCAAGAACAGAUAGUUUCUUGACGGUUUUGUGACAUUUCAUAACUGUAGGGGGCUUUUUCUUCCGACAGCUGUAAAUGGGCUGGGCUGCCGUAAAGGGCAGACUGAUGAAAUUGUCCCCUUUUGUAUGAGCUCAAAAAUUAAGCCCCAAAAUACUUUGAAAGGGCAGCAGAGCCUUAGGAAGUAUUUUGGUUACCCUCACCAACUAAAACAACAACAACUUACAGGUAAUUACUUAAUGCUUAUGGAUGAACUCUUGAGCUUGGCAUGAGAGACAUAUGGCAUGGAAGCAAAAUCAACAUGAGUUUAGCACUGAGGGGAAAUUUAGGCUCUCUUGGGGGAAAAAGGGAAGUGUUAAGGUGAGAGAGGAGAAGUUUGUAGGAGAUUUAGCUAAGAAAGGAGAAAUAUAGAACAAUGCUCUUUUGGCAGCUUGACAGAUGCUCUGUUUGCCAGAAAAGGAAGAUGGAGAAGAAAUGUGAAUAGUGCAAGAGUUUGCUAGAUUUUUGCAGGUAAGAGAGGAAGCUUGCUCUCUGGGUCUGAGUUGAGUUUUUUUGUGUGGAAGAGACCUCAUUUUAUAGCCCUUGGAAACCAUCACUUCCCAAGAAACCCUAAUGGCUUCUACCCAUUUUGGCCAAGCUUUUCCCUUCCUUUCUCAUUUCCUUCCUUGACUUUACCCCUCUUGAUGAAAUCCCCUCUGCCUAUUUGCACCAUAUCAGAGUUUUUUGAAGCUCAAGGCCCCUUUUUCCCGCAGUUGUCUCAAUGGGAGACUUCCAUUCCCAGUCAUCUCCUUUAUUGCUUUCCUUUCUUUUUUUCAUGGCCAAGUUUGGUGGGGAAAGGAGUUGGGAUAUAUAUGCUGGUUUGAAGGGUGCUUCUCUUCCUGGCAUCUUACACACUAAUACCCCUUGGUUCCUUGAAUGUUUUGGCUUUGAAACUUGCUCUCCCCCCCCCCCCCCCCCCCCCCAUGUACUGGAACCUACCAGCAGCUCUAUUCAAUGAAUCUUCAGACCUUCUCUUCGUGGCUUUUAUUUUUUAUCAACGGGCUGGGGCUUUUGUGGCUCAUUGUGGCAAUUGUAUGGGCUAAGGUGGUUCAUUAAGUAAGUGGGCUAUUUUUAUUAAACAUUAGGCUUUUUGGUUGAGUCACUAGGCUAUUUUGAUUGGGCUAUUGGGCUAUUUUUUUCCUCUCUUGUGCUCACCCACAUGUUUGGACCAAAGAAAUGAGCUUGAGUCCUGAGGCUCCCAAGCGACCCGAGACUUUCCAUUUCUGGCCCAUCAAUGGGCCUCAUGUUGAUUUAUUACCAUCCAUACCACAACCCACUCAAGCAGGCUCCGGGCAUUUGAAUGACUUGGGCGCACUUAGGCUUGUAGUGUGGUUGGGUGCGAAAUAACGAUUUCGUGCUUGGCAUGUUUUAAUUUUAUCAUCCUUGGGAAAGGCUGCGAUGUUUGAUUUCGGCAUGGGCUUGUAGAGCUGGUAUGCUUUAUUUCAACUCCUAGCAUGACGAAUUAUUUAUUUAGCAUGGCACGUGAAUUACAACUCGCAUGUGGUGGGUUUUUGUGUACUACACCUUACGCCUCUUCUUAAUAGAACAUCGUUUUGGGCUGAUAAUUUAUUCGGGCCAAACCGUGAAUUUUUUGGGUCUCAAUAAUAACCAUCAUGAAACAUUACAUUUUGACUGACGUCAAGAAAUGGGGUAUCCCUUUCCUGAUAGUGGCAUCCAUGAUGCCUUCCAAGCAGUCAAUUAAGGGCUAUCGUGAUGCAUUUUAGUUGUCAGCAAAAGGUGUUUUUCUUGUACUGUAUUCACUCAAAGUCGUGUUUCAUUUAAGAUUAGUAGUAUGGUUGAAUACCAUUUGUUUUGUUAAAGAAUAUUAUACAUUAGGGAUUUUUGUAGAAAUGUCAUUUGAACUUAUACCUUAGUUUCAAUUUGUCACCUUGAAGAAAAAUUUAAGAGAAAUGUCACCUUAAUUUUUAAAAAUCCAUGAUUUGUCAUAUGACUUUAAAAUCAUCCAAUUUUCCAUCCAUUUUAAGGGUAUUUUAGUCUUUUCAUUUUGAAGGAAAAAAAAGAGAUGAAAAAAGAGACCUCUCUCUUACUUUGUCCCUCAACCCAACCCCACCCGCCCCCCAAAACACAUCACAUAGGAUUGCCUCCCCCUUCCCCACUUUUCUUUUUUCUUUUUGUCCUACUUUUCCACUAUGUUUAUGUUGAAGGAUCUAAAGUUUGCUUGGUCACCAUCUGUUACGUAGGCUUCCCAAUUGUUAGUUUGGGUGGGUUGUGGGAAUUUGUGUGCUCGAAACCCGAGACGAAUCUUGUGGAAUUCCCGACAUCACACCGAUGCCGGGCCCACUUCUGAACUAAAUUCUCUUUUCCAAAAUUAAGGAAAAAGAGUACGAGGCUUUCUGCCGAAAUUUCGACAGAGUAUUCCCUAUAAAUUUAACAUUUCAGCUUUGGUGGCCGUUCUCUCAUUUCAGCUUUGGUGGCCGGAUGAGAGAACGGUCGGCUAAAACGUGGCCAGCUGGCACUGCCGUCGCGAGAGAGAGAGAGAGAGAGAGAGAGAGAGAUUUUUAUCAAAUCAUUUUUGCCAAAAUUACGAUUAUGCAACUGAGGGUAUUUUGAUCGUAUCUUUUUCAUUAUAACUCUGAUUCAAGCCCACUACGUGUUUACGGACUCAUCUCGCCGUGCUCUAUGCAAUUGUAUAGUUGAAAUUCCCAAAUUCCACCCCAGUCAAAAAUUCAACUUUAAACCCUACAAAAUAUUAUAGGGGCAAAAUGGUCUUUUAUCUAAUUAAAUUAAUAAUUGAAAAUUUAUUUAGGACCGGGUUGUUACACUGUCGUUGAUGGACUGUGCGAUGACACUCACACAAAGUCCUUGAGAAUAAAACACACACACACCAUGAAGAGAGUAAAACAAAUACACAAGUACACAAAGAUUUAUAAAGGUUUGGCCUUCUGCCUACGUCCUCUUGGUGAUCCACCCGAGAAAUUCACUAGUACGUAAGAACAACUUUGGUUACAACUAAACCCCCUUAGCUUUCAUAAGAACCCUAGAUCUCUUUUCUCCCACCCUUGCUCCAACCCUUUGAUGCCCUUGUAAACACUCAAGAAUUCACCCUUGAAUUCUGUCAUGUGUUACAUCUUCUCUUCUCCCCUUUGUUAACCUAACCCUAAAAGUUAUAUUUAUAAUUCAUAGGACUUUAAGUACAAGUUAACUAGGAAUAGGAAACAUAAUAGACCUCAAAAAUUGGAGAAAAUAUGUUUAGAUCUCGUUAGGAAAUUGCACAACACGUGCGAUCCGCUCGAGCGCCUGCAAAAUGAUCCCUUUGUCGCUCAAGCUGCCGAUAGCUCAUGGGAUGGGGGAAUUAGAGAUUUUUUUUUUUUUCAAUUUUAAUUGUUUAAAAGAUAUACAAUUUUUUAAUAAUAAUUUUUCCAUUUUUAAAAUACCCUUGAAAAUAGAAAGAUUAAAAUGCCCUUAAAAAUGGAUGGAAAAUUGGAUUGCGUUAAGGUCAGUUGACAAAUCAUGGAUUUUGAAAAAUUAAGGUAACAUUUCUCUUAAAUUUUUCUUUAAAGUGACAAAUUAAAAUUGAGGUAUAAGUUCAAGUUACAUUUAUGCAAAAAUCCUUAUACAUUAUGAUAUUCUAACAAUAAAAUUGGCUAAAAUUGAUAUGUUCCCUCUUUAUUUUCUUUUUCUCUUUUCCUUUUCAUUUUAUGAUCCAAUCCUUUUCAUAUAUUUUUGUUCAAGACUUUGUUUUAGAAUGCUCUAUUACUAAUUUGGUACAGGUCCCUAAAAUCUCGGAGCCGCCUUAGUACAUUCAUAAUGUACAUGUUCAGAGUUCAAGAAUAAUGUAUAGAAUGUGAAAUUGACGAUGCCGGCCUUUAUGAGGCAACGUCUUUAUUUCUUUGGUUAUUACAGUUUAGAAUAUUUGCACAAAUGAGAUGAUUCCAAGCAUAAAGUCACAUUCGACCAAAAAGCAUGAAGUCACACACAAAAAGAACACGGACAAUUGCUAAGUUUAUCCUUGUACCCUUAUUUUAUUGAUCCGACCCAAUUGAAAAUUAAAAAAAGAUGAUAAAAAAUAUUGUUCACUACUUUAAAAUCUAUGAGUAGAGUCCUCCAUUUGAAAUUUCGUCAUUAUACAAAAUUGGAAUGAAAAAAGAAAAUCCUACAGCUAAAUUUGAUAUAUUUCCUUUUCAUUUUAUGCUGGGUGUUAGGGCUUGUCAAUGGGCCGGGCUAGGCUAGCCCGGCUCAAAUUUAAUGGGCUUGGGCUAGGCCGGGCCAAGCUUUAAAGAGGAGAGAGAAAAUAUCCGGCCGAGUUUUUUAAGAAAAUUCAAAGCCCAAGCCCGAAUCACUGCUGUCUAGCCCGGCCCAAAUUUAAUGAGCUUGGGCCAGGCCGAGCCAAGCUUUAAAGAGGAGAGAGAAAAUAUCCGGCCGAGUUUUUUAAGAAAAUUCAAAGCCCAAGCCCGAAUCACUGCUGUCAUUUCAUUGAUUUGUGACGAGCACAACCACCAAAUCAGAAUUUACUCACGAAAAUAUCAAGUAUGUCUAGCAAAUUUCAAUUUUGAAUAAUACACAAUUUCAAAAGGAGGACAUGUUGCAAGACAGCAUACCUUCUCUUGGGGUGCUUUUCAUUUUGCAACAUUUCUUUACGUGUAAUUUCCAGAGGAGGGUUUAUCAUUGUAUAUAGCUUUUCGGGUGGUUUGUCUACAAAACAAAUGUCACAAAGAAGGAGGAGAAACGGAAAAGAUUUACUUGGAAUGUCUCAAGUCUCCUUUGAGAUAAAGGCAUCGAAUGCACAACAUUGCUUUUGUGCUAUUUCAUAAUUAAAGUGUGCUUCCCAAGUCUCCUUUGUGUUUUGUAACUUGUAAUGUUUGUUUUUUUGUUUCCCCUGUUUUCCCUCUUAUAAAAGAAAUACAGGUCCAAACCACACGGAUCUACUUGCAUAAUAAUGGACCAAAUUUAUGAUUUUUAGAAAGAACCUUCUGCCGGUGGAAUCUUGGGCUACUGUUGUGGCUCUCCUCUGUGUGCCUCCUUUUUAGAACGGUAAAAUAUUCAAAAUACUAGAAAAUGUUCGUGAUUAAUAUAAAUAUUAAGAAUUGAAAUUAUUAAUUAAAUGAGGAUAAUAUGGUAAAUUCACACUUUUUUAUAUUAAAAAAAUUAAAAUUAAAAGAAAAAUCAGAUAAUUGAUAUUAUUUUUAUGGAACACAGCUACUCAUUAUCUUUUUUAAUUCUAAAAUAAAUUUAAAUUAAAGAAAAAAACCCCUCUCACAGGCACGGAAGCGCGUGCUCAGAGGCUAGUUAAAAAUAAUGAACUUUGCUUCUGAAGACGUCUAUACCAGACCCACUCAACCUGCUUUAUGAUUAUACAAAGAACAAACUCGUCCUUAGACUCAUUUGGUUAAACUUAGAAAAUAAUGAAACAAAAAUAUGCACUCCCACAAGUAACACAGCCAGGAUUGAAAACAACUGGACAAAGAAAGGCAUGUUAAAACAGAAUUUUCAACAACUCAUCACCAUUAGACAAGAAAAAGAAAAAUCAAUACAAAAACAGAAAGAACAGAGAAUAAAUGUGGUGGAAGAAAAACGUUGAAGCCAUUUGUGAAUCCAACAACACUACCACUCUGUUUCUCUCCUUUUGUUCAGGCGGAUCUGCAUAUAUCCUAAGGCGUAUUACGGAAACAACUUCUUGCCGUUAUACUUGAAUGUUGUGGAUGCUUCAACGUUGCCAUCUGGGUGGAGUGGAUUUGUCCAAUUCACCUUCACUAUGGUAUAUACGUCCAAAUUGUUGUUAUUUGAAAGGCUUCUAAAUUUUAACAUUUUGAUUUUUAAAUUUUGUUUAAAUAUUUCGGCCCACUUAGUUCUUCUCAAAAUAUGUCAUCAAUAUCGUUGAAAGGUUGAACUUAGUGAAUUAUUAUAGUGCAGUACUGUAGAAUAGACACAUGAUAUAAUUUGUCCACAUGUUAUAAUAUAAGUAAAUAUUUAUUGAUAUUAUUUCUAAAAAUAAGAAAUAUCAACCAUUAUAUCCUCCCAUAUUAUAAUACAUAUACAAAUUAUACCACAUUAUCAUACUCUAAUACCAUUUUAUAAUUUCUCGUACUUAGAGCGAGUCAAUGACAUUACAUAAUAUAUAAUUGUUCAUAUAAUGGGGCAACUAACGUGAUCAACAAGUUGUGGUGAUUAAUUUAACAUAAUAAAAAAUAUACCAUUUACUUGAGUGAUGUAACAAUUUGUUCUUUUAAAUUGGAUUGCCAUCACUUUAAUAUGAUAUGUUUCUUAUUAUAGUGUCCCAUGUUAAGUGCUUCAGCAUUGUUUGUGGUGUGUACACAAAUUUUCUUAUAAAAUGUUUUAAUGCUUCUCACAUGUAUAUCAGAUAUAGACAGUUGAUGUGACUUAGAAAUCAAAUUGUCAAUAAAGCAAAAAAAUAUAAUUGGUGAUUGAGGUCCAAUUUAAUAGAAAAUAGUCUUAACUUGUAUAUUAGAGGUUUCAGAUUCGAAUCCUCACUGCAUUAUUGUUGUAUACGUACACGAGAAAUCCUCUUCUCCAAUAAUUUAGACUAUCACUUAUACUAAAAAAAUAUAUAUAUAUAAUGACUUUUACGGAUGCAAACAUAAAAUUACACCAAACAAUAAUGGAAUAGAAAGAUGCAAGUUAUUUUUUUUUUUUUUACAUCUAAAGUAUACUUUAUAUAUAUAUUUAUUAUGGGUGUUAUAACCGUUUAAUUUUCAGUUUUUAUUUUCUAUUUAUUGUUUUAAUUUUUAUGGUUUAAUGUGUAUGAAGAUUACAAGUAUUGGAUGUCUACCACUCCUCCUUCACAUCUGAAACAAACCACCAUCUCAUUUCUGUAUUUUCAUACUUUCAUAUAUUUUCUACUUUCCAGAUUAUUAUUUUUGGGCAACGGUUCUGUGACUUGCAGAUUUCUAUCCGAUUGUUAACAUGCUCAUAGCGGACCUUGAGCUUGCGUAUUGGGGAUCGUAUCUUGGAGCCUUAUAGACCUUUAUUACCUGCAUGUAGGGAGGUUAUAAAUGCUUUAGGUCAGCAUCUUUGACGUGCUUUUGCUUUCUUUUUUUUUUUACUUAUUUCUUCGUUUCUUUAUUUUUACUUUACUUUUAAAUUUUUAUUUUAUGUAUUAUUUAUAUUUAAAAGUUUUGAAUAAGAGUUUUACAGAAAAGGAAAAACACAAUUUCAAAUAACACAAAUUUCUCGUUUUUGGUUCUUAAAAUAAAUGAAUUUUUUACUUAUUUGUGAACUGAAAUGCCUCUAAAAAAAUAAUGAUAGUUUGAAGAAUUUGAUAGAAAUUAAAAAAUAUCCUCAAAUUACUUGGAAUUGAAGACCACAUAGGCAAAAACACCAUUUUGGACAAAGGCUGGUGAUAAUAGUCGAUAUCAUCUUUAAGUACUUUAAUAUGAUAUGUUUCUUAUUAUAGUGUCCCAUGUUAAGUGUUUCAGCAUUGUUUGUGGUGUGUACACAAAUUUUCUUAUAAAAUGUUUUAAUGCUUCUCACAUGUAUAUCAGAUAUAGACAGUUGAUGUGACUUAGAAAUCAAAUUGUCAAUAAAGCAAAAAAAUAUAAUUGGUGAUCGAGGUCCAAUUUAAUAGAAAAUAGUCUUAACUUGUAUAUUAGAGGUCUCAUAUUCGAAUCCUCACUGCAUUAUUAUUGUAUGCGUACAUGAGAAAUCCUCUUUCCUAAUAAUUUAGACUAUCACUUAUACUAAAAUAUAUAUAUAAUGACUUUUACGAAUGCAAACAUAAAAUUACACCAAACAAUAAUGGAAUAGAAAGAUGGAAGUUUUUUUUUUUUUUCCUACGUCUAAAGUAUACUUUAUACAGUCCCGAUCUCUUGGACCACAGGAGUCCAAGAGAUUGUGGUCACCCACCGUUGGAUAUUAAUCCAAUGGUUCAAAAUGAUAUAUAUAAAUGCAAUAUGACAUAAAUGAUUAUUACCCGAUCCAAGUCAACCGUUGAAUUUACAUUCAACGGUGGGUGACCAUAAAUCUCUUGGACUACAGGGGUCCAAGAGAUCAGGACUGAUACUUUAUAUAUAUAUAUAUAUAUAUUUAUUUAUUAUGGGAGUUAUAACUGUUUAGUUUUCAGUUUUUAUUUUCUAUUUAUUGUUUUAAUUUUUAUGGUUUAAUGUGUAUGGAGAUUACAAAUAUUGGAUGUCUAUAAAGGGCCACUCCUCCUUCACAUCUGAAACAAACUACCAUCUCAUUUCUGUAUUUUCAUACUUUCAUAUAUUUUCUACUGUCCAGAUUAUUAUUUUUGGGCAACGGUUCUGUGACUUGGAGAUUUCUAUCCGAUUGUUAACAUGCUCAUAGCGGACCUUGAGCUUGCGUAUUAGGGAUCGUAUCUUGGAGCCUUGUAGACCUUUAUUACCUGCAUGUAGGGAGGGUACAAAUGCUUUAGGUCAGCGUCUUCGACGUACUUUUGCUUUCUUAUUUCUUCGUUUCUUUAUUUUUGCUUUACUUUUAAAUCUUUAUUUUAUGUAUUAUUUAUAUUUAAAAGUUUGAAUAAGAGUUUUACAGAAAAGGAAAAAUACAAUUUCAAAUAACACAAAUUUCUCGUUUUUUGUUCUUAAAAAAGAAGAAGCAUUGAUUGGGGAGUUAUGGUAAACUCAAUUUCAAUGGUUGCGAUGAGAGGCGGUGGCGGCGAGGAGAGGACGAAGGCUUUGCUGCCGACGGGGUGGUGUGGGUGGGUGGAGACCUCGGCUGGCUGCUUGGUCCUGGGUUCUCCUUUAAUUCUCUGUUUUCUUUUUUCUUUUUCUUUUUCUCUUAGAGUUAUUGAUGUUAAGUGAAUGGACAGAUGCCAAAAUAGGGACAGAAGUAGGGGUGGGCAUCAAUCCGGCCGAUCCGGUCAAUCCGGCCGAACCGAUUAUAUUGGAUUGGUUUGGUUUGGUUUUGACCAAAGAAAAAGUCAACAUUUUGAAAAACCGAACCGAACCGGUUUGGUUUGGUUCAGCUGUGGUUUGAGAGUUUUAAAAACUGUCCUAAACCGAACCGGACCGAUUAUAAAUCAAUUUAUUAUUUAUUUAAUUUAGUUUACAUGUGGCAAGGUUUGUGUGCGUUUUGUGAGUCCGCGUAUCUGAAUGUUGGUGCACGUUUUGAUCUUCUAAUUUGCAUAUCCCAGUUAUUUGUGUGUGCUUGUAUUUCCCUCUCUUUCUAUCUCUACUAUGUGUGUUUGCUCUUUGUGUUGUGUGGCUCUUCUUACUCUAUCUAUCUUAAUUAAUGGGUCCAUUUCAUAAUUUCAUACGCAUUCAAACUCCACCUCUGUGAUAAAAACAUUUACCUCUUUGUGAUAAAAGCUUUUCAUUUGUUUGUAUUUCUCUUUGGCUUUUUGACUCACUCACUGUCUUUCUUUCUUUUAAUGCUACUUGUGAUGAAUGCAAUGAGUAAAUUUAAUGCUACUUGGUUAAUGCAAAUUUUGUAUAUGUUUGUUUUGAUGGAAAUUGUGAACUUAGAUGCAUGCUAGACAUUGGACAACCUUUGAAUAAAUGGAAUGAUGUUGUAUUAGCCUUUGAUGGAAUGAAAUGAAAUGAUAUAAUGGCAAAAUGUUAGCAUUAUAAUGUAAGAGCAGGUUGAAAAAUGCAUGGUUUUGUGUUAGGCACAAACCGGCCGAACCAAUCCGAACCAAACCGAUUACAAGUGGUUUGGAUUGGUUCGGUUUCCAUUAUGAUUUUAGGCUAAUCCGAACCAAACCGGACCGUUAUUUUCUUAUUGGUUCAGCUGUGGUUUGAGAGUAAAACCGAACCAAUCCGGACCGUGCCCACCCCUAGACAGAAGAUGUGAACCCAAUUAUAUACAGCUGAUUACAUAAAGUAACAAAUUAAUUAAUACUUGAGUGGAGGACAGGCUUGAGUGGAAGAAUUGAUUAAGGCUUGAGUGGAAGACCAACUUCAGUGGAGGAAAGUAUAGAUAAGGAAAGCAUGCCUCGUUUAACGGCUUUAUCUAAUAAAGAUUAGUUGUUGGCACUUGGAGUUUCUUAGGAAUGCUGGUUUUGUUUCCUUGGUGGACUUGAAAGGUGGUGCGUUGGCUCGGACAUCUCCCUAGUAAUUAAUCGAAGGUGGAAUCUUACAAGACAUACAGCUGCUCAUUAGCUGAAUAUCUCGCUCUCUUUAAAGAGAUCGAAGCAAACUGCAAUUUGCAAUUUGUGUGAUUCAAGCAUGAAUAUCUGAUAUAGUAACUAUACCAUUUGUUGGUUUGAUAAGAAAAGUUUGGUUAGCGAGGAUGAAACCAUAAAGUUCUCCAAAACACACAAAAAACACGAACAAUUGCUAAGUUUAUUCUUGAGUUCACACAUAUUUGUACAAAUGAGAUUACUCCAAGCAUGACUAUACCAUUUGUUGGUUUGAUAUGAAAAGUACGGGCAACGAGGAUAAAACCAUACAAACACACACAAAGAACGUGGACAAUAUACUAAGUUUAUCUUUGCGUUAUUGAUCCGACCUAACUGUAAAAUAAAAAAGAUAAAAAUAUAUAAUGUUCACUACUUAGAUCUAUGAGCACUAAAGUCCUCCUUUUGAAAUUGCACAAAACAUCACUUUUGGUCUUUGGUAAAUUUUUAAAAUAAAUGAAUUUUUUACUUAUUUGUGAACUGAAAUGCCUCUAAAAAAAUAAUGAUAGUUUGAAGAAUUUGAUAGAAAUAAAAAAAUAUCCUCAAAUUACUUGGAAUUGAAGACCACAUAGGCAAAAACACCAAAUUGCAACCUCACUUUAAUGAUAAAAAUGGUAAACUACAAAGACAAAAAUGACGUUUUGCCUUAUACAUAAUUGGAAUUUGCUGGUGAUAAUAGUCUACCAUCUUUUGUCGAUUUGCUGGUGAUAAUAGUCUAUCAUCUUUUGUCGGUCCGACCUAAAAAGAAGAAAAAGUUGAUGGCAUCUUGUACCAUUUUUGCCAAUGUGGGCCCAAACAAUUUGAAGAAGUCCACCGGCAAUUUCUCAAAAGCUAUUGUGUGAGUGUGAAGCUAAACCAAUAUUAUUUUGCAUAUACGACUCCACAUCCCCAUGUGAUGUGAGGCUACAAAAGUGUUUCCAAAACGAAAUAUGAUAUUUCAAAACGAAGCUAUGUAUAGAGUCAUUUGUAUUUGCUUUCACAAUAACAUUUGAUUUGUGAAAGCAUUUUAUAUUUAUACAUUCUGAUAUUCUAACAAAUAAAUUGACUAAAUUUGGCCAACAGGAUUUAGCCGAAUAGAAAAGUCCUUAUUUAUAGACUAGUGGUUUCAAAUUUAAAGUUUAGACUAUCGCAUGUAUUUAAAAAAAAAAAAACAAUUGGCUUAAUUUGAUAUAUUUCCUUUUUUUCCUUUUUCAUUUUAUACUGGGUGCCGUUAUUAAGUUUUAUCCUUAUUUUUUGUUGAAAAGAAAAUUGAAAAAAAAUAAUAAUUCCUACAGCUAGCAACUUCUCCACCUUCCCUUCUUCGCAACUAGGGAUGCCAUUGCAAGGUCACCAUCUCAGAUUAAGUCCUCCUUUUAAAAUUGUGUCGUUAUUCAGAAUUGGAAUAUAAUCCUGUACCACUUUGGCCACUUUUGAAGAUGUUCACCGACAAUUUCUCAAAAGCUAUUAAGCUGUACAUCCACAAUAUUAUUGCAUCCAUCCCCAUGUGAGGCUACAGAAAAAUUUUGAAAACGAAACUGGAUAUUUUAUCUCUAACAACAGCUUUCAUACUUCGUUUACCCUGUGUUUCCAAGUUGUGCUAGCUAUUUGCAAACCUUGGAAUAUUACUUCAUCCAAAUCCCUUGCAGAGAAGAGCAAGAUAUGGCUUUGAUCGGAGAAGCCCUCAUCUCCGCUACCAUCCAGACGUUUUGUGACAAAAUUGCUUCGCCUGAGUUCACCGACUUAUUUCGGCAGAAAAAGCUCGAUGAACAACUCCUCAACAAGCUGAAGACGACGCUGUUGACCUUGUCCGUAGUGCUUAAUGAUGCAGAGGAGAAGCAAAUUAAGGAACCUUUAGUGAGAGACUGGCUUGACAAUCUCAGACAUAAUGUCUUGGCUGCGGAGGACUUACUGGAUGAGAUCGACACUGAAGCUUUGCGAUGCAAGCUGGAAGAAGGUGAAGGUCAAACCCACAAUUUAACCAAGAAGGUACGUGAUUUUUAUCAACGCAUGAAUGUUGAGAUGAAAGAUUUAUUAGAAAGAUUAGAACAAUUUGUACAAGAGAAAAGUGCUCUUGGUUUGAGAGAAGGUGCUGGGAGGAAGGUUUCACAAAGAAGAACAACUUCCUUGGUUCAUGAACCUUGUGUCUAUGGUAGAGAUGAAGUCAAAGAAAAUCUGUUACAAAGAAGAGGAUUUGCCGUCAUCUCUUUCUCAUCUGAGUAUCUCGCGGUGUCCUGCCCUGGAGAAAAGGUAUAAGAAUAAGACGGGACAAGAUUGGGCAAAGAUAUCUCACAUUCCUUGCAUCAAGAUAGGAUACGAACUGAUCAUAUAAUAUGAGCUAUUCCAUAUUUCACUCUCAACCCUCAACUCUCAAAUCAAAGUCAGGUGAGGUAUGUGCCUUCUCUUACUUUAAAAAACUGCUUCUCUUCUUCUAAUUGAAUACAAAAACCAAAACACAUAUUCUCUUUCUCUUCCAAAAACCCAAAUACAUGUUGAACAUUGCCAAAUUUGAUCUCCAAAUUCCUAAUUAUUUCACGCUUUUUGUUAUUUUGUUGCUUAGUAAAUUAUGGUUGCUGGUCACAAAUUAUAGUCUGUUAAUAGGUUCAUGCCAUGAAUUAAUCUUUGGACUUUCCCAGGUACUGCAGGUUUGUUAUUAAUGUUGUGGCCUGAUAUUCGUCGUAUCAAUAGGUUGUCUUACGUUGAGGAGAGAGAUCGAUCAGCAAUUACAAAAUUGUUAGUGAAUUUAGCUUGUUUAUCAUCUCUCUCCUUUUGUUUGUUAAGUUUGGUUGUUCUAGGUUAAACCCUUGUCCCCGCAUUUCACAGCAACUCUAUGUUAUUCCACUCUGUUUAGUUUCAUUUAUGUUGUGAUUCGACUGCUGCUGUAUUUUAGAUUUCGUUCAUGUAAUGCUAGGAUGUUUAAUCUCUUAUCUGUGGUGGUAGUUGAGUAGUCUAGCUAAUCCAAUGAUAACUUGUCCCCUGUUUUGUAUUGUUUUUAUUUCUCUGGUAAUGAAAGCACGUUUCUUAUAAAUAAAUAAAAAAUAUUUCAUUGAUAUUCAUUGCUUAUUUUGAACUGCAGAAGCCUACUUUUGUCAGAGUCAGUAGAUGCCAGAAUGAAGUCAUUGCCUAAACACAUUGGCACCCUCACAGCCUUCGACAUUUUGGGAUAUAUGAUCUUCAAAAUCUUGUGUCAUUUGCCUCCCAACCUGCAAUAUUUUCAUAUUUUAAAUUGUGACAGACUGAGCCCUUUGGUGGGAGAUUACUGGGGUUUGCAAGGACUUGGUGGCAAUAUCUUGUAGACGUUUCUCAAGGAACAGCUGCUCAAUACCACUCUUCACACUCUAUAUAUUAUGGCCUGUCAGUCUAUAAUUCCUGCCAGGAGAGGAACUUGAACGCCUCUCUUCGCUGCAAAGGCUACAUAUUUGUGGGUGUGACAAUAUCCAAUUCCUGCCAGAAGAGUGUUUGCUGCCAUCUCUUUCUUAUCUGUGCAUCAACCAUUGUUUUGCCAUGUAGAAAAGGUAUCUCACAUUCCUUGCGUCAAGAUAGGCGAAGAAGUGAUCAUAAGAUAUGAGCUCUCUCUCCCUCUCGCUCACAUACAAUGUACUUAACACAAACACUCAAUCUGAUUUCUAUUAUUAUUUUGCUCAGUAAAUUUUGUUUAAAUUUGCUUUAUUUCUCAUUGCACUUGUUCUGCUGAUCACAACUUAUAUCCUAUUUAAAUCUCAAAUGCUGAAUAAUGAGCAGUCUUUUCGCAGGACAACAUAUCUUCUCUUGGAGAGCUAUUCAUUUGCAAGGUUUCUUUAUGGGUCAUUUCCAGAGGAGGGUUUACUAUUUAAUAGAAAGGUUCACCUGGAAUAUCUCAACUGACACAUUCCCAAAUACAGGCAUUGAAUGCACAACAUUUUGAGGUACUAUUUUUGUAAUAAAAAUGUACUUGAGUCUCAUUUGAGCUAGUUUAAAUUGUAUUCAAUGUCUAUGGAUAACCUGUGAGCUUAAGUUGUAAGAUAAAACUCACAGUAUAUUAUUAGGGUUUAGGGUUCAACUGUUCAACAGGUGAGCUUAAGUUGUACUUUCCUAGGUACUGCAUGUAUAUAAUCUUAGUAUCAACACUUGGUCUUAUGUGGACAAGAGAGAACAUUUGAGGAAUUACAAAAUCUUCUUAGUGAAUUAAUGUUGUUUCAGCUCUGUUUGUCAUCCCUCACAUUUUCUUUGUUAAGCCUUGAUUUUUUAUUAGACAUAAGAAAAAAUGCUUUUAUAAGACAGGAGAUGAAUGCUUUUAUAUGUUGAUGUCGUAGUCAGUCUUCAACCACACUCUGUUUUUAGAAUUCAUUUAUGUUACUAGUUGAGUGCUGCUGUAUUUUAUAUUUCGUUCCUGUAAUGUUUGGAUGUUUAGCUUGAGCAGUCUAGCUUAUCCAGUAGAUAACUUGUUCCCUGUUUUGUAAUGUUUUUGUUUCCUCUAAUGAAAGCAGGUUUUACUUAUCUUGAACUGCAGAAGCCUACUUUUUGACAUAGGUGGCAUGGCACAAACUCGCAUCCGCAUUUCCUUCCCCAUUGGCAUGCUGUCUCAUCUUUUGUAUUCUGUUACCAGCUUGAAGCUUGUGUAGACAUGUUAUGCUCUUGUAAUUCUGAUCACAAACAUCACUUGACAAAUGGAAAGUCACAAUCAGAUCUUUCAGGUGAUCGGGAGGUUUACUUUCUAACAUUUGUUUUCAUUGGGGGGAGGACAACAAUACAGAAUUUAAAAUUUCUGAUAAUCAAUAGUAGUUUGCAUAUAUCAGCUGGGACCUGUAUGACUGUAUUAUGUAAUUAAUUAUUUCUCUUAUUGUUUUGGUACUGUUAAAAGGAGUUAGCCACAAAAUAAAAAAGGAGGCCUCUUAUUUCAUACAAUUUUUCAAAAGUGAUCAUUCAUCCGUUUCUUUUUCAACAAUAGAGGAAUGUAUACUAAUCGUCUGGUCCAUCUGCUGCUUCACUCCCUAGUAGCUUCAUCUCCUGUCCUUUGCUUUAUUUCUGUUGAUGAAUGUUUUGUCUGGGUUAUUUAUUUUCAUUUCAUGUCCAUUGCUUCAUUUCUGUUUGGAUUCUGUCCUGGACUUGAACAAGGGUUAGGUUAGCUGUAUAAUUUGCGGUUUUAUAUACACAACUGUCUACAUUGAUUAAAACCAGCAUUAUUCUAAGGUUCAUUUAGAAUGUAUUAUCACCAAAAUUAUAAAGUAUACUUCUAUUACAAUUAAUUUGUUGAUUCUAAUUUGGACUUGUAGGAACAGACCAAACAUGUUCAUACGUGGCAUUGCUCAAGUCAUCAUCAUUCGGGACAGAGAAUAAGCCUUCAAAUGUCUGCUGAGUCAAUGAACCUUUCUAGAUAUCUCAAGUGUAGUGGAAAUUGAUGAGUUACAAAGGAUUUUUAAACAUUUUCUACUGGAGGCUAGAAAUGCUUCAAAUAAAUGACUGUGUUGCAAUUAUUUUGUAGGAUCAAAGACUCUGCAAAGAGGUAAGAAAGUCAUCAUCAAGUAACUUUGCUCUUCAAACUUUUUAAUUUUAUUUUUAAAUAUCAGUAAUAACUGGGAAAGUUUGCAUUUCCUUAAAUUGCUCAUUCUUACAUCUUUUAUAGUUUGUUGAUCUUGGGCAAGUGGAGAGAGAGGCGUCAAGUGAUACACAACAACCAUUUUCUGUGAGCUGAUUUGAUAAAGAGAAAUGGUAUGCUUUCUUGUCUUAAGCGGUGUGUUCUGCAAUUAUUUGAAACAAAGGAUGCCGCACUUCAAGUUCGAGAAAAUCAGGUAUUUUAGUAUUUUAUUCUGGAGAAAUUUGAUUUAUGUAGAAACUUGAACAUGUAAAUGAGAGAAAAAAAAAUUUAUAUAUAUAUAUAUUAUAUUGUAUAUGCUCUUAAUGAGUUAAUAUGGUGCUUGCUCCUGGUUGGAAAUUUAUGUAGUCAUCUACCUAUGAUCAAAUAAAGAUGAAAAAUAAAAUAAAAUUGAGAGCAUCUUCCUCUCCCCUGCUUUGCUCAUCCCUUGUUCUUCCACUUCAGCCCCACUAUUACACCAUUUUUUCAGCCACAAUUAUAAUAGCUCCAUGAGCAUUAAGUCCUUUUCAAAUUCUGCUGACAUUCAAAAUUGGAAUUGCUGGUGAUAUAUGAUAGCAUCCUUGUCCGACCAAAAAGAAAAAAAAAAAAAGUUGAUAGCAUAUUGUACCAUUUUGGCCAGUGUACGCAAUAUUAUUGCAUCCAACUUUGCAUAUUAACAUCAGUGGCCACAGUUCCAUGAUUUGAGUGCACAGAAAGGUUUCAAAAGUUGUCCCACAAAGAACAGUCGUUCAAAGUGAAAGAGAGUUUUCAAAGCUUAGUUACAAGUUCAUGUUAUUUACAAUAUCAAAAAGCUUUCAUACUUGCUUACAAACCUGUAUUUCCAAGUUCUGCAAACCUUGGAAUAUCACUUCAUCCAAAUCCCCUUCCAAAGCAGGAAAAAUGGCAGCAGCUUUGAUUGGAGAGGCUCUCAUCUCUGCUUCUAUCGAGUUGUUGUGUGACAGAGUUACUUCAGCCGAGUUCAUAGACUUAUUUCAGCAGAAGAAACUUGAUGAAACACUCCUCAUGAACCUGAAGACGACACUGUUGAUUUUGUUUGCGGUGCUCAAUGAUUCAGAGGAGAAGCAAAUUGUGAACCCUGCUGUGAGAGAGUGGCUUAACAGCUCAAGCAUGCUGUCUUUGAUGCAGAGGACUUACUUGAUGAGAUUGACACUGAAGCUUUGCGAUGCAAGCUGGAAGGUGAGGAUGAAACCCACAAUAAUUAACCAAAAAGGAUCUUUUUGAUUGUUUGAAAGGAGGGUCUUGAUGAUUUGAAAGGAGAGGGUUGCUUUAUUUCUGUUGGAUGCUUAAUUAAAUCUUAUUUGGAGUUGAACAAGGAUUAGGUUAGCUGUAUAAUUAGUGGUAAACGCCUUUUUCUAAGGGUCAUUUAGACUCAUAUUACGAUUAAUUUGUUGUUUCUAAUUUGGACUUGUAGGAACAGACCAAAUAUGUUCACACGUGGCAUCGCUCAAGUCAUCAUCAUUUCAGACUGAAAAUCAGCCUUCAAGUGUCUGUUGAGUCAAUAAAACUUUCUAGAUAUAUCAAGUGCAAUGGAAAUUCAUGAGUUACAUAGAGAUUUGUAAACAUUUUGAAGAUUGCAACACCUGCAAGUGAGAUAGGCGGUGACGAAAUCAGAGAUGAAGCCUCUGAUGCCCCUGUUGUUGCAAGUUGCACCUGAGAACAUGUUUUUUUUUCUUCUUUGGGGUAAAAAACUGGCAACAUGUUCGGAGCUGACAAUUCAAUCCCUGAUGAACUAGAGAAGCAAAGCUCCGGUAAGGAAAUUGGUCAAGGUUGUGACAGGGAUGAUUGAUGGUGAAAUGGAUGCUAUUUCUUAUUGCAGCCUGUUCUUAAAGUUCUUGUUGGCAAAUGCAAGAGAUGGAGUAUUUUGAUUGGGAGGAGAGAUAAUGACAUGGCUUGACAAUUCUAGAACAGCCCAUCAUUAAUCCCAGAAAAAAUCCAGUUUCUGCUAAACAAUCACUUAUGGCAAGGCCAACUCUGUAAAUGGAAUUUGUGAUCCCUUCAAAUUGUACACAUUUUUUCUUUUUGAGGAAUUUAAUCAAACAGUAUUCUAAUGCAUUAUGAUGGCACUACACGCUUUUGUUGUAACAAAUUACAAGGAGGAAUUUGGAUUGAGUUUCUUGUAUAAGCACACCUUACACAAAUUUCGUAUAUUUUCUUCCAGCAAGUCUGUCUAUUAAACCCCUUAUUUGAAAUUAAUUGUUAUAAGUUUUGAUUCAUCUUUAAUCAGUGUCUUCCCCUUGUUGAAUAACACUCCUCUUUCUAAUUUAUAUUUGAAGUUUGAGGUUUCAAUUUCAAUUGUGGGUUUUGAUUUUACAGAUUUUGUUUGUCAAUUUCAGUUUGGACAAAGCAUAUGCAAUCAAAGUAAGCAUUUUAUGUUAUACUUUUGAACUAGGUGUUGAUUUGAUUUAAUCAUAAGUUUUGCUGGUGCAUUUACUAGGCUAAUCAUUCAAUACUUUUGAUCAUAGAACUUCUUUGGUUGAUAUUAUCUUUGUUAAGUUUAACCAUAACUUUAGAGAGGGGACUUAACAGAUUUAUAAUCUCAUCAUUAUAGUAUUAAAAAUUAGAGAUUAUUUAAGGCAUUGUCUAUUAUCUGAAUUCUGCUUACUUUUAGUUCAUAUGUUUACAUCUUAGCAUAUUCAUGUGAUUAGUGCGGCUCAUACCACAAAGGCAAUUUUAGGCUCAUCAAGUGCUAAGCAAUGUCAAGCUUCCAAGUGACAAGUUCUCUACAUAGUUUGAGACCUACACUUACUAGAUAUUAGAUCAUUUGGAUCAUUUCCAUAUGUGUAUAUGUAAUUGACAUGUUAUAACAUUUUUGUAGCGUUAUAUAAUUAUUUAGCAAUUUAAUUAUUUCUUUGCAACUUUAUUUUUUUUGUCAGUCAUACUAUUGUUGACUGCUAAAAACCAUCAAGAAAUAGUUCUUAAGUUAUAAAAAAAAAUUAUAAAAAAAAAGAUUUGUUGAUGCUUAAAAAGCAUCAAGAACAGAUAGUUUCUUGACGGUUUUGUGACGUUUCAUAACUGUAAGGGGCUUUUUCUUUCGACAGCUGUAAAUGGGCUGGGCUGCCGUAAAGGUCAAGACUGAUGAAAUUGUCCCUUUUUGUCUGAGCUCGAAAAUUAUGCCCCAAAAUACUUUGAAAGGGCAGCAGAGCCUUAGGAAGUAUUUUGGUUACCCUCACCAACUAAAACAACAACAACUUACAGGUAAUUUCUUAAUGCUUACAGAUGAACUCUUGUGCUUGGCAUGAGUGACAUGUGGCAUGGAAGCAAAAUCAACAUGAGUUUAGCACUGAGGCGAAAUUUAGGCUCUCUUGGGGGAAAAAGGGAAGUGUUAAGGUGAGAGAGGAGAAGUUUGUAGGAGAUUUAGCUAAGAAAGGAGAAAUAUAGAACAAUGCUCUUCUGGCAACUUGACAGAUGCUCUGUCUGCCAAAAAAGGAAGAUGGAGAAGAAAUGUGAAUAGUGCACGAAUUUGCUAGAUUUUUGCAGGUAAGAGAGGAAGCUUGCCCUAUGGGUCUGAGUUGAGUUUUGUUGGGUGGAAGAGACCUCAUUUUAUAGCCCCUGGAAACCAUCACUUCCCAAGAAACCCUAAUGGCUUCUACCUAUUUUGGCCAAGCUUUUCCCUUCCUUUCUCAUUUCCUUCCUUGAGUUUACCCCUUUUGAUGAAAUCCCAUCUGCCUAUUUGCACCAGAUCAAAGUUUUUUGAAGCUCAAGGCCCCCAUUUUCUUGCAGUUGUCUCAAUGGGAGACUUCCAUUCCCAGUCAUUCUCCUUUAUUGCUUUCCUUUCUUUUUUUCAUGGCCUAGUCUGGUGGGGAAAGGAGUUGGGAUAUAUAUGCUGGUUUGAAGGGUGCUUCUCUUCCUGACAUCUUACACACUAAUACCCCUUGGUUCCUUGAAUGUUUUGGCUUUGAAACUUGCUCCCCCCCUCCCCCCAUGUACUGGAACCUCCCAGCAGCUCUGUUCAAUGAAUUUUCAGACCUUUUCUUCAUGGCUUUUAUUUUUUUAUUAACUGGCUGGAGCUUUUGUGGCUCAUUGUGGCAAUUGUAUGGGCUAAGGUGGUUCAUUAAGUAAGUGAGCUAUUUUUAUUAAACAUUGGGCUUUUUGGUUGAGUCACUAGGCUAUUUUGAUUGGGCUAUUGGGCUAUUUUUUCCUUUCUUGUACUCACCCACAUGUUUGGACCAAAGAAAUGAGCUUGAGUCCUGAGGCUCCCAAGCGACCCGAGACUUUCCAUUUCUCGGCCCAUCAAUGGGCCUCAUGUUGAUUUAUUACCAUCCAUACCACAACCCACUCAAGCAAGCCCCGGGCAUUUGAGUGGCUUGGGCCCACUUAGGCUUGUAGUGUGGUUGGGUGCGAAAUGACGAUUUCGUGCUUGGCAUGUUUUAAUUUUAUCAUCCUUGGGAAAGGCUGCGAUGUUUGAUUUCGGCAUGGGCUUGUAGAGCUGGUAUGCUUUAUUUCAACUCUAGCAUGACGAAUUAUUUAUUUAGCAUGGCACGUGAAUUACAACUCGCAUGGGGUGGGUUUUUGUGUACUACACCUUACGCCUCUUCUUAAUAGAACAUCGUUUUGGGCUGAUAAUUUAUUCGGGCCCAACUGUGAAUUUUUUGGGUCUCAAUAAUAACCAUCAUAAAAUAUUACAUUUUGACUGACGUCAAGAAAUGGGGUAUCCCUUUCCUGAUAGUGGCAUCCAUGAUGCCUUCCAAGCCGUCAAUUAAGGGCUAUCGUGAUGCAUUUUAGUUGUCAGCAAAAGGUGUUUUUCUUGUAUUGUAUUCACUCAAAAUCAUGUUUCAUUUAAGACUAGUAGUAUGGUUGAAUACCAUUUGUUUUGUUAAAGAAUAUUAUACAUUAGGGAUUUUUGUAGAAAUGUCAUUUGAACUUAUACCUUAGUUUCAAUUUGUUACCUUGAAGAAAAAUUUAAGAGAAAUGUCACCUUAAUUUUUAAAAAUCCAUGAUUUGUUAUAUGACUUUAAGAUCAUCCAAUUUUCCAUCCAUUUUAAGGGGAUUUUAGUCUUUUCAUUUUCAAGGAAAAAAAAGAGAUGAAAAAAGAGACAUCUCUCUUACUUUGUUGCCCAACCCAACCCAACCCCACCCGCCCCCCAAAACCACAUAGGAUUGCCUCCCCUUUCCCCACUUUUCUUUUUUCUUUUUGUCCUACUUUUCCACUGUGUUUAUGUUGAAGGAUCUAAAGUUUGCUUGGUCACCAUCUGUUACGUAGGCUUCCCAAUUGUUGGUUUGGGUGGGUUGUGGGAAUUUGUGUGUGGAGGGCAAGACCCUAUCUGACAGGACCUGCCUCGAAUUCCUCGAAACCCGAGACGAAUCUUGUGGAAUUCCCGACAUUACACCGAUGUCGGGCCCACUUAUGAACUAAAUCCUCCUUUCCAAAAUUAAGGAAAAAGAGUACGAGGCUUUCUGCCGAAAUUGCGGCAGUGUCUUCCUUAUAAAUUUAACAUUUCAGCUUUGGUGGCCAUUCUCUCAUUUUAGCUUUGGUGGCCGGAUGAGAGAACGGCCGGCUAAAACGUGGCCAACUGGCAUUGCCGUCGCGAGAGAGGAGAGAGAGAGAGAGAUUUUUAUCAAACCAUUUUUGCCAAAAUUACGAUUAUGCAACUGAGGGUAUUUUGAUCGUAUCUUUUUUGUUAUAACUCCGAUUCAAGCUCACUACAUGCCUAUGGAUUCAUCUCGCCGUGCUUUAUGCAAUUGUAUAGUUGAAAUUCCCAAAUUCCAUCCCAGUCAAAAGUCAACUUUAAACCCUAUAAAAUAUUCUAGGGGAAGAAUGGUCUUUUAUCUAAUUAAAUUAAUAAUUGAAAAUUUAUUUAGGAUCGGGUCGUUACACUGUCGUUGAUGGACUGUGCGAUGACACUCACACAAAGUCCUUGAGAAUAAAACACACACACACCGUGAAGAGAGUAAAACAAAUACACAAGUACACAAAGAUUUAUAAAGGUUUGGCCUCCUGCCUACGUCCUUUUGGUGAUCCACCCGAGAAAUUCACUAGUAUGUAAGAACAACUUUGGUUACAACUAAACCCCCUUAGCUUUCAUAAGAACCCUAGAUCUCUUUUCUCCCACCCUUGCUCCAACCCUUUGAUGCCCUUGUAAACACUCAAGAAUUCACCCUUGAAUUCUGUCAUGUGUUACAUCUUCUCUUCUCCCCUUUGUUAACCUAACCCUAAAAGUUAUAUUUAUAAUUCAUAGGACUUUAAGUACAAGUUAACUAGGAAUAGGAAACAUAAAAGACCCCCAAAAUUGGAGAAAAUAUGUCUAGAUCUCGUUAGGAAAUUGCACAACACGUGCGAUCCGCUCGAGCGCCUGCAAAAUCAUCCCUUUGCCGCUCGAUCUGCCGAUAGCUCAUGGGAUGGGGGAAUUAGAGAUUUUUUUUUUUUCAAUUUUAAUUGUUUAAAAGAUAUACAAUUUUUUAAUAAUAAUUUUUCCAUUUUUAAAAUACCCUUGAAAAUAGAAAGAUUAAAAUGCCCUUAAAAAUGGAUGGAAAAUUGGAUGGUGUUAAGAUCAGAUGACAAAUCAUGGAUUUUGAAAAAUUAAGGUAACAUUUCUCUUAAAUUUUUCUUUAAAGUGACAAAUUGAAAUUGAGGUAUAAGUUCAAGUUACAUUUCUGCAAAAAUCCUUAUACAUUAUGAUAUUCUAACAAUAAAAUUGGCUAAAAUUGAUAUGUUCCCUCUUUUAUUUUCUUUUUCUCUUUUCCUUUUCAUUUUAUGAUCCAAUCCUUUUCAUAUAUUUUUGUUCAAGACUUUGUUUUAGAAUGCUCUAUUACUAAUUUGGUACAGGUCCCUAAAAUCUCAGAGCCGCCUUAGUACAUUCAUAACGUACAUGUUCAGAGUUCAAGAAUAAUGUAUAGAAUGUGAAAUUGACGAUGCCGGCCUUUAUGAGGCAACGUCUUUAUUUCUUUGGUUAUUCCAGUUUAGAAUAUUUGCACAAAUGAGAUGACUCCAAGCAUAAAGUCACAUUCGACCAAAAAGCAUGAAGUCACACACAAAAAGAACACGGACAAUUGCUAAGUUUAUCCUUGUACCCUUAUUAUCCGACCCAAUUGAAAAAUAAAAAAAGAUGAUAAAAAAUAUUGUUCACUGCUUUAAAAUCUAUGAGUAGAGUCCUCCAUUUGAAAUUUCGUCAUUAUACAAAAUUGGAAUGAAAAAAGAAAAUCCUACAGCUAAAUUUGAUAUAUUUCCUUUUCAUUUUAUGCUGGGUGUUAGGGCUCGUCAAUGGGCCGGGCCAGGCUAGCCCGGCCCAAAUUUAAUGGGCUUGGGCCAGGCUGGGCCAGGCUUUAAAGAGGAGAGAGAAAAUAUCAGGCCGAGUUUUUUAAGAAAAUUCAAAGCCCAAGCCCGACCCAUGAGCCCGGCUUGAGAAAGCCCAUCGGGCCGGCCCGGGCCUAAACAGGCCCUACUUCGUUAAAAAAAAAUCAUAAACUUAAUCAUAAGGUCAUUUUAGUCCAAAUUUGAGAUUAAACUCACUUAAUUCCAAUAUUUUCACUUCAAACCAAAUUCAUAAAACACCCAAUAAAGUCACACAGCUUGUAAGAUUUUCCACAAAAAUAAUAAAACCAAGUACUAUUUUUGAGGUUAUUACAUAAUUAGAUCGUAAUAUGUUUUAAGAAAUAAUUUUAAAAAAUAAUAUUAAUAAGUAUCAAAAAAAUAAUUUUUUAAAGGAUGGUAUGAAUAAAUAUGCAAAUAUUUGGUGAUGUGUUCAAGAAAAGGAUGAUUAUAUUUGGUGGUACGAUUAUGUUUCGUGAUAUGAUUAUAAUUAGUGAUGUGAUAUGUUGUUCAUCUUAUAUAUAUAUAUAAUUGUUGAAUUAAUAAUUGACACAAAUUAAUGUGUUAAUCAUCCAAUUAUAAACUAGGAAUGAAUAAAGAAAAGUAAAUGAAAUGAAACAAAUUAUAUAUGUGAUUUAAGUGAUAUAAUCCUAAACCUAAACUCUUAUUUAUACAUAAUUAUAUAUGUAUGCGGGCCUAACGAGCCGGACUUUUGUGGGCGGGUAGGGCCGGGCUUUAUUGGGCUUAAUCGGGCUUUAUUGGACUUAAUCGGGCUGGGCCUAUAGGUCGGACCGAGCUUCAGACAUCCAAGCCCACGCCUAGCCUCGCCCGCCUUGGGCCGGGCCAUUCUUUUUUUGGGGUUCUAUUUCUCUUUGAAUUAACUGCUGAGUUUCAUGAACAUGUCCUCCUUUUGAAAUUGUGUAUUAUUCAAAAUUGGAAUUUGCUGGACAUACUUGAUAUUUUCGUGAGUAAAUUCUGAUUUGGUGGUUGUGCUCGUCACAAAUCAAUGAAAUGACAGCAGUGAUUUUGCAAGACAGCGUACCUUCUCUUGGGGUGCUUUUCAUUUUGCAACAUUUCUUUACGUGUAAUUUCCAGAGGAGGGUUUAUCAUUGUAUACAGCUCUUCGGGUGGUUUUUCUACAAAACAAAUGUCACAAAGAAGGAGGAGAAGCGGAAAAGAUUUACUUGGAAUGUCUCAAGUCUCCUUUGAGAUAAAGGCAUCGAAUGCACAACAUUGUUUUUGUGCUAUUUCAUAAUUAAAGUGUGCUUCCCAAGUCUCCUUUGUGUUUUGUAACUUGUAAUGUUUGUUUUUUUGUUUCCCAUGUUUUGUCUCUUAUAAAAGAAAGGCUUUUUAUCACAAAUGGUCCUUCAGGUUUACAAAAUUAUCACAAAUCGUCCUUCAAGUUUUUUUGUGACACUAAUAGUCCUUCAGGUUAUCAUUUACCCAUCAAAAUGGUCCUUCUGUCAGUUUCUGUCAAAACUGACGUUAAAUUCCUGUGCUCAGCCUGCUUUUGAAAUGAUAAUCUCAUCUUUUCCACUCAACCUUCAACCAAACUCAACUGUCAGAACCCUUUCCCUCCAUUUCCUCAUGGUCCUUCCAGUUUGGCGCCCCUGUAAUAUAUAACCAAUCUUAAAAAUUAAACUUCUGAAGAAAUUGAAACAAUCCAAGCUCAAGAGAAAGACCAACAAUUGAGAACUGCAGAGAAAGAUCAAACUCAUGGAUCAAUAUGGUAAAGCCAAAUUGAAAAACAUAAUUUGCUAAAGAUAAAGCCAAACUGAAAAACCAAACUGAAAAACAUAAAGAUAUCAUUGACAAAUAUAAAAAGUUAAAAAAUAUUGCACAAUCAAAAUACAACCACAUGUUUCACAAAACAAAACAAAACAACCACAUUUGCAGACAAGCUGUAGUUUACACUUUAACAAAGAUUAAAAAACUAACCUGUAUACUUUGGUUGUUUCCCCCCCUUUCGAAAGAACUCCUCGGACUCAUCCAUCUAGUCACUUUUGUAAGAAGAAUAAUGCGUAUUUGACUCUUACGAACCCAGAUAUUCCUUUUGCAGACCAGCUUUAUCAAUUAAAAACCCAAAAAACCUUAAUUGUGCAGGGCCCGAGGAUGAAAUGGAGGGAAAAGGUUAUAUAUGCGGUUUAGAGCGCCAAAAUGGAAGGCCCGAUGAAGAAAUGGAGGGAAAGGGUUAUUUCAGUUGGGUUUGGUCGAAGGUUGAGUGGAAUGAUGCGAUUAUCAUUUCAAAAGGCAGGCUGAGCACGCGACUUUAACGUCAGUUUUGACAGAAACUAACAGAAGGACUAUUUUGAUGGAUAGAUGUUAAACUAAAGGACUAUUAGUGACACAAAAAAACCUAAAGGAUGAUUUGUGAUAAUUUUGUAAACCUGAAGGACCAUUUGUGAUAAAAAGCCUAAAAGAAAUACAGGUCCAAACCACACGGAUCUACUUGCAUAAUAAUGGACCAAAUUUAUGAUUUUUAGAAAGAACCUUCUACUGGUGGAAUCUUGGGCUACUGUUGUGGCUCUCCUCUGUGUGCCUCCUUUUUAGAACGAUAAAAUAUUCAAAAUACCAGAAAAUGUUCAUGAUUAAUGCAAAUAUUAAGAAUUGAAAUUAUUAAUUAAAUGAAGAUAAUAUGGUAAAUUCACACUUUUUCAUAUUAAAAAAAUUAAAAUUAAAAGAAAUAUCAGAUAAUUACUCUUAUUUUUAUGGAACACAGCUACCCAUUAUCUUUUUUAAUUAUAAAAUAAAUUUAAAUUAAAAAAAAAAUCUCUCUCACAGACACGGAAGCGCGUGCUCAGAGGCUAGUUAAAAAUAAUGAACUUUGCUUUUGAAGACGUCUAUACCAGACCCACUCAACCUGCUUUAUGAUUAUGCAAAGAACAAACUCGUCCUUAGACUCAUUUGGUUAAACUUAGAAAAUAAUGAAACAAAAAUAUACACACCCACAAGUAACACAGCCAGGAUUGAAAACAACUGGAAAAAGAAAGGCAUGUCAAAACAAAAUUUUCAACAACUCAUCACCAUUAGACAAGAAAAAGAAAAAUCAAUACAGAAACAGAAAGAACAGAGAAUAAAUGUGGUGGAAGAAAAACGUUGAAGCCAUUUGUGAAUCCAACAACACUACCACUCUGUUUCUCUCCUUUUGUUCAGGCGGAUCUGCAUAUAUCCUAAGGCGUAUUACGGAAACAACUUCUUGCGGUUAUACUUGAAUGUUGUGGAUGCUUCAACGUUGCCAUCUGGGUGGAGUGGAUUUGUCCAAUUCACCUUCACUAUGGUUAAUCAACUAGACAGACAUAAGUCAGAAACAAUAGGUAUAUACGUCCAAAUUGUUGUUAUUUGAAAGGUUCUAAAUUUUAACAUUUUGUUGUAAAUGUGGAGAGAAAAAGUAGAGAAUUGGAAUAGAGAGGAGAGACUGAUUUUCUCAUUCAUAUGUUCAGAUGAAUGUCUUCAGUGUAUAUUUUACAAGUAGGGGGAGGUAUCUAUUUAUAGGCUAAGGUUUUGGUAAAAUACAGGGAAGGAAAGUUCCUGGAAGAUGCAAGGAAACUUCCUCUGUGGGCUCCACCUUCAAACUUUUACAACACUCCCCCUUGGAGACCACAAAUGAUAUGGAAUAUGCCUCGUUAAAAACCUUGCCAGUAAAAACCCAGUGGGACAAAAACUGGUCAAAGGGAAAAAGAGUACAUAAUGAUGUGUAACAUAAAAUUCUGUGUAUAUUGACGCGCGUGCGACACUGCCUCGUUAAAACCUUGCCAGGAAAAACCCAGUGGGAUGAAAACCUGGACGAAGGAAAAAGAGUACAGUGUUUGAAGAUCUUUAUUGAUAGCAUGCUCCCCCUGAUGCUUGGUAAAAUAUCUUUAAGUCAUACUGUUGAUCACCUUUCUGAAUAUCGUAGUUGACACUGCUGCUGUGAGUCAAUCUUGAGCGACACUGCCUCGUUAAAACCUUACCAGGAAAAACCCAGUGGGAUAAAAACCUGGAUGAAGGAAAAAGAGUACAGUGUAUGGAGGUCUUUAUGAAAAACCACGCUCCCCCUGAAAAAUAUCUCCCCCUAAAAAAUUUCAUGACUAGCUUUUCCAGUAUGCGACCAUAGAAAUUUUCAUAGUAUACUCUAAACCCUUGAGCGACACUGCCUCGUUAAAACCUUACCAGGUAAAACCCAAUGGGAUAAAAACCUGGAUGAAGGAAAAAGAGUACAGUGUGGAGCUGACCUCUAUCUGGUCUAGUAUACUUCCGGAAAAACAUUUAAGGUGUCCAACGGAUAAUCCUCAUAAAAAUGCUUCAAUACUUUCUUAGUAUAAGCAAGAAUCUCGUUGGCAUAAUGCUCGAUCUUUAAGUCGAGACAAAUAUUUCGUGACUUCUGCAGAAGCUUUAAUGUGUUGCAAACACAUUAUAAACAAUGUACUCACUGAGGUAAUUUAUGCAUAUUAAUAUUGAGUACAAAUUUUGUGCUUCAAGCACAUGUCCUUUAGGGACUUGCUUUAUGCAAUGUCAAUCCUCUCAACGGAUUUUGUUUAAAAGGGGAUUAAACUUUAUGACACAUUAUAUAGCUUUAACCCAGCUAUUUAUACAUCUUUAGGGAAUCACUUCAAGUGAUAUGCUCUGUGCAUUUAAUAACCCUUAAAGAUAACAUGUUGGUCUCCGUAAUUGUGCAGUAAGGGGGGAGGCACAAUUGAAUCUGUAAAUAUGGAAAAGACCCAACAUUCAUUGUUUCUGCCAGAAACAUUGUGUCAUACAAAGUAGGUAUAUUCCCUUUUAUUCCGAACACCCAAGUAUAAGUUUCAAUAUUAACAUCUUUUGGGGUUCGUACUGUGGGUUUGUUCUUUCACGUUCAUUCUCAUCUAUAAUGGAAUUACCUCUUUCCAUUUUGGCCAAUGAUAUUGUCGACAUCUAAUAAUUGAACGUGGUUCCAAUCAACACAGCCCAUUGAUGAUUUGAGUAGCUACUCCAAAACCAAAAAUUGUCAUUCAUCAAUUCAUUAUCCCACCAUUCUCAUGUGCAUGCGCAUGCAUCAAUUAUAAGCAUUUCUUUGCUUUUGGGUACCCAAGCCACUUCAGGGGGCUUUUAUUAUGUGAGAAUGUGGAUUAUAACCUCCAAUGGAGCGUUAUUUUGCAGUAGGGCGUGGAUAAUCUCCAUUUAGGGAGUUGGAACAUUUAGAACCCAUAUAUCUGUCAUGCUGCAGGCAUGCCACAGAUUAAUACAUACAUGUCAAUUAGUUUAUGGGACUUUAACCCAUAUGAUGGGACUUUAACCCAUGUAAUUUGCUACGCAUUCGGCGUGCAUAAUCUCAAUAUUGACAUGUCAAAGGAUUGUCCAUUCGGGACUUCAAUCCACAUCAUUUGCUACGCAAUAGGCGUGCAUCAUAUUGAUCACUGCUAUACCCAUAUUCUGUUCUUAUGGGACUUUAAUCUGUGCAAUGUAUUAUCAAUGUAUCCAACUUGCAAUCUGUAAAAUUUGCAUUAAUAAUACAUGGAUACAUACAAGCCAUUCUUUUGGGACGGACUUAUCUCCCCAUUUGGUUACCUUUCAAUAUAAAAUAUCAAAUAGGUAUAUAAGCAUAAAAUAACACAAGUAUUGCUUACAUCCUUAGGUGGGAGAAACUUUUCUCAAGUAUCGCUUGAUGAUCUUGUUAUAUCCUGCAAGAGCAAAAAUCACAAUUCCUUUCUCUGUCAAAAACAAAUAAGAGGAAUAGGUAGAACCGGUGAAUUUCAAAUUAACCAUAGGAAAAUUGCGAGAUUCUCGGGAUGCUUUUGAAAAAGUAGCUCCGUGAAAUCCGUAAAGCAAGAUUGGCUUUGAAAAUAAUACUUGAAAACGCCGAAAGUGCCGACAGGCAUUAUUAGAGGCCACGUGAAGUUUUGGACUUCUAGGAAAGAAAAAGAUAAUAUGGGGAUUCGAGAAGAUAUUGGGGUCUUGAAAAACAGUAGCCAUAUUUCCUCCUAUAGAUAUGGCCUUUGCAACAAUUGCGCACCUUCUUAAACUUGCACCUGUGGUUUUUACGCCUUUUCAAAAUGACGGUUUGGAACCUUGUGCCUUAUAGGUUCAAAUAACCACAUUGUUUCUCCCAAAUUUCAUAUUUUAUCGCAUGGUAGCCCGAAACUUUUGGCCUGGGCACAAAUUCAGAAUUUAUUUGCCCUUUUCAAAUGGACAUGAAAUAUGAAUUGAGUAAAAGCCAUGAUAAUAUCGCAAUAUAGUAGUGAAGAGCAUUAACUACUAUAUACCCACAACUUCAAGUUCAGGAUCUCUCAUAUAUUUGGAUCCAUGGGUUUCCGGCCCAGAUAUAACAAAAUAUGUGGGGAGCCUCAAUUCAUCAUUUGAGGUUCAUACUGAUAUUAUCCAUUUCACGGUGUAUUCUUGACAACCGGAAUUCACAAAAUAUAUUUCUUCCUUGAAGUGUCGAUUAUAACAAAAUCGAACUUUAAAUUCAUCAUCUUCUUAUGCCAAAGAAAUAUGUGGCAUACCACAAUUUGCAAUAAUACCUCAAGGGUUGUCCAUUUAAUUGUUGGAACUUCAGGUUCUCAACACUGUUAGAUUUUGAACUUCUGGCCAAAAUCACAUAUUCUCAUGGUAUGGACAUUCAAUCCCCUUAGAUUUUGAACUUCGGGCCAAAAUCACAUAUUCUCAUGGUAUGGACAUUUUUACAAUUUUCUGUACAUAUUUCUGGACUUCAAGCCCUUACAUAAUUGUCCAUAUUUUGAGGAACUUCUGGCAUCUCAUUUAAUUGCUCAUCCAUGAGUUUAAGGAACUGCAGGUUCCCUUUUGAAUGGUGAUGGUUUACCCAAAAUGGUAAAUACUUAUGCAUACAUCACUAUUCAUGUAUACGGCACUAUUUAUGUAUACAGUACAUUUGCCAGUACAGUUAUCAUCCAUGUGUACGGCAUUAUGAACAAAUACGGUACUGUUACAUCAUUAAGGAACCCCAUGUCCUUAUUUACAUGUCAGGGAUCAAGGACCCUCAAGUCCGAUCACAUGUUUACAAAUAUAGUACCGGAGAGACUGCCAGCUCUCAUAUUAACAUCAUCAUCAAGGAUCUUCAAGUCCUGAUGUAAUUGUAUGAUGAGGAUCAAAGAACUUCUGGUCCUGAUCUGUAUACUGUAAAAACUCAUCAUACAGCACAUUUAAUCCAUAGAAUAAAUUGCUGGUAAAUAAAUUACUGGUAUGGACGAUAAACUCGCACCAUACUUUAAAUAAAUAUUGCCUUACAUACACUUACAGCAUCAAUAAUUGAUAUCCAUCCAUGAUCCACCUGUAUAAAUGUAUAUAUAUAUAUGUAUAUAUAUAUAUAUUAUUUUUAUUUGGACUUAAACAGAAACAGGCAUUUUCUAUAGCUGUAAGUAUAAUUGUACCUGCCUACGCUGAAGAUUCCUUUCAUUGUUGCAGGAUGGUGGGCAUUCAGUUUAAAUAAAGCAAACACACACAUUUCAAAUUUUAAUUGAAUUUCAAAUUAGCAGUUUACUUACAUGCCCAUCCAUGACGUAAAAAGCAGAGACAAGUGAUUGUCUUUCGACAAUGACAUGAUAUCACAGUAGUGGGGAUAACGCUAUGAUAUUGGCCGAUCGGCUUCGCUGUAUCCCUGCACACCUUUAAUAAUUAUAUAAUAUUAAAAUAAUAUAAUUAUGUACCUGCACUAUAGACCUGCAUCUUAAGCUUCUUCCCUUUAUGGGGUCUGCCGCUUUGCCUUUUGUUUCCUUUGCUUUGCUUUCCACUGAAGCAAGUUGGCCAGCACCAAUAAUGCCGCCCACAAUGCAAAAAUCAAGUUGGCCAGCACCAAUAAUGCCGCCCACAAUGCAAAAAUCAAGUUGGCUACUUUUGCCUGUUGCUUUCUCAAUUUCCUCCACCCUUUCAUUGUCUUUUCUUCUUUCACUACUUCUCAUCUUCUGCCUCUCUCUUGCCUUUUUUUUUUCUUUUUUUUUUUUUGUAUUCGAUUUUCUGGCAAGCCUCCAAAGACAGCAACGACCAAGUUGCCUUGUCAUGGCUGGCGGCCAUUGCAAAAGCCUUUUCCAUGAAGAAAUGGACUUGGACACGAGGCUGGUUGAUUAUGUAGUUGGAGAUGAAGAAAGCAGCUGACAGUCUAGGGAGGGAGCGAACCAGAGAGUUUGUUACUCCACUGGUGUGGUUGGGAGGUAGGGAUCGUCUGUGGUUGGUACAGAGUUUUCUUCCUCAGCUCAAGCAAGGCAAUAGAGGUAGGUUUGUUUGCUCAGCUCAGCUCAACCUGUGCUCUCUGUGUUUGUUUGCUGGGUUAUCUGGGAGAGUAAUUUUCUUCGGGUUCGGUUCUGGUAUGCUUUUGCAUAUAGAAAACAGAGAACCCAGAAAGGAAAUCCAAGAGAGAGACUUUGGUUGAGAAAAUGGCAAUUUUUGAGAAAAAUGGAGAUGCUGAGGUUGGUUGGACAACACCGAAUGGAAGUUGUUGGGCUCGGAGCAGAGAAUUGGUUCUCUAGAUCGGAGGUUUUGUGUGAAAUUUUACUGGCAAGCAAUCCGUGUGGCUCUGUACAAAACUGGGUUGGUUUUGGGUGGGCAAUCUGGGCUUGGUUUCGAACUGGGUGUCUUGAUCAAUUUCUGGGAUCAAGAAAUCAGAGAUUUCAGCCGGUUAAAGACUCGUGCUGAUAUCGUGUUGUAAAUGUGGAGAGAAAAAGUAGAGAAUUGGAAUAGAGAGGAGAGACUGAUUUUCUCAUUCAUAUGUUCUGAUGAAUGUCUUCAGUGUAUAUUUUACAAGUAGGGGGAGGUAUCUAUUUAUAGGCUAAGGUUUUGGUAAAAUACAGGGAAGGAAAGUUCCUGGAAGAUGCAAGGAAACUUCCUCUGUGGGCUCCACCUUCAAACUUUUACAACACAUUUUGAUUUUUAAAUUUUGUUUUAAUAUUUCGGCCCACUUAGUUCUUCUCAAAAUAUGUCAUCAAUAUCGUUGAAAGGUUGAACUUAGUGAAUUAUUAUAGUGCAGUACGGUAGAAUAAGCACAUGAUAUAAUUUGUCCACAUGUUAUAAUAUAAGUGAAUAUUUAUUGAUAUUAUUUCCAAAAAUAAGAAAUAUCAACAAUUAUAUCCUCCUAUAUUAUAAUACAUAUACAAAUUAUACCACAUUAUCAUACUCUAAUACCAUUUUAUAAUUUCUCGUACUUAGGAGGUAUAGAGCGAGUCAAUGACAUUACAUAAUAUAUAAUUGUUCAUAUAAUGGGGCAACUAACGUGAUCAACAAGUUGUGGUGAUUAAUUUAACAUAAUAAAAAAUAUACCAUUUACUUGAGUGAUGUAACAAUUUGUUCUUUUAAAUUGGAUUGCCAUCACUUUAAUAUGUUAUGUUUCUUAUUAUAGUCUCCCAUGUUAAGUGCUUCAGCAUUGUUUGUGGUGUGUACACAAAUUUUCUUAUAAAAUGUUUUAAUGCUUCUCACAUGUAUAUCAGAUAUAGACAGUUGAUGUGACUUAGAAAUCAAAUUGUCAAUAAAACAAAAAAAUAUAAUUGGUGAUCGAGGUCCAAUUUAAUAGAAAAUAGUCUUAACUUGCAUAUUAAAGGUCUUAUAUUCGAAUCCUCACUGCAUUAUUGUUGUAUGCGUACACAAGAAAUUCUCUUCCCCAAUAAUUUAGACUAUCACUUAUACUAAAAAUAUAUAUAUAUAAUGACUUUUACGAAUGCAAACAUAAAAUUACAUCAAACAAUAAUCACUACUACAAAAAAGCAAAAAGACGACGGUAAAUCACCGUCGUGUAUUGGGGUUUUCAAUGGUCGUGGAAUCCACCGUCAUCUUUUCCCUCAUAAACCACGACGCUAAAUAACCGUCGUUGUUAAAAUAUACAACGUCAUCAACAAAUACAAAACGACGUCUUUGUACUGCAAAAAGAUCUAAAAAAAGCAAUCGAGGAUGAUAAUAGACGACCAACUCUCUAAAAAAACCGUCGUUAAAAAGAAAAAAUAUGACACAUAUUAAGAGAACAAGGCCGCAAGAUAGACAUACAACGACGAAAAUAAAAAUACGACGACGUUAAAUAUAAUUUUCACGACAAUAAAAAAUAUGACGUCUUUAAAUACAUUAGAAGACGACGUUAUUGAUACAUACUACGUCGCAUAUAUAAAAACAACCGUCGUAAAAUUAAUUUUCCACUUCGAUUUUUCGAUAAAAGAUGACGUGGAAAUAGUUGUCAGUGUCAUUAUUUACGACGUAUGUGUUUAUAGAUUAGACGUUGAAAAACUAAACAACGUCGGUUACAAAUAUAUGAGAGUCGUAUUACAAAAUUUAUACGUCCUAUUUUCAGAAACAAACAACGACGAUAAAUAUUAGACGUUGUUAAACAAAACAACGUCGGAAAAAUAAAAACAGACGUGUUUAGUCUGCUAAAGUUCUAGAAAAUAGUCGAGGAUGAGAAUAGACAACCAACUCAAAAAAAUCACCGUCGUUAAAAAGGAAAAAUCUGACACAUAUUAAAAGAACAAGGCCGCAAGAUAUACAUACAACGACGACAACUAAAAUACUACGCCGUUAAAUAUAAUUUACACGACAAGAAAAAAUAUGACGUCUUUAAAUACAUGAGAAGACGACGUUAUUGAAAUCUACUACGUCUCUUAUUUACAAAAAACCGUCGUGAAAUAAAUUUUCCACUUCGAUUUUUCUAAAAAAGAUGACGUGGAAAUAGUUGUCAGUGUCAUUAUUUACGACGUACACAUUUAUAUAGUCGACGUUGUAUUUAUAUGUAUUCAUUACUCACGACGCACUUAAUAAUAUAGACGACGUUGAACUUCUAAACAACGUCGGUUCCAAAUAAAUGAGAGCCGUAUUACAGAACAUAUAGACGGCGUAGAUUAUGAUGAGAGCCGUAUUACAAAUAACGUCGUUUAAUUGUUAUUAGACGGCGGUUAUAAUGAAUUUCCGUCGGAAUUCAUUUCGUUCCUCUUCGUUUAUAAAAGAACUUGCGACGUGGAAAAUGUAUGAUGACGUCGUAUUUUUUAACGUUCAGAUUAUAUAUCUCGUUUUUAGACGUCGGUAUUAUGGGAUUGGAGUCGUGUUAUUUUGAAUUACAUGGCGGUUCUUAAUCCUUCACCGACGUGAUAUCCUGAAUAAUUGCUUCACAAUAGCGUCGUGGUUCUUCAUUGUUACGUUGCUUUAAGACGUCGGUAAAUAUGCUGAAUAACUGAUUCACAAUAACGUCGUGUUUUAUUUGAACGUAGAAAGUGAAGAAAUCACAUUACAAUAUAUUACAAAAUUAAUGUCAUACACUGCCAAUUACAUAAGCAUCAUUCAAUCCAUAUAUCUUCACACCCAUCUCGAAUAUUUUGACCGCCUAACUCACCCACCAGUUCAUCAAAUGUGUCAACAUUUGGCAUCCCUCUAGUAAAUGGCUCACACUCAAUUAUCACAUCACCUAAGACUUCAUCACCAAUAACAUCAUUAUAUUCUCUAUUAGGCAUUGAUAACACUACCGACCAACCACGAUGCAUCGGGUCGUCAACAAAAAAUAUUUGUUUGACUUGAGAAGCCAAAACAAAUUGGUCAUUCCUAUGUCCAAUUUUACUCAAAUCUACAAGGGUAAAUCCAAGUUCGUCGACUACAAGACCAGAACUAUCUAUCCAAUCACACCUAAAGACUGGGAUUGUAAACUUUUGGUAGUCAAGGUCCCAAAUUUCUUGAAUGACACCAUAGAAACCCAUAUUUGAGAGAAUUGGGUUUUUAUCCUUGGCACUAGCAACUUGCAUGGUAUGUGCAAGUAAAUAAACUCCACUAUUUUGAGUUGUCCGCACAUCAUCUUGUGCCUUGAUAUUGAAUUUAAUACCUUUAAUAAGAUAGCUCCUAUAUAAUGGCACUGACAUGUUUGGACCAGCUGCUAGCCACCUUAAAUUUUCUGAUACGCCAUGAUUGUCUUCCUCAAGUUCACUUUGAACCUGCAAAUUAAUCAUAUCUUAAUUCAAUCUAACAUAUAAAUAAGAAGAAAAUUAAAAGAGAAAUAUGUUAUUCAACAACAUAUACCUUGAAGCGUAGCCAUUGAAUGAAAGUGCUAUUGUGCUUAUCCUGCAGCCACUUUGUUCUCUUUCUAAAUUUUGGAUAAGCAGUCUUGAUGUGGAUCAUAUGUUGCCCACAUGACACGAAAAAUUCAAGCAUUACGAUCCUAAAUAUAGAAGAUAAACAUAAGAAAUAAUUUAAAAUGGAAACUUAAAGAAUAAAGCUCAUACGUACUCGAUAUAAGGUAGGACUUCCUCCGUAUUCUCCAAGACAUAUAGAUGUGCUUGAUUCAACAGGUCCUGAUCAACUACGCUCACUGUGCAACCUGAUAAUGGCUUUGAAAGCCCCAUCUUUUGGCUUGAAGGCACUCCAACUGUACUAACAUCAGAUAAAUGCUGAGUACAACACUCUACCGCUUCUUCAGCUAUAUACCGCUCAGCAAUGCAACCUUCGGGACGAGUACGAUUCUGAACAUACCCCUUCAGCACUUUCAUAUAUCUUUCAAACGGAUACAUCCACCGAAAAUAUACUGGCCCACAUAGACGAACUUCUCUGACAAGAUGUACUACUAGAUGAACCAUGAUAUCAAAGAAUGAAGGGGGAAAGUACUUCUCAAGCAAACACAGAGUAACUACUACAUCUUCUUCCAACUUAUCUAGCUUGGAAACAUCAACAGUCUUUGCACAUAUAGCAUUGAAGAAGAAGCACAAACGAGUUAUUGCAUACCUUGCAGGCUUCUCCAAAACAGAACGAAUUGCCACAGGGAGCAAUUGUUGCAUUAAGGUAUGACAAUCAUGUGAUUUAAGGCCAAGAAGUCUUGAAUCUUGUAAAGAUACAAGAUUUUUAAUAUUUGAAGAAUAACCUUCAGGGACCUUCAUACCAUAGAAAGAAUUGCAAACCUCUCUCUUCUCUACUCUUGACAAAUUCCAAGGCCCAGGAGGCAAACGAGUACGUCUUUCUCCAUACUCGGGUUGCAAAUCAGUUUUGACCCCCAUGUUCAAUAAAUCUAAUCGAGCAGCAAUCCCAUCUUUAUUUUUUCCAGGGAUCUCCAGCAAUGUACCAAUGAUACUAUCACAAACAUUCUUCUCAAUGUGCAUAACAUCUAGGGCAUGCCUUACAGGAAGGUAUUUCCAAUACUCGAGAUCAAAGAAUAUUGAUUUCUUCUUCCAACAAACUCUGUCACCAUUUUCAACCAUAUGCAGCACUUCUUCUCCGGUUAAUGGCUCGGGAGGUAUGCCAUAUUCAGGUUUCCCAUUAAAAGCUGCACGUUGCCUCCUAUAUGGAUGAUUGAUUGGUAACCAUUUUCUAUGCCCAAUGUAACAAAUUUUGUGGCCAUUUUUCAACCUGUGACUAGGUGUAUCAUCGCCGCAUAUUGGACAAGCUUUAUAUCCUUUAACAACACAACCAGAUAAGUUUCCAUAGGCGGGGAAAUCAUUAAUUGUCCACAUUAAUGCAGCUCUGAGUGUAAAGUAUUCUCCAUUAUGUGCAUCAUACACUCCUCUAAUCCCAUCCCACAAAGAUUUUAAAUCAUCAAUCAAAGGCUCCAAGUAGACGUCUAUAUCAUUUCCGGGUUGUUUAGGACCGAAAAUCAAUAAGGUUAACAUCAUGAACUUUCGUUUCAUGCACAGCCAUGGAGGGAGAUUAUAUGUAACUAAGAUAACCGGCCAACAACUAUAUCUGCUACUUAGAGAACUGUGGGGAUUGAAUCCAUCAGAUGAAAGAGCCAAUCUCAAGUUUCUCGGCUCAUUACCAAACUCAGGCCAUUUAUCAUCAAGAAGUUUCCAAGACGGGGAAUCCGCCGGAUGAGACAUCUGACCGUCAAUUGAUUUUCUAGGAGCAUGCCAAGUCAAACUCUUAGCUGUCUCAUGUGAUUGAAACAUCCUUUUAAACCUUGGAAUUGGAGGAAAAUACCACACCACCUUCGCUGGCACACCCUCUUUCAAGAUUGAAUCUUUGCCUUCCUUCCACCUUGAGAUACCACAAGUAGGACAAUUAGUUGAAUCCUCAUACUCCUUCCUAUACAAGAUGCAAUCAUUGGGGCAUGCGUGCAUUUUCUCAUAACUCAGCCCCAAUGCACACAAAGUCUUUUUAGCCUCAUACAUAGAGGUUGGUAUUGUAUUUCCUUAUGGAAGCAAAUCGCCUUGAAGUAUCAAUAAUUCUGUAAAACAGACAUCACUCAUCCCAUGUUUUGCCUUCAAAUUAUACAACUUCACUAAUGCCGAUAACUUCGUGUACUUUCUACAACCAGGGUACACUGGUUGAUCUCCAUCCCCAAUCACAUUGGCAAACUCAUACGGAUCGGAACCAAAAUCAUUAUCAUCCAUAUCAAUUUCUUCAGACACAAAACUGUACCUACUAUGGCCAUCAUCUUCUUCAACAUUUCUACUAGCAUUAGUAGUUGCUUCCCAAGGUUCUCCGUGAAAUGUCCAAUUCUUAUAGCUUUGGUCAAUUCCAUUAAAGUAUAAGUGAUCCCUUAUAAUUCCAACCCCAAACAACUUCAAAUUAACACAUUUAACACAUGGACAACGGAUAUGUGUUGUAGUUAGAAGAUUUUCUACAGCAAAGUUCAAAAAUGCUUCCACCCCAAACUCAUAUGCCUUCGAUCUUCUAUCCGAGUGCAUCAUUGACUUAUCCAUCUCCGACACUAUAACCUAUUAUCUAUAAUAAAGUGAAAAUACAGGCAAUGACCAUCACUAUAGCAGAUUAUACAAAGAUCUAAUAGCAAGUAAUACACAACAAAGACGACGGGUUUUAAACAAAAACAGACGUAUUUGGCAUAUAUAGACGACGGAUUUUCAACAGACGUCGUCUAAUAUAAGUAAUACAAACGACGGUUUAUGAAAAAACCGUCGUGUAUAAGUAAUACAACGACGGUUUUUUCAUAAACCGUCGUGUAAUCGUCGGCGUAUGCCUAAAAAGGCGUCGUGUCUCAGUUUAUUUUCAAGAACCCAAAACCCAUUAAGAACACAACAUAUAUAUGAAACCAAGCAAGAAAACAACAUAUACAUGAAACCAAGCAUGAAAACAAUAAAUCCAUUCCCAAUUCAACAUAACAUAGGGUGAUUAAAAGAUCCGACAAAAUUAAAUCCAUUCCCAAUUCAACAUAACAGAUAAUGUAAUCCAUGAACCCAUUAAACAGAAAAUCCAUGAACCCAUACUUAUAAGCACAUUAUUAACAGAUCGCAAAGCAUAUACCUAAAACCCUUUAACAAAACAACCUAAUAUCAUUCAAUGAAUUUACAAGGGGAAGAUAGGGUUUGUACUUACAGGUUGGACGAGCUCACAGAUUCGACGGAGCAGAAGUGAGAGAGCAACUUUUAAUUAGAGCAGAAGUGAGAGAGCGAAAUGUUAUGUUGCGCGAAAUCUGAAAAUUUUAGGGUUCAGGGUUAGAAGAAUAAGAAUAAGAGCCAAAUAUAAAAAAAUUUAGGACGCGUGAAAAUUUUUAGAGCGCGCGCUCUUUAAAACUUCGAAAGAAAAACCAUGGCGAAAGUUCUACAAGAACCGACAUAAAUGUAAUAUUCCACGACGGAAACACUGAACGUAACGCCGUUUAUUUUGACGCUUCAUUUUUCGGAUUAAUUUUAAAUUUAUUUUCAAUAUUUUGAUAUAAAGACGACUGAAAAACCACGUCGGGGUUAAGAAAUUGAAAACGUUGUAAAUUAUAAUAGACGACUUACAUAUUAAAAUGACGUCGUUUAAAGUAGAAACUAUGUCGGAUAAUUUACUGCACGACGUAACAUAUGUAUUCCACGACUCAACCACCGUCGUUAACAAUUAAUACCCUAAACCCUUAAAACUAAAUUAUAUAAUUUUAAAAAUUAACUUUAUAAAAGGGUUUAUGGUUUUACAGCCUAAUAUAUACCCUAGACUACCCAAAAAUUAUACUUUAAAAAUAAACCCCAAUAAAUAACAACCCUAAUCUCUAAACCCUAGACUCUAAACCCUAAACCAUAAAACUAGAAGUGAUUUUAUGACUCAUCAAAACAAUUUUGUUUUGGAUGUUCAUUUUAAAUUUUUGUAAUUCAAAAUGAAUUUUUUCAAGGUUUAGGGGGAAGAAAAUAUAUCAAUGACUUCAUAGGAGUUGACUUUGCAUUUUUCUGAUUUAUUUUAAAUUUAUUUUGAAUAUUUUGAUAUAAAAAUAAUAAAAUAUUCUUAUCACAACAACAAACCACGUCGGUGUUGAUAAAUUGUAGACGUUGUAAAUUGUAAUAGACGACUAAGUUGUUAAAAUGACGUCGUUUAAAUGAGAAACGAUGGCGGAUAUUUAACUAUCCGACGUAAAAUAUAUAUUCCUCGACUUAACCACUGUCGUUACAAAGUACUACCCUGAACCCUUAAGAAAUUGAAGACGUUGUAAACCAUAAACGACUCCAUUGUUCAAAGAACGUCGUCUAAAUAUCCUUUUACGCCGGAUUUGUUUAAAACGAAACCACAAAAAACGACGGCUUUUGACUUUAUUACGUCGUUGGAAAAUUAUUACACGUCGGUUACGCAUUUUGUAUGUUUGUUUUUGUUUUUACUUUAAGAAAACCUCAACAAAUUUUUACAUUAUAUAUUAUAGACAAAAUUUGUACAUUAUACAUAAAUAUCAAGUGUUCAAUAAUUCCCCUAUUCCAGUUGAAUGCAAACAAACUCUGCCCAUUCAUUCCGGACUUCAUCAAUUGCUUCUUGGGGGUAUGGCUCUUCCUGUUUUCCCUUCGCAUACUGCAUAAAAACAAUGACUAUUAGGGUUUAUAAAUAAAAGGAAAUUCAAUCACAGACGACCAUAACCGACGUAGUAUAUCUAUUCAACGACGGUAAUUUUACAUGACCGUCGUUGAUAAUACAAAAAACGACGUAAAAUGUUUGAAGGUUAUUUCUUCUUACCUUCUUCUCAAACCCCAAGGAAGGAUCCAUGAUGAUGUCCUUCAUGAAGCGCAUCACGUAAUACCCGCAUUCGACAUUGCUGGGUUGCUUUGGUGUGCCUGACAGGGUUUUCCAAAUGACUGCCUUACGGCCUGAUCUGGCUAUGUGGGAAUUAUAAAUUUUUAUGGCACUGUUCACGAUGUCUUUGGCCUCUUCAUCGACCACACGAUUUCCUGGCAGAGGAUCCAGAAAAUAGACUGUUUCCCUCUUUGCUCUUACAAUCAGCAAGAUCCAAUGACGGCUGCACAAAAUUAAUAUAAAAACGACGGUUAUUUACAAAAACGACGUAUUAUAAUAUUUCACACGACGAAAUAAAGUAGCAAUCGACGACAUUAUAUAUUUAUAACGACGAUAAAUAACUACCGACGUGGUUAGUCGUUUCAAACGACUCAAUAAAAUAAAACACCGACGUGGUUAGUUUAUACGCUGUCAUUUAUUGAAAAUCAUAAAAACAAAAUCCUGUUAAGGAGACUAACCCUGGAUUGUAAGGCAUGAGGAAAAUCUGUUCACCGUCAGUCUUCUGAAGUCGUGAUGCUACAAGCCGUGAUCUGUCAGCUAUUGUGCCAGAGCUGGCACUAACUGUAGCAGGGUCGAUAAAGCCAACCAUUGUGCACAUAUUUGCUUGUUUUAAAACAUCGUGUAAGUACCUAAAUAUAUAAAAUAAUAUAAACAAGUCAGCGCAAAAAAAACACACGACGGUUAUGUAUAACAAAACGACGUAUUAUAAGGUUUCACACGACGUACUGAAAUAGACAACGACGUUAUAAUAAAUUUAUCACGACGGUACAUACUAACGACGUGGUUAGUUAGUUAAGACGACGCAAUAAAUAAACCAACGACGUAUUAUUUUAGAAUGACAAACCUCAUAUAUACAGCAAUGACUGUAGCUCCUAUUUCCUCCAUGCCUGCAAAUUGUGUAAUAUCUUCAGGCAGGAGGAAGGUAUCGCGCUCUAGACCAAACACCUCCUUAUCAAUUGUAAAGUGCAGGGUCUUAUCUUGAGUUACGAGUGUCGUUUCCACAUAACGACAAAGGGUUUGUAAAGAAGAUGGCGCCUCCAUAUUUGAAUAAUCAACAACUUUAGUAACCUGUUUAAAGAAAUAAAAAAAUGACGUGGUAAUUCAAUAAAAACGACGGUUUAAGGAAUAAAAUGUCGUUUGAAAACAAUUUAAACGACGGUGAAAAAACCGUCGUGGUGAAUUAUUUAUUACGUCUUAGAAAACAAUUCCGCCGUCUAAGUUGUAAACAAACGACGGUUUAAAGAAAAAUAUCGACGUCUGGAAUUUUGAAAACAAAUAAAAAAGGUAAAGUUAUGUGAACAUACCUGGUCGUCAUCUUCUUUCUCCUUUUCAUCUUGUUUUUCUUCCUUAUUCUCUUCAUAUAUGACGUCGGGAAUGAUUAACUCCGUCAUCUAAAAACCACAAAGUUUUAAAAAUAACGACGUUUAAUGGCGUGUAAAACAAGUAAACUAAAUACGACGUGGUAUUGAAAUACAAACGACGGUUUAUUUUUAAAAUCGUCGUGGUAUGUAUUUCAAACGACGGUUUUAUUAAAAAUAACGACGUCUAAUGGUUUUUAAAAAAACAGAGAAUUCAAAGUUCAGAUAUGUUACCUUUUCUUCCUGAUGUUUCCCAUUUUUGGCAGUAUCAUCCUCAAAAUGCUGGGAUCUCACAUCACCUCCAGAGCAGCUUGCUUUGUCAGACAUUGGAUUUUUGGGACUUUGGCUAAUUCUGGGUUUAAGCAUGCUUGGAUCAAAAUUGGGAAUUAAUUGGGAAAGCUGACUCAGGAAAUGCUCCCUCUCAGCCUCUACCAAUUGUUUCGUUCUAGCCUCCAUUCUUAAAGCCUCUUCCCUUGCCUUAGCCUCCAUCUUUUUAGUCUCUUCUUGAAGGAGAACUCUUAAACUGUCCUUCAAACGGUCGUCAAAGCUCACUCUCUGUGGUUUGGGUAAAUUGAAAUAUUGCUUUGGUGAGAUCCCAGCACCUACUCCUCUGACUCUGCCUGGAUGCUCGGGGCCCAAAGCCAUGGUCAGCACAUCAUUGCUGCCAGAGACGGUGACUUUGCCUUCCGAGACUUGUUUUUGCAAAUCAUCCUAAAACAAAGAUAUAUAAAAAAGUAAGAACAAAAACACACGACGGUUAUUUAUAUACAAACGACGUAUUAUAUAAUUUCACACGACUCAAUAACAUAUAAAUCGACGUUAUUAUAAUUUAUCACGACGGUAGUUAUACCGACGUGGUUAGUUCUUUAAAACGACGAAAUUAAUAAACCACCAACGUCUUAUGUAACAGAGGGAUGAUUCAAUAUUCACACCUUUAACGACGUUGUUUAAAACAUUUCGACGUAGUAAUUUAAUACAGACGACGCGAAAUUGAACCACCGACAUCUUAUGCUAUAAUUACAGAAAACAGAGUUCUGAUUCCUAUUUAGACCUUUAACGACGUGUUUUAAAAAAUGUCGACGUGGUAAUAUCAUUCACACGACGCAAAAUAUAACAUAAGACGUAAUAAGAAUUAUUCACAGUUUAAUAAAAAUUUAAAACAGAGUGAGUAGGCUUACAAUUAAUUUUGCUUUCUCUGCCACCUUUGGAUCAGGGAUGUUACCAUGUUUGUCAUGUCUAGCUCUCUUCCAUAAGGUAGAUCGAUCAAUUUCUACCCCAGGCAUGGUUUCCUCUAAUUGAUCCUCCAAACCGGCAUAUCCUUUUCGAGACAAUCGAUGAUUGUACUCGAGUUUCUCCCUAAUCUGUGCAUGUUGAGAAUGCACAGACUCAAAAUCUUUGGAUAGCCUUGAAGCUACAAAGGCAUCCCAUUGUGCUUUCUCUAUGAAUUUAUAUGUUUCAGGGGGUUGGCUUAAUCUCUCCCUGUCAUUGGUGUAUGGAAGGAUAUAAUGCCUCGUUAGUGUAGACUUGAAAUCCUUCCAUUUCUUGGCAGCAGAAGCUAAGACAGAGUUCUUGCCCCCUUGACCUACUACAAAAGCAAUGUCAACUGCUUCCCAAAUCUGCUCCUUUAUAUCCUUGGGGAUUUGAGCCCAUUUCAAGUCCACAAGUGGAACUCUGGAGCGUGCCAACACACCAAUAUAGGACUGCAUCUCACUAUGAGCUUGGCCAAUUCCUUUCCCCCUUUUAUUGUACUCAACAAUUGGCCUCAGUUUCUGCAGUUUUCUCUUCACAACACGAGGCAUUGUGCUCAUACCUCGACCAGCCUUUGAAUCAUCAGAUAUUGUUGUCCCGCUGGUUGGUUCUGUAUCAGCAGAUGAUGAAGCAAACUUCAUCUUCUUCGAAGACUUCAUUAUCUUCGAAGACUUCUCUUGAGGAGGUACUUGCUCCUCACCUCCAUUUUUCUUGGAGCCAGAAUCCUUACUUUAGUCUUGUUGAGAAACCAUUUUUACAGACAAAACUGCAAGUGAAAAUAUUUCAAGAAAAGAUUAAGAACACAAACGACGGUUAUUAAUAAAAUACGACGUAUGAUAUGAUUUUAAACGACGCAAUGAAAUAAUAUCAGACGUAAUAAAUUUUUAAAACGAAGGUAAUUAAACAACGACGAAAUAAUUGACUACAAACGACGAGAUAAUUAACUAUAAACGACGGAAUAUUUAUAUAACGUCGUGGUAUUGAUGUUCACACGACGUCAGUAGUAAUAUACCGUCGUCUAUAUAAGGAUCCAAAACCCUUCUUUCUUUCUCUGUGAAUGUUUGAUUGCAGAUUUGAUUUUUCUGAACCAUGGUUUUUGUUUUCUAAUUUGAUAAAAUACAAGGCCAAGAAAGAAAGUUUUGGAAUCUUAUAUAGACGACGGUAUUUUAAUAUGACGUCGUGGUAUUAACAUUCACACGACGUAAAACAAUAAGAUACUGUCGUCUAUAUUAGAUACCAACCCUAAUUUCUUUUUCUUUAUAUUUUAUCAAAUUAGGGAAAAACAAAAACCAUUGUUCAGAAAAAUCAAACCUGCAAUUAAACAAGCAAAUAAAAAAAAGACUAAAAUUUUAAAAACAACUUUGUCAAUUUUCAGACGACGCUAGAACGACUGACGAACCGUCGUGGUCUACAUAUUUAACCACGUAAAUAAGAAGCUACCGUCGUCUUAUUUAGUUAAGGUAGUUGUCUUCAAAGUUGGAAACUUUCCCUCUUUGUCUGUAUAUUUUAUCGAACUUGGAAAGAAGUAAAAUGAUUUUGGCCAGAAAAAAGGUAAAAAGAUUUUUCAAACAAAAAACGUAUGAGCAUGCAAAACAGCAACCAAAAUAGUGAAAAUGAAAGCUUACCUUUUGUGUGCAAUGAAAGCAAGAGGAAGACGAUCGAUGUUUAAAUUCAGAGACGACGAAGAAGACGAGAGGAAGACGAUGAGAUACUCUGAAAGUGCUCUGACAAGGAAAAAAGUCUAAAAGUUUUCUCUGGGAGAUUGAAAUUUUUAAUCGGGUUUGGAAAAAGUGCAUGUGUAAGUCAGGUAGACGAAAAGUUGCUUAUAUAUAAAACCAUUUCAAAAAAAUAAUACGGCGGUUACAUAUAACUACGACGUAUAAAUUACAAAAUACGACAGUACGUUUAACUUCGGACGUGGUAAAUAAUUACGACAGUAGUGUUAUAGGUACCGUCGUAGUAAACUCAAAAUUAAAGUACAUAAGUAAUAACUCGCGUCAUGGUAGAUCAUUUAACACGUCGGUUUUAUUAAUGUACCGACGUGGAUUUAUGUAAUAUACGUCGGUAAUACCGACGUUGAUUUUACAAUUUAAACGGCGGUUUUUUUGUAAGGACCGCCGUUGGUUUUAAAAAUUUAUUCUAUAAAUUUGUUGCUUUCAUUCAUUUUCGGUUUACAUUUAGGGUUCCAAGUUCUUCCUCUCUCAGAGACACUAUCUCUCACAUCUCAAAGACAGUAAUUUGGAUGUCUUUCUCAAAGAGAAAUUGAGCUUACUCGCAUCAAAUCUAUGUCCACAAGAAGAAGCUUGUCAACUAGCCUUCUCACUUCCUUGAUCAAGCCUGAUAGGACACUUAGUGCUUCUGAAUACUCCUUGCUUUCCAUCAAAAGAGAUGCAAGCCUGGCCUCCACUCGCUGUCGAAGGAAAGUUCGCUUCUCAGGGAAAUCUGAAGAUCAGAUGUGCCUGAUCCUCUGCUUGAUUUUCUUGGCUAAGAAGAUCCGUCAGAUUUGUGAUAGCCUCUUCCUUUAUCCGUAGAGCUUCAGAAGAAGAAGAUGGGUUUCAAGAAUGCGAUAAAGAAUAGAAAUGGCUUCAGAUGGCCUCUAAAGCAUGAGCAAUCGAAUCAGUGCUUUGAACUAUACUUUGAACUAUACAAGUCAAUGCUUUGAACUAUACAAGUCCUGCAGAAAGAUAAAGGACCAAACUAUUAAAGAAACCCCAAACUAACACGACGCAAUAUUUGUUUUGCGACGUGGAAUCUUUUCAUUUAACGUCGUUAGGUUUAAUAUAACCGACGUGGAUUUGAAUUUUUAAAUUAUGAAUAGCAUUUUUUUUCCCGUGACCUUUCAGUUUAUUUUUCAAUUACAGUGCGUUAUAAAUAGAGUUUUUUUUCCGGAGGAAAUUUAAAAUGAAGGAAAUUAAUGUUCUGGAAUAUGUAAAAUUUCUUUUUUGGAUGACAGAUUUAAAUAAAAUAAGAAUAUAAAAACAACGACUGUUUUUGUAUUACUGUCGUCGUUUUUCGUCGUCUUAAGUAAGACUAAGACAACGUAAUAUAUUUGUUGAGCGACGUUGAUUUGUGUUUUAAACGUCCUUAGGUAUAAUAUAACCGUCGUUGAAAAUUGUCUCUCUGAUUGCAAAUUUGCAACGACGUUAGGUAUAAUAUUUGUAGAUACACAAACGCACACACAUCAUCAACUUCCAAAAAAUUGUCUCUCUGAUUGCAAAUCUGUGUCAUCUGUUAAGAUUAUGAUGUGGAACAAAGUUCCAUUUGGUAAGAUUUCGUAACCCUUGGGAUCUCAGAAAAAUCUGAUUAUGUCGGCGAUUUUCUAUAUAAACCGUCGUGGUUAUUUCAAUUCUUGUCAUUAAGUAGAUCUACCGACGUAGGAUAAGAAAAUCAAAGAAAAAAAUUGUUAACAAAAAUUCUUAUUAAGACGACGGUUUAAAUUAAAGGUAAGACGUAUAAAAUGAAUAAAUACGACGUUAAAUUUUAUAGUACGAUUUAAAGAUAACGUCGUAGAACUAUACCAGAAUGACGUCGAUAUAUUUAUAUUUUUCGUCGUUGUACAUUAAUUUAAUACGGCGAUAUUUUGUAUUUUAAAGUCGUGGAUUUGUUUGUAAUUAUACAGCGUCUUAUACGAAAACCUCGUCGUGUUAUUUUAUGAGUAAAAACGGCGGCUUUUAUUGAAAUCGUCGUCUUUACUUUCUACGUCGGUUGAUUCAUAACUUCUGUCGUUCUUUGUUGGCUUUGAUUUUACACUGCGGAAAUCUGUUUCAAAUAGACGUCGGUUGUUUAAUUAAGUACGUCGUUGUUUUUGAACAGCCAUUUGAAUCUCCAUUUUUUAGUUGUCUAAGGUGGUAUUACACGACGGUGUUUUUAGAACCGUCGUCUUUUUAAAAACCACGACGGUUUUCACUGAGACCGUCGUUGUUUUCUGGUCGUCUUUUUCACUUUUUGUAGUAGUGAAUGGAAUAGAAUGAUGGAAGUUAUUUUUUUUUUUUCCUACGUCUAAAGUAUACUUUAUAUAUAUAUAUAUAUAUUUAUAUUUAUUAUGGAAGUUAUAACCGUUUAAUUUUCAGUUUUUAUUUUCUAUUUAUUGUUUUAAUUUUUAUAGUUUAAUGUGUAUGGAGAUUUCAAGUAUUGGAUGUUUAUAAAGGGUCACUCCUCCUUCACAUCUGAAACAAACCACCAUCUCAUUUCUGUAUUUUCAUACUUUCAUAUAUUUUCUACUUUCCAGAUUAUUAUUUUUGGGCAACGGUUCUGUGACUUGGAGAUUUCUAUCCGAUUAUUAACAUGCUCAUAGCGGACCUUGAGCUUGCGUAUUGAGGAUAGUAUCUUGGAGCCUUGUAGACCUUUAUUACCUGCAUGUAGGGAGGCUAUAAAUGCUUUAAGUCAGCGUCUUUGACGUGCUUUUGCUUUCUUUUUUUUACUUAUUUCUUCGUUACUUUAUUUUUACUUUACUUUUAAAUCUUUAUUUUAUGUAUUAUUUAUAUUUAAAAAUUUUGAAUAAGAGUUUUACAGAAAAGGAAAAACACAAUUUCAAAUAACACAAAUUUCUCGUUUUUUGUUCUUAAAAAAGAAGAAGCAUUGAUUGGGGAGUUAUGGUAAACUCAGUUUCAAUGGUUGCGAUGAGAGGCGGUGGCGGCGAGGAGAGGACGAAGGCUUUGCUGCCGACGGGGUGGUGUGGGUGGGUGGAGACCUCGGCUGGCUGCUUGGUCCUGGGUUCUCCUUUAAUUCUCUGUUUUCUUUUUUCAUAUUUUUCUUUUUCUCUUAGAGUUAUUGAUGUUAAGUGAAUGGACAGAUGCCAAGAGAAGAUGUGAACCCAAUUAUAUACAGCUGAUUACAUAAAGUAACAAAUUAAUUAAUACUUGAGUGGAGGACAGGCUCGAGUGGAAGAAUUGAUUAAGGCUUGAGUGGAAGACAAACUUCAGUGGAGGAAAGUACAGAUAAGGAAAGCAUGCCACGUUUAACGGCUUUAUCUCAACAAAUUAGGAAUGCUGGUUUUGUUUCCUCGGUGGUUGAAAGGUGGUGCCUUGGCUCGGACAUCUCCCUAGUAAUUAAUCGAAGGUGGAAUCUUACAAGACAUUCAGCUGCUCAUUAGCUGAAUAUCUCGCUCUCUUUAAAGAGAUCGAAGCAAACUGCAAUUUGCAAUUUGUGUGAUUCAAGCAUGAAUAUCUGACAUAGUAACUAUACCAUUUGUUGGUUUGAUGAGAAAAGUUUGGUUAGCGAGGAUGAAACCAUAAAGUUCCCCAAAACACACAAAGAGCACGGACAAUUGCUAAGUUUAUCUUUGAGUUCACGCAUAUUUGCACAAAUGAGAUUACUCCAAGUAUGACUAUACCAUUUGUUGGUUUGAUGUGAAAAAUAUGGGCAACGAGGGUAAAACUAUACAAACACACACAAAGAAAGUGGACAAUUACUAAGUUUAUCUUUGCGUUAUUCAUCCGACCUAACUGUAAAAUAAAAAAGAUGAAAAUAUAUAAUGUUCACUACUUAGAUCUAUGAGCACUAAAGUCCUCCUUUUGGAAUUGCACAAAACGUCACUUUUGGUCUUUGACAAAUUUUUAAAAUAAAUGAAUUUUUUACUUAUUUGUGGACUGAAAUGCCUCAAAAAAAAUAAUGAUAAUUUGAAGAAUUUGAUAGAAAUUAAAAAAUAUCCUCAAAUUACUUGGAAUUGAAGACCACAUAGGCAAAAACACCACUUUGGACAAAGGCUGGUGAUAAUAGUCGAUAUCAUCUUUUGUCGGUCCGACCUAAAAAGAAGAAAAAGUUGAAAGCAUCUUGUUACCAUUUUUGCCAAUGUGGGUCCAGACAAUUUGAAGAAGUCCACCGACAAUUUCUCAAAAGCUAUUGUGUGAGUGUUUUGAAGCUAAACCAAUAUUAUUUUGCACAUACGACCCCACAUCCCCAUGUGAGGCUACAGAAGUGUUUCCAAAACGAAACAUGAUAUUUCAAAACAAAGCUAUGUAUAGAAUAGAGUCAUUUGUAUUUGCUUUCACAAUAACAUUUUAUUUGUGAAAGCAUUUUAUAUUUUUACAUUAUGAUGUUCUAACAAAUAAAUUGACUAUAUUUGGCCAACAGGGUUUAACCGAGUAAAAAAGUCCUUAUUUAUAAACUACUGGUUUCAUAUUUGAACUCUAUGACAUUCUCUUUACCCUUAAAGUUUAGACUAUCGCAUGUAUUAUAAAUAAAAAAAAACAAUUGGCUUAAUUUGAUAUAUUUCAUUUUAUGCUGGGUGCCGUUAUUAAGUUUUAUCCUUGUUUCUUGUUGAAAAAAAAUUGAUAAAAAAUAAGAAUUCCUAUAGCUAGCAACUUCUCCACCUUCCCUUCUUCGCAACUAGGGAUGCCAUUGCAAGGUCACCAUCUCAGAUUAAGUCCUCCUUUUAAAAUUGUGUUGUUAUUCAAAAUUGGAAUAUGCUGGUCAUUCUUGAUAUAAUCUGUUCCACAAAAAGAAAAAGAAAAAAGUUGAUAGCAUCUUUUACCACUUUGGCCACUUUUGAAGAUAUUCACCGACAAUUUCUCAAAAGCUAUUAAGCUGUACGUCCACAAUAUUAUUGCAUCCAACUUUGCAUAUACGACCCCAUCCCCAUGUGAGGCUACAAUAUUGUUAAAAAAAUAUGCUAACAUUGUCAUUCAGUAUGCUAACAUUGUCACUAUGUUUGCGAAUUGCAUAUUAUCUAGAACAUAAAGGCUUUGGUGUUUUGUAGAUCCUCAGGGAGCCAAACCCGUCUUUAUAAAAAUGGUCCUUAUGAUACUACUUUAACAACAAUAAAGUAUAAUAAACUAGGCCUUUGUAGUCACUGAACGAAUGUUUUGUCAUAUAUAUGACUAUUUAAAUGUAAUUACGGGAUUAAAACAUUAUAAUAAAUUGGAGUGAACCAUAACAUUAUAUAUGAUCCAAUCCUUUGCAUAUAUUUUUGUUCAAGACUUUGUUUUAGAAUGCUCUAUUACUAAUUUGGUACAGGUCUCUAAAAUCUAUGCCUUUAUGAGGCAACGUCUUUAUUUCUUUGGUUAUUCCAGUUUAGAAUAUUUGCACAAAUGAGAUGACUCCCAGCAUAAAGUCACAUUCAACCAAAAAGCAUGAAGUCACACACAAAAAGAAUACGGACAAUUGCUAAGUUUAUCUUGUAUCCUUAUUUUAUUGAUCCAACCCAAUUGAAAAAUUAAAAAGAUGAUAUAAUAUACUGUUCACUGCUUACAUCCAUGAGUAAAGUCCUCCAUUUGAAAUUGCGUGAUGAUAUAAAAUUGGAAUGAAAAAAGAAAAUCCUACAGCUAAAUUUGAUAUAUUUCCUUUUCAUUUUAUGCUGGGUGUUAAGUUUUCUUAUUUCUUGUUGAAAAGAAAAAUGAAAAGAAAUAAAUAAAUUCCACAGCUAGCCACUUAUCCACCUUCCCUUCUUCCCAUGUAGUGACAACAAGGGAGGCCUUCAAUCCAAAAUAAAGACAAGGGAUGCCAGAUCAGCAUCUCAGAUAAGUAUCCCAACCAAAACCAAUCAAAUAAUGACAUAUGUAUCUCUUUUUGUGUUUUGUUCUAUUUCUCUUUGAAUUAACUGCAUAGUUUCAUAAGCGUGUCCUCCUUUUGAAAUUGUGUAUUAUUCAAAAUUGGAAUUUGCUGAUCAUACUUGAUAUCAGCUAAAAAAGUUUCCAACAUCUUGUACCAUUUUUUUCCAGUGUGGGUCAUAACUUGAAGAAGCCCACCGACAAUUUCUCAAAAGCUAUUACCAUCCAACUUUGAAAAAUAAAAGUUUUCAAAAGUUACCCCAAACAACAGUCCUUGAAAGAGAGAGUUUUCCAAGGCUAAAGAUUACAAGGAUGUUAUUUACAGUCUCGACAACGACAAGCUUCAUAUUUGUUUACAAACCUGUAUUUUCAAGUUGUGCUAGCCUAGCUACUUGCAAAAAAUAUCCAGUUGGCACAUGCAUUAACGUGUGACAAGAAGUUAGUUAUAUUUGUAAAGUAAAAGAACGAAGUACAUAGCAUGUAAGUUGAUGCUAAAUAUUUGAUCAACAGAGUUAAACAUAAAACCACUGACAAUAUAACGUUGUUCACCAAAAAUUGCAUUUCGUUGAGGGUCAGUAGUGUAGGUUUCAAGAUACGAUUUAUUUUGUUAAAGAAUAUUCUGAUAUUCUAACAAUAAAAUUGGCUCAAUUUGAUAUGUUUCUCUCUCUUUUUUUGUUUCUGUUUUCCCUUUCAUUUGAUGCUUUGUUGUGCUAUUGCUAAGUUUAUCUUAGAGACCAGGGAUGCUUAGCAAGUUUCUUCACCUGCCCUUCUUCCCAUGUACUAACUAGGGAUACCAUGUCAGAAUCUUAGAUAAGAAUCCCAUGCUUUGUUGUGCUAUUGCUAAGUUUAUCUUAGAGACCAGGGAUGCUUAGCAAGUUUCUUCACCUGCCCUUCUUCCCAUGUACUAACUAGGGAUACCAUGUCAGAAUCUUAGAUAAGAAUCCCAACCCAAUCAAACUAUGACAUCUGUAAGUAUUCAAAAUUGGAAUUUGCAUUGUGAUAGUUGAGUGGAAGAAUCGAUUAAGGCUUGAGUGGAAGACAAACUUCAGUGGAGGAAAGUAAUUAAUUAGACCAUUAUUUGUUGGUUUGAUGAGAAAAGUUUGCUGGUGAUAGUCCAUAAUCUUUGUCCGACCAGAAAAUAAGAAAAGUUGUCUUGUACCAUUUCUGCCAGUGUGGGUCCCACCCACCCCAUGCGAGUAAUUUGAAGAAGUCCACCGACAAUUUCCCAAAAGCUUUGGCGUCCAACUUUGCCGACCCCAUCCCCAUGUGAGGCCAUAGAAAAGUUUUCAGCCACAAUCAAAUAAGGAACAGUCCUUGAAAAGAGAGGGUUUUCCAAGGCCAAGAUUACAAGUUCAUGUUAUUUACAGUCUCAAAAAGCUUCCAUACUUGUUUACAAACCUGUAUUUUCAAGUUGUGCUAGCCUAGCUAUUUGCAAAUCUUGGAAUAUUUUACUUCAUCCAAAUCCCUUGAAGUCUGCAGAGAAGAUAAAAGACAUGGCUUUGAUUGGAGAGGCUCUUAUCUCUGCUUCCGUCCAGGUGUUGUGCGACAGAAUUACUUCACCCGAGUUCGUUGACUUAUUUCGGCACAAGAAACUCGAUGAGCCACUCCUCAGGAAGCUGAGGACGACACUGUUGGCCUUGAACUUGGUGCUCAAUGAUGCAGAGGAGAAGCAACUUGUGAACCGAGAUGUGAAAAAGUGGCUUGACGAGCUCAAACAUGCUGUCUUUGAUGCGGAGGACUUACUGGAUGAGAUUGACACUGAAGCUUUGAGAUGCAAGCUGGAAGAAGGUGAAGAUCAAACUCACAAAUUUACCAAUAAGGUGCGGAACUUGCUCUUUUCUUCUCGUAGUCAUUUUUAUCAGAGCAUGAAUGAUAAGAUAAAAGAGUUACUAGCAAGGUUAGAAAACUUUGUACAACUGAAAAGUGCUCUUGGUCUGGGAGAAGUUGCUGGGAGGAAGGUUUCGCAAAGAACUCAAACAACCUCCUUGGUUCUUGAACCUUAUGUAUAUGGUAGAGAUGAAGUCAAAGAAAAGUUAUCAAAAGUUUUGCUAUCUGAUGAAGCAGGCAAGGAUCCUGUGUCUUUCCUCACCAUUGUUGGAAUGGGUGGGGUUGGCAAGACAACCCUUGCUCGAAUGCUUUACAAUGACGAUAAGGUGAAAGGGCAUUUUAAACUUAAAGCUUGGGCUUGUGUUUCAGACUACGAUGAUUAUAUUAAAAUUACUAAAACUCUCCUUGAGGCAGUCACUUCAAAGCCUUGUAACACGGCAAAUCUGAAUUUGCUUCAAGAAGAUCUAAGAGAGCAAUUGAAGGGAAGGAAAUUUUUAUUUGUGUUGGAUGACCUAUGGAAUGAGAAUAAUGAGGAUUUGAACUACCUUAGAGCUCUUUUUAUUACUUUAGGAACAAUGGGAAGUAAAGUCAUUGUAACAACACGGAGCAAAAAUGCAGCAUCUGUCAUGCAAAAUGUUCAUAUUCAAUACUUAGAACCAUUGUCGCAGGAGGACUGCUGGUUAUUACUUGCAAAACAUGCAUUUGGAAAUGUAAAGUGUAGUGCACAUUCAAACUUGGAAGAUAUUGGAAACCAAAUUGCACGCAAGUGCAAAGGGUUGCCUUUAGCUGCACAAACACUUGGGAGUUUGUUACGUUGCAAUAUGAAUUUCGAGUACUGGAAUAGAAUACUAAAUGAUAGUUUUUGGGACCACCCCUAUGAUAAAACUAACAUUCUUCCGGCUCUAGGGUUGAGUUACCAUUAUCUUCCUACUCAGUUGAAACGAUGCUUUGCUUAUUGUUCAAUUUUUCCAAAGGAUUAUGAGUUUGAAAAGGAAGAUAUAGUUCAAUUAUGGAUUGCAGAAGGUAUAAUUCCACAAGCUGAGAAUGGAAAUAGGAUGGAAGCAUUGGCUAGAAUAUACUUUGAUGAGCUGUUAUCACGAUCGUUGUUUCAAAAGUCAAGUAAAUUCAGCUUCAUUAUGCAUGAUCUCAUUAAUGACUUGGCUAUGUUCAUGUCUCAGGGGUUUUGCCUUAGGCUCGAAUAUGGGGUAUCCCAUGAAGUUAAAAGAGCUCGUCAUUUGUCAUAUGCUAGGGGAGCAUUUGAUGCUGCUCCAAGAUUUGAACCAUUAUAUGAGGCUAAAUGUUUGCGGACCUUCCUACCUACCUCUUUAAAUCCAUAUAGAUUUUAUGAAAGAUUUUUUGUAAGUAAAAAAGUUCUACAAGAUUUGUUGCCAUCACUAAGAUGUUUACGGGUGUUAUCAUUGUCACGUUAUCAAAAUGUUACUGUGUUACCUGAUUCUAUUGCAAACCUCAUUCACUUGCACUACUUGGAUCUUUCCCAUACCGCAAUUAAAAGGUUACCUGGGGUACUUUGCAAUCUCUUCAACUUGCAGACAUUACUAUUGUCAAAUUGUUCCUCACUCCAUGAAUUGCCUGCAGACAUUAGAAAAUUGAUUAAUUUACAGAAAUUGACAUUGGGCGGUUGUAGUUCUCUUAAUAAAUUGCCUGCAGGCAUGAAGGAGUUGACUAAUUUGCAUCAUCUUGAUGUCAGUGGAACUGAAAUAGUAGAGAUGCCGGUGCAAAUGGGUAGACUGAAAAAUUUGAGAACAUUGACUGCAUUUGUUGUGGGCAAAUCUACUGGGUCAGGCAUAAGAGAACUGAGCGAGUUCCCGCAACUUCAAGGAAAACUAUCAAUUUUGAAGCUACAAAAUGUAGUUGAUGCGAGGGAUGCACUGCACGCCAAUAUGAAGCUCAAGACAGAUCUCAAGGAGUUAGAGUUUUCAUGGGGUGCGCAGGAUGCUGAUGAUUCCCAAAAGGAGAAAGAUGUACUUGACAAGCUCCAGCCUUGCGUGAAUUUGGAGAAAUUAACCAUUGGAUUCUAUGGUGGAACCAAUUUUCCGAAUUGGUUAGGAGACUCGUCUUUUUCUAACAUACAAGUCAUGCAUCUCAGUGACUGUAGUUAUUGUUGGUCGCUCCCACCAGUUGGACGGCUGUCGGCACUCAAAGAGCUCUGUAUAAAAAGAAUGAAGUCUUUGAGGACGAUUGGCGUUGAAUUCUAUGGCAGAGAUGGAGCUUAUCUGACUCAGCCAUUUCGAUCUCUGGAGAAGCUAGAGUUUAUAGAGAUGCCGGAGUGGGAGGAAUGGGUACCAAGUGGAAGUGCAAGUGGUAGUGAAUAUGGUCCAGACUUUCCUCAUCUCCAGGAGCUGAUUCUAAACGAGUGUCCGAAGCUAAGAGGAAGUUUGCCUUGUGAGUUGCCUUGCUUGAAGAAGCUUACGGUGUAUGGGUGUAAGGUUUUACAUGAUGGAAGGGCCGCUACCGCAACUACCAAUAGUCUUAACUAUAAAUCUCUGGAAGAAUUGGAUAUAAGGGGUGGAUGCCAAACUCUGUUAUCAUUAUUAGAGACAAAGCUCCUGUCCCGACUUAAGAUUGAAAAUGUUGACGUACAGUGCUUGCCCAACUGCAAUCGUCUUCAACGUUUGACUCUUUUGAAUUGUCCAACGCUGUCGUCAUUCCCUAAAGAUGGCCUACCCACUACAUUGACAUCACUUACUAUACUCAAUUGUAGGAGAUUAGAAUUCCUACCUCAUGAGAUGUUGGCCAAAUUAACAUCGCUUGACUAUUUGGGCAUACAAAGUAGCUGUGAUUCAAUGAGGUCCUUACCGUUGGGCAUUUUUCCCAAAUUGACGACGCUUCAAAUUCUUGGUUGUGAGAAUCUGGAAUCUUUUUCCUUGAUUGAAGAAGAAGGAGCUGUUGAGAAUCUCAGCCAUCUCAAUUCCUUGCAAGUCAUUAACUGUCCAAAAAUGGUGUGUUUUCACGAGGGAGAAUUGCCCUUUCCCAACCUGAGUCACUUUGUAGUCAUUGACUGCGAGAAUUUGAAGUCAUUGCCCGAACGCCUUCACACCCUCACUGCCCUUCGAUCUUUGAAUAUAUGGAAUCUUCCGAAUCUGGAGUCAUUUGCAGAAGAUGGGGGUUUGCCUCCCAACCUCCGAUCUUUUAUCAUUAGGAAUUGUAAGAGACUGAGGGCACUUGACUCAGUGGGUUUGCAAGCACUUGUCUACCUUCAGAUCGAUGGAAGUGACCAUGUCUUGGAGACGUUGCUGCUCCCUACCACUCUUCACACUCUCUGCAUCUCUGAUCUAUCAACUCUGAAAUCUUUGGACGGAAAGGGUCUUGGACACCUCACUUCUCUUCAAACUCUAAAAAUUUACAGCUGUCCAAGUCUUCAAUGCCUGCCAGAAGAGGGUUUGCCGCCAUCUCUUUCUCAUCUGAGUAUCCGCUGUUGUCCUACCCUGGAGGAAAGGUAUAAGAAUAAAACGGGACAAGAUUGGGCAAAGAUAUCUCACAUUCCUUGCAUCGAGAUAGGGGAAGAAGUGAUCAUAUAAUAUGAGCUAUUCCAUAUUUCACGCUCAACCCUCAACUCUCAAAUCAAAGUCAGGUGAGGUAUGUGCCUUCUCUUACUUUAAAAAACUGCUUCUCUUCUUCUAAUUGAAUACAAAAACCAAAACACAUAUUCUCUUUCUCUUCCAAAAACCCAAAUACAUGUUGGACAUAGCCCAACGCUGUACUUUCAUAGGUACUGCAUGUAUAUUAUCUUAGUAUCAACAGGUGGUCUUAUGUGGACGAGAGAGAACAUUGAGGAAUUACAAAAUCUUCUUAGUGAAUUAAGCUUGCUUCAGCUCUGUUUGUCAUCCCUCUCAUUUUCUUUGUUAAGCCUUGGUUUUUUAUUAGGAGAUGAAUGCUUUUAUAUAUUGAUGUCGUAGUCAGUCUUCAACCACACUCCGUUUUUAGAAUUCGUUUAUGUUACUAGUGGAGUGCUGCUGUAUUUUAUAUUUCGUUCCUGUAAUGUUUGAUGUUUAGUUUGAGUAGUCUAGCUUAUCCAGUAGAUAACUCGUCCCCUGUUUUGUAAUGUUUUUGUUUCCUCUAAUGAAAGCAGGUUUUACUUAUCUUAAACUUUUAUUUUUAUUUUUAAAUAUCAGUAAUAACUGGGAAAGCUUGCAUCUCCUUAAAUUGCUCAUUCUUACAUCUUUUAUAGUUUGUCGAUCUUGGGCAAGUGGAGAGAGAGGCGUCAAGUGAUACACAACAACCAUUUUCUGUGAGCUAAUUUGAUAAUGAUAAAUGGUAUGCUUUCUUGUCUUAAGCUGUGUGUUCUGCAAUUAUUUAAAACAAAGAGUGCCGCGCUUCAAGUUCGAGGAAAACAGGUAUUUUAGGUUAGCUGUAUAAUUCGUGGUAAAUGCCUUUUUCUAAGGUUCAUUUAGACUCCUAUUACGAUUAAUUUGUUGUUUCUAAUUUGGACUUGUAGGAACAGACCAAAUAUGUUCACACGUGGCAUCGCUCAAGUCAUCAUCAUUUCCGACAGAAAAUCAGCCUUCAAGUGUCUGCUGAGUCAAUGAACCUUUCUAGAUAUAUCAAGUGCAAUGGAAAUUCAUGAGUUACAUAGAGAUUUGUAAACAUUUUGAAGAUUGCAACACCUGCAAGUGAGAUAGGUGGUGACGAAAUCAGAGCUGAUCUUGAAGCCUCUGAUGCCCCGGUUGUUGCAAGUUGCACCUGAGAACAUGUUUUUUUGGGGUAAAAAACUGGCAACAUGUUCGGAGCUGGCAAUUCAGUCAGUGAUGAAGUUGAGAAGCAAAGCUCCAGUAAGGAAAUUGGUCGAGGUCGCCACAGGGAUGAUUGAUGGUGAAAUGGAUGCUAUUUCUUAUUGCAGCCUGUUCUCAAAGUUCUUGUUGGCAAAUGCAAGAAAUGGAGUAUUUUGAUUGGAAGGAGAGAUAAUGACAUGUCUUGACAAUUCUAGAACAGCCCAUCUGAGUUCUUUUGUCAGGCUGCAUCAUUCAAUCCCGGCAAAUAUCCAGUUUCUGCUAAACAAUCACUUAUGGCAAGGCCAACUCUGGUAAACAAUUACAUUUUUUCUUUUGAGGAAUUUCACUUUGUCAUCAAACAGUAUUCUAAUGCAUUAUGGUAGCACUACACGCUUUUGUUGUAACAAAUUACAAUGAGGAAUUUGGAUUGAGGAAUUUGGAUUGAGUUUCUUUUAUGCUUUGUUUAGAUUAAAAAUAUCAGUUUCCUGUGUUAAUAACAUUACAGUUUUAUGGAAUGGUUUAUCUUGUUUUUCUGGACAAAAAUAUUUAGAGAAAUUUUCAGUAUAGCUUGUCCUUUAGAUUAAUUUCUCCUGUAGGGUGUUAAAGUUUGAUCUUUUUUUUUGUUUUUUGUUUUUUGUUUUUUGUUUUUGUUUUUUUUUGGUAAAUAAGUUUGAUCUAUUUAAAUUGAAUAGGGUGUGCAUGAGACAUUUUUCUUGGAAUAAUUUUUUAAUUGCAGUGGCAAAAAAAGGAAAAUAGUAGUCUUCAAAACGAAUCUUAAAUCCAGUUUCCUCUUCUUGGUCGUCACUCUUAGAAAUUGCUAACCAUAUAUAGCCUGGAGUAAGCACUGCACAAAACGGCAUACCAUCACAAAUCCUAAUUCCAUACAAUCUGUUGAAGGAAAAUGUGAUCCUCCUAAUAUAAUUUCACCACCACUAAUUAAAUAACGGGGUUUUAUUAUUUUAGGUUCGACCCAUUCGAGACGCAAGUCUCUUAAUUACAAUCCCUUGCUUCAAGGGAACACCCUUUGAUUCCAUCAUAAAGAAACAGAACGUUUGUGUUUGAUUUUGCAACUGCUCCCAAGUCCAACCUCAGGAUGCCUACGUAUCCCUUGCGGGAAUCAAGCCACUCGUAGUUCAAAGAAUCGCAAUGAAUAAAUGACUCAUUGCGAGGGAAAUUUGAUUUGAAUUGUACUGAGAAGUGUUUGAGUGAAUUUAGCUGAAUAAACCAGGGAUUCGAUAUGGGAUUGCAUUUGGGAUGGUUGCAUCUAGAUUGAAUCUCUAGAUUGCCUACGUACCCUUUCAAAGGGAUCAAACCAACGUAGUUCGGAAUUUGGAAAUCAACGGGCAAGUGUGGCCCACUAAUUGAGAAUUUCUGUUUAAGAGACUUGGAUUUAAUCUCAUUAGAGUUUUCAUGGGUAGAUGACCCAUGGAAAAUUGGAUGGUUUUGUACCACUUUCGUUGUUGUCCAUGUCCAAGAAAAAUAAUGAGUAAUUUUAAUUAUCCCAUUAAUUUUUCCUAAACAUUGACAAUUGCGUUUGGGGAUUUCCAUAGGUAGAUGACCUAUGGGAAAAUUUGGAAAUUAAUGGAUAAGUGUGGCCCACUAAUUAAGAAUUUGUAUUUGAGAGAUUUAGAAUUAAUCUCAAUGAAAUUUUGCAUGGGUAGAUGACCCAUGGGAAAUAUUAGAAAUUAAUGGGUAAGUGUAGCCCACUAAUUGAGAACUUGAAUUUGAGAGAUUUGAAUUUAAUCUCAAUGAAAUUUGUAUGGGUAGAUGACCCAUGAAAAAUUGAAUGGUUUUGUACCAUUUUUCUGGUUGUCAAUGUCCAAGAAAAAUAAUGAGUAAUUUUGAUUAUCCCAUUAAUUUUCCCUAAAAAAUUGACAAUUGCACUUGGGAAAGUGUUUUUUUUUGGCGAAAUCUGGUUAAGAUAAGCCAGAGAUUUAUACUUGAUUGCGGUUGCGUCUAUUGGGAUGUUAGACUGCCUACGUACCCUUGACGGGAUCAAACCGACGUAGUUCCAAAUUUAGGAAGUUAAUGGGUAACUGUGGCCCACUAAUUGAGAAUUUGUGUCUUUGGGACAAUUUGGAGAUUUUCAUAGGUAGAUGACCUAUGGAAAAAAUUGGAAAUUAACGGGUAAGUGUAGCCCACUAAUUAAGAAUUUGUGUUUGAGAUAUUUGAAUUUAAUCUCAUUUGGAAUUUGCAUGGGUAGAUGACCCAUGGAGAAAAUUGGAUGGUUUUAUACCAUUUUUCUUUUUGUCAAUGUCCAAGGAAAAUAAUGAGCAAUUUUGAUGAACCCACUAAUUCUCUACAAUUGACAUUUGCAUUUGUAUCCAUGCAUGAUUUGGAGGAUUUGAGAUUAAUGGGCUUUUUUGAUCAACAAAACCCAUUAAUCCAUAUUGAUGCUCCUUUAAAAUCUUUUGGGAGUUGAGCUUAAUGCUCCGCGUGUGACAAAUAAUUUAUUUGGACUGGAGUCACCGUCACAGCAUGGUUGAGUCACUUGGCACUCUUUUCUGAAUCGCUUCUUUGCCACAAUGGUUGAUUCCCACAUUUCUUAGUGUGGCUUUUGAAGUGGUUUUGUACCCCUUGACAUCUGGUGUGGUUUUGUACUACUUGAGUCUUCACUUGACGUUGAGUCUUCACUUGACGAUUUGAGAAUUAAUGGGCAUUUUUGGAAUUUAAGCCCAUAAUCCAUCAUUUGCGGACUUCAGGAAUUGGAGACUCAAAGGAAAUCUCAAACAAAGUGGCUGACGCCAUUUGACUUUUCUUCCCUUAUUUCGGUGCGAGUCUUCCUCUUCGUUUAUUUGUUGUUGCCAUGUGCAGCACCAAGCCAAUCCCUCUUUCGUCUUUCUUUGGUUUUGACUUGUUUUUUUUUUCUUUGUUUUUGGUUUGCUGCACAACACCAAGCUGCCAACAAGACGUGGCUAUCCUUUUUUCUUCAUUUUGUUUGUUUGUUGUUGCUAUGUGCAACAACACCAAGUUGCCAAAACGUGGCUGUCUUCAAUAACUUUUUUUUUUUUAGUUCACGUGUCUGUAUGGCAACAUCAGUGGUUUGAACAAGUUGGUUGUCUUGAGCCUUUCCUCCACCCCAUAUGACGAGCAGCAUUUCUUGACUUCCACAAGUCUGCAAAGGGAACUAGCCUUUUUCUUGAUGGUGGAUCAUUGUUAUCACAAAAAAAAUGAUAUUUGUGUGCCUUAUCCAGCUGGUUCUUUUCGGCUUGGUGCCAAAAGUAAAUGUCUUUUAAUUUGAUCAAGACACCCAAGGGAUAGAAAUUCUUCUCCAAGUGAAGUAUGGAUUAAACUCCUUAUUGAUUUGGAGCUGGUGGAUCAUCCAGUGAAGUAAACUUCUUGUCCACAUAGGAUUGGGUUGUCUUCCUUAUAAAAAGGAAAACAUGUGUGCACCAGCAAACAGCCACAAAACGAAAGUCUUAACAUUAUUCUUCGUUUGCUUCUCCAGACCAGCCCAUAGCUUUGCUCAAGCCACCUGUUGCACCAUCAAACAGAAGAGGAUUUCACGUGGUAACCCACAUGCCAUUCCUUAGUUCUUCUCUUUUAUUUUAUUUAUUGAUUGAACUAACUAGGAUUUUUUUGGCAUGGGCAGCAAUAGCUGUAGCAAUUGAAGAGCCUCCAAUUAAUUGGAUGCUUCCAGGCUGACUUGGAACCAAAAGAGACAAUUUCUCUUAUUGUCCUUUGUGUGCUGUAACCUUCCCAAGGUCAAUAACCCAAGACAAAGGGAAAGAGAAAUCAUCUUGCGUUUCACGUGGUAACCCACCCCUUGACAAAUGUCUUUUUUCUUUUGUCUGUUUCCAUGUUUCUGACCUCUUGUCUUCUCUUUUGUAUGUAGAGGCUGUGCUGCCAGCUUGAAGGCUUUGGAGUUUGGUGGAGGAAACCAUCUGUCAUUUUGCUUCAGAAACCCAAGAAAGAACUUGUGGUACUUGCUUUGCCAGCUCCUCUUUUUUUUUGUUUGCUAUUGCUGUACUUUUACCACUGCUCAUAUCCAUUUCUUUUACUCAAUUUCCAGUCAAAGAAACAUUCAAGAGGGGGAGGAGGGGCUGUGCGAUACAGCCCCCCUUUUUUUUUUAUUCCAUCACCUUUUUUUAUGUCCCUUGUUUUGUCUCUUUGCAUACAAAACACAAGAACAAAGUCAGCCACCAUUUUUUUACUCCAUUAUUUCUUCUUCCUUACUCCUUUUUUUCAAUCAAAGCAGACCAAUGGAACUAAUCUUUUUACCUUGAAAUGGCUCUUUCCUUUCUCAAGGCUGCUUGCUAAUUUUUCUUCUUGCUAUGACUGUUCUCCUUUCUGCUCUUUUUCUGUCCUCCUGCUGUUCUCCUCCCUUUCUUCCUUCUUUUUUUUUUCUCCUGCUGUUCUCCUCCCUGCGUUUUUUCUUUUUUUUUUUUUGUCCUCCCCUCGUGUCAUGCCUCUUAUAGAGGCUAUCUUAUGAUGAGUUUUAAUUCCAGCUGAUGACCACUUCUCAACUGAGAUACUUAUCUCUUGUUGUUUCAAAACCACUGAAAUACAUCUAUUUUAUUUUUAACUGUUUUUCUUGAUAAGAUUGCAGGGACAAAACAAAUUCAAUCCUAAACCAAGUCAAACUCUUGGCUAAUUAUUUUUUGUGAAAAUUUUCCGUUCAACAGAUGCCUUCUCAAGCGUUGUGCAUGAAAUGACUUUUUAUGUGCAACGCUUGAUAGCUUUUCCUUUGAACUGCGCAUCCCCUGACUUUUCUUGUAUUAAUUAAUUUUUUUUUUGGUUGAAAAAUUCAGGAAAUGGACGCGCAAGGUCGAUUCGGGUUUGAGCGAGUCUUUGAUUCGCAUGGUAGGGAAUUUGUCUCUGGCCCCCAAUAUGCGAGAUCACUGCCUUUGAGAUCUGUGAAGCUUAAUGUACCCCCUGAAGGCCGUGCAACCUGGUAUACCACCGCCUCCGUAAAUUCGGGGUAUCUUGAAUUCAAACCCCACGCAGAAGAUAAGGUGAUUUCAGUAUGCCAAACGCAUCGUGCUGUGUUUACCGCCCAUUGUUUGGAGGAUGUGAAUAAUGAAGUGGAUGGAGACAUGAAAUUCCAAAUCAAAGAUCUUCCCACACGUGAUGAUUUUUACCCCGCUUUGCAUAGAAUGAUCAAGAGUAAGUUGGAGUGGGGGCCCCAGUAUCAGUUCUAUGGCCGAGCCACUUUUGAAAUUGGCGUUGCGGAGUGGACAAAAUGCGUUAUGAGUGACUUUGGAGACAUAUUGCAUAAGGCAAAAAUAUAUUGUGCCGUAGCAAUUUCCCGAUAUCCUUACGAGUGUUGCCCAAAUAUAUGGAGAGCAUUUUGUGAAUUAUGGGGGCCCUUGUGCAACACCUUUCAUCAUGGCAAUGGUGAGAUGGGGAUUUCUCUCUAUGACAUGAAAGUCAUUUGUGGGUUGCCAAUCUUGGGAGAUGUCCAGUAUGAGGAAUUUAUUCCCCAAAAUAAAGACUUGCAACAAAAUGGAGCAUAUCCUCCGACUAUCACUGAACUUUUGAAGAUCCACUCCCAAUUAUGUAUUUAUCAUAAUCAGUCUACCGUCAGCUGGGCCCAAUGGAUUGGGCACUUUUAUCGGGCGAAGAUUAUUUAUAAGGCCUUUGGGAAUGGCAAGAGGAAACCUCAAGAUCAACUUUUAAGGGCUCCCGAAAUCACUUUACGUAUUUCAAAGGAAGGGGGGUUGGCUGCAUUCUUGGCACUUUGGUUGAGUAGAUUUGUGUUACCUUCCGUGGAUCGCAACGUCAGACCUGAAACUUUUCAUAUGGCAUGUUUGAUGGCACAAGGGGUCAGAGUUUCACUUGCACCACCUGUUUUGGGGUAUAUUUACCAUGGUCUUGGAGAAAUUGCCACUCACCCAGAAGGUCCCAGCUUGUCAAGUGCUUCCUUCCCAAUUCAUUAUGUUAUCGGUUGGUUAGGCGAACAUAUUCCAGGAUUGUACCUACCACAAACUGACAAGGAAUUUGUCAAAGACUACCCUUUUUUGGUGAGGUACGCGGGUGUUAAGCCAAAAGGUUUUAGGCUUAAUCAUGCCAGAAUUAUAUUCCGUAGUGACAAAGAAUUAAUCUAUCGCCCAACCACGUUUACUGAAGAUGAAGGCCGUUCCUUUGUUGACAAGAAGGCUCUAUCAGACAGAAAAUUUGAAUUUCUAGUUUGCACACGUUAUGCGCUUUUGCCGGUGAGGGUGAACAACAAUCUUUGGUUGGAACCAUACUACCCGAAUAGAUUCGCGCGUCAAUUUGGUUUUGACCAAGGUGUCCCUUCGAACAAGCUUUCCUUUAGCGUUCGUGACAGGUGCAAGUGUGGCAUGGAGGAUUUGGCCAUAGCACAAAUCACUUUACUUAGAAGAGAUACCACAGCUGGAUUUUAUAUCCCACGCUAUACUCGUGUUGGAGUUUGCACUUGGUGGUAUUGCAAAUGGUGGAUGGGGUCAUCAGCACCAUAUAUGGGAUUAUCUGUAGCUAGAAUUUUCUUGCCUUCUAGAAAACACCUCGAAAGGCACGAUAAUAUUUUUAUUGUUAGGCCGGAGAAUCAAGGCCCCACAAGUUGUCAAAAAGAGGUCUCCAACAAACGUCAUUCUUCGCGUAGUGACAACAACAAGAGUCCAAAACGAAUUCGAAGCCAGAAUCUUGACCAUCCAGUUGAUGAGGGAGUCAGUUCCUCCCAUGCCGAUGCUGCUACUCUUAUCAGAGACUUGGUUUUCCCCAUGAAUGACGGGCCAUCCGAACAAGGUAGUACCACGAACUUCCCAAGUGAAGCAGAUGAUGCUCAAGAAGUGAGCAAUGAACUGAAUGCUACAGUCGUUGCUCCUGAUGUGAGUAAUGAUCCAAAUGAGACAGACGAUAUUGUUGAAGAUGACUGCCCCUUGCCAUUGGUAGAAUACUUGCCCUCCUCACCUUAUGUGAAGAAUUUCAUUCACCGCAUUCUUGGUCCAAGUGUGGCUCCACGUAGGCGAAGGUUCAUUGCUGAGGAAAUGCAAGACAUCUUUGAUAGAAUUUCUUCUUCCAAAUCACCUAUAGACCUACUAGCUCACCGUGAUCAUAUUUUGGGGGCACUUGGUCUCUUGCGACCUAUGAUUAAUACCCUUGAAUCAGGCCAGGAUGAGUUUCAGGAAUUUGAAACGACUAUCCAACACAUUUUCGAGUUGGUCACUUCAUUUUCCAAGAACGUUGCCUUUGUGGGAGAACAUGCCCAUCUAGAUGUUGACCGCAUCAAUGCUUUGAUCACCCAAUAUGAGCAGUGCUUCGCUGCCAUAAAAACCAUGAGCGUGCAUCUAAUAGAACUUAAUAGUGAGCUUGCUGAUGUGAAUGCCACAGUGGUUGAUGUUGAAAAGGCAGAGAAGGAAGCUGAAGAGGCAGCAAGACGAGCUCAUGAAAUGCGACAACAGUUUGAAUCGAAGACAAGUGCCCUUAAAGAACGUGCAAACGAUUUGCAGCAAUCUUUAGACCAACAAUUCGAAAAGGAAAUUGGGCUUCGACAAGCUAGAAUUGAUGCCAAUGAAGCAAUGCUCCCAAAACUCAUAGAGGCACGGAACUUAGGCUUCACGCAAGAGAAAGAAAUUCGCCAGUUAGUUAGCUCAUUGAUUUCCCUUUGCAGUAGAGUGGAGUAGACUCCUUUUUCCAUUUUCUUUUCUUCUUCUUUUUUCCUUACCUCUUAGUUAUUGUAAACUCAUUCGUCCACCUUAACUAGUAUUGAAUGAAAAUUUUUUUAUUUUUUUAUUUUUUUAUUUUUUUAUUUUUUUAUUUUUUGUAUACAUACUCAUGCUAAUUUUUUGAGCACUUACAUCAUUUAGCAAAUUUGCCGCAUACAAAACUUGACUGGAUGAUAGGGUUUUUUUGGUGGUUUACGACUGCACUCAGCUUUUUUUACUUUUAAAAAAAAAGCUAAGUUGCCUACGUACCCUAUAAAGGGAUCAAGCCAUACGUAGUUCACCCCUUGAUUCUCAGGGGAAGAAAGGGACAAAUGGAUUUUGUGGCCGCAUCUAGUGGCAAGACUAGACUGCCUACGUACCCCUUUUGAGGGAUCAAGCCGCCGUAGUUCCUUUCCUUGGACUGCCCUCUCGGGUUUUCAGCCCACGAAGGUUUUUUUUUUUUUUUUUUUUUUUAGCUCUAACUUUUGCUUGGACCGCCCUUUUGGGUUUUCAGUCCAACGAGCCUUUUUUUUUUUUUUCUCCAUCAGGCAUAAAACUUCUUGACGAAUUUCCCAUUCACACAAGGGUAUACGCACUUGCCUUCGGCGUUUGACAACUCAUAGGCACCCCUGGAGAAAACCUUAGUAAUGACGUAGGGCCCCUCCCACUUGGGUUCAAACUUACCGUGCAUUUUCCUGGUAAUGACAAAUGGUCUUCGGACAGUUAAAACUAAAUCUCCAAUUGAGAAAGAUCUGAACUUAACUUUUCUAUUGAAUGCCCCUGCAACCUGAGCUUGAUAUAUUUCGAGCUUUUGUUGAGCUGCCAGUCUUUUCUCAUCGAGGGCUUCCAGCUCUGCCAGUCUCACAUAUGCGUUUUCGUCAGGUGUACAUCCUUAACGAUGGCAAUUGGACUUCUAACGGUAGAACAGCCUCGGAGCCAAACACCAAAUUGUAGGGUGUACAUCCUGUUGAAUUGCGUAUGGUCGUCCUAUAAGCCCAUAAUGCUUCAGGGAGGCGCUCAUGCCAGUCUCUUUUAUUUCCUGAGACCGCCUUCUUUAGGAUGUUGCACAGUACCUUAUUGAAAGCUUCAGCUUGACCGUUUGACGACGGAUUGUAACUCGCGGAAAACGAGUGUUGAAAUCUAUACUUCUCGCACAACUUGGUCAUGGACUUGCACUUGAAAUAUAAUGCAUUGUCGGAUAUUAUCUUCGAUGGAACCCCAUAACGGUAGAUGAUAUGAUUUCUUAUGAAGUUUGUGACAUCGUCUGCUCGUACCUCCUUUAAAGGAAUCGCUUCAGCCCAUUUAGAGAAGUAAUCGGUCGCGGCCAAGAUGUACUGAUGUUGACGUGAUGACUUAGGCUUUAUCAUGCCAAUAACAUCUAAUCCCCAAGCUUCAAAUGGCCAAGACAAAGUAGUCGGAUGUAAUUGUUGGGGUGGCUGGUGAAUAAAGUCUCCAUGUAACUGGCAAUCUUUGCAUGUGGUUGCAAAUUUUAUUGAGUCUUGGACCAUUGUUGGCCAGUAAUAACCCAAUCUCUUCAGUUGGUUUGAGAGUUUUGGACCAGCUUGAUGAGCACCGCAAGUGCCAGCAUGAGUAUCAUGAAAGGCCUUAGUUGAGUCUUGUUUCGACAGACACCUUAACAACAUACCAUCAAAUGAUCUUUUGUACAAGGUGUCAUUUAGGUACAGAAAUUGAGUGGCUCUGCGUCGGACUUCAGCCUUUUUCCUUGAGUCAUUUGGCAACUUGCCUUGUCGGAGAUACUCGAUUAUGGGAUGGCGCCAAUCAAGAUCAUCUGGUUCCCCCUCACAUUCGGAAGCCGUAAUGACGUUUGAAUCAACAACUUCCUCAAUUCUCUCUAUAGCUGGGAGUAGUAAGUGACGUUCCCCAACAGUGAUUUGGAUAUCCCUUUCAUCAGGUAGUGUUAACGAUGCAGCCAAAUUAGCUAGUGCAUCAGCUUUAUCAUUUUCCGACCUCGGGAUGUGACUAACAUGGAUGUCUUGGAACUGCGACAUGAGAUACUUUGCCCUUUCAUGGUAUGGGACGAGAGUAGUAUUCCUGACAGCGUAUUGGCCAUUCAACUGUCUAACGACUAACUGUGAAUCACCGUAUGCUUGCAAAUAAUCAAUAUGCAUCUCGAGAGCAAUUUCAAGGCCAAUGAUGAGUGCCUCGUAUUCUGCCACAUUAUUUGAACAUAAAGCUAGUAAAGAGAAUGAGUAUGGGAUUAAGCCCCCAGACGGCGUGAUGAAUACUACUCCUGCCCCAGCUCCUUUUCCUCUUGCUGCCCCAUCAAAAUAUAACUGCCAUAUAAGUGCUUCUGUCGUGAACACCUCUUCGUCGGGCAAAUCAUUAGAUAACUCCAUGUUGUCAGGAGUAGGAUGAGCAGCCAAGAAAUCAGCAAGAGCCUGCCCUUUGAUUGCCUUUUGUGGCACAAACUUUAUCUCGAACUCGGAGAGAAGGAGAGACCACUUGGCUAUUCGCCCAGAGAGCACAGGCUUGGACAUUAAAUAUCGGAGUGGAUCUGCCUUGGAAAUCAAAAUGACUCUAUGAGAGAGGAUGUAGUGUCGUAGUUUCUGUACAGCGAACACCAAAGCGAGGCAGACCUUUUCGAUCGGGGUGUAAUUUUGUUCUGCCCCUACGAGAGUUCUACUCAAGUAAUAUAACGCAUUUUCCUUUCCAUCCUCGUUGUGUUGGGCGAGCAAUGCACCUAAUGAGCGUUCUAAUGCCGCAAUGUAUAGGAUUAAAGGCUUCCCUUUGAUUGGCGCCAUUAGAACUGGCGGAUUUAACAGGUAUUGUUUAAUGCUUUCCAAAGCAUUUUGGCAUGCUUGAUCCCAUAUAAACGGAACAUCCUUCUUCAUUAGCCUUGAGAAUGGUUGACACCUUCCAGAGAGAUUUGAGAUGAAUCAUCGUAUGUAAGCUAGUCUUCCUUGCAGCCCCCGCAGCUCCCUUAAAUUUCGAGGGGGAGGCAUCUCACGGAUUGCCUUGAUUUUUGAGGGAUCAAUUUCAAUUCCACGAUGUCGGACGAUAAAGCCAAGGAAUCUACCAGAACUUACCCCAAAUGCACAUUUUAAGGGGUUCAUUUUCAACUGGUGCUUUCGGAGUCUAUCAAAAACUCGUUUUAAGUCCCUCAAAUGAUGUUCUCUUUUUCUGGUUUUGACAACCAAAUCAUCAACGUAGCAUUCAAUGGUAUUGUGAAGCAUGUCAUUGAAAAUUACCGUCAUGGCUCUUUGGUAAGUCGCCCCUGCAUUUUUCAACCCAAAAGGCAUCACAGUGUAGCAAUAUAUUCCUUUUGGAGUGCGGAAGGCAGUUUUCUCUUGAUCCUCUGGAGCCAUUUUUAUUUGGUUGUAACCUGAGAAUCCAUCCAUAAAUGAUAGAGCACCGAAACCGGUUGUUGCGUCUACCAAUAAUUCUGUAAUUGGGAGUGGAAACUCAUCUUUUGGGCAUGCAUCAUUGACGUCUCUAUAGUCCACACAUAUGCGUAGUGCCCCAGUUUUUUUGAGGACUGGGACGAUAUUGGACAACCAGGUGGGAUAUUGGACCUCUCUGAUAAAACCCGCGGCAAUAAGCUUGUCAAUCUCGAUUUCUAUUUGGAUUGUUAGCUCUGGCCGAAAACGGCGUGGAGCUUGCUUCACCCAUCGAGCCUCAUCCGGUAUCCCAAGUUUGUGAACUGCAACGUUUGGGUCUAAACCUGGCAUGUCUUGAUAACCCCAUGCAAAUACAUCUCGGUACUCUUGUAACAGUUGUGUGUAUUCUUCUAACUCUUGCGGUGUUAACAAAGCACUGACAAAGAUAGGCUUUGGGUUGUCAACCGUACCGAGAUUAAUUUCUUGCAGAUCAUCAAUUGUGGCUUGACCUCCCUCCUCCAUUUGUGGUGGAGCUGGUUGGACUAUGUCGAUGAAUUCCUCAAUAUCUUGAGGACUAUCAUCUUGGUCCACUGUUUCUUCGCAAGAGGUGCAAUUGACCUGGACAAGGUCAUCCUUUAUUUUCACCCUUUUGAUCGUUUCGAUCACAGCUUUCUCUUGACUCUUAACUUUCCAUUUCCUUUUAUUAUGGACCUUUCCUUGUUGAGAACUGGAAGGGUUCUCCAAGCGUUGAAAGACUGAGAUGCGGGGUGGUUGUCUGCCCCCUAGGCGUUUGAACACGGAGAUGCGAAUCGGCUUUAUAUUCACCUCAUCUUCUCUAAACAUGGCUUGUUCCAUAUUAGUGAGUAUCUCAGGCUCGGAGGCUUCUAGAUGUGGCCUUCGAAGAGCCACUUUGAGUCCACUACUCUCAUUUUGAACUGUGAGGCCAACAUUGCUUUUCUUUGCUUUUCGGCCUUUAAGUUCUAUCUUUAAUGGAGCAGAUGUUGUUUCUGACAAUGAUGCCUUUUUGUGAAAAACUACACGUUUACUUGGGCCAUCGUUUUUGCCAAAAGUAGUCUAAAUGACCAAACUGCCCCCAGGGAUAGACUGAUUGAUCUUACGAAGAGGACGAGUGUAACUUGCUGUUAUCAGUGACUCCAUUGUUUGUUUCAAUGAGCUUGUUUCCUUUUCACUAGGCUCCUUUUUUGAAGUCUUCACAAUUAUCUUUGGCUUGGGAGCCCUUGCAGUCGGGACUUCUCCCACUUUUGAGGAUGACGCACCACGAGGUUUUAGCUUCACUCGGAUUACUUUUGAAGGUUUAGAUACUUCUACAUUUUGGGCUUUUCCUGUUUCAACAGUCGCUCUUUUCUCUUUAUCAACCUUUGAUGGCUGUGUAAAUGAGAGACCAAGUGGGCUGUAAAACUUCGCAUCAGAGUAAUUUACCUCUUCCCCUUUGAACGGGUCCAUGUCAGCUGAAACACUCUUGACUUCCCCAUCCACCAAGUAUUUAAAGCACUGGUGAAGUGUAGAAGGGACUACGCCAUAUGUAUGGAGCCAUGGACGUCCUAGCAGGACGUUGUAUGAAGUAUCAGCCUCGAUCACAUGGAAUAGGGCGUCUGAAUAUAAGUCUCCUAUUUCCAUUUGCAAUGCGAUAGAGCCCAUGGCCUUUUGCCCAAGUUGAUUGAACCCUUGAAUAGUCAACAUAGAGGGAGACAACUGUCGGGCACUCAUCCCUAUAGCAUGGAGCGUCUUUAAUGGGAUAAUAUUCACGGCCGAACCACAAUCUAACAAGAUUCGAUUAAUGGUUGUGCCUCCAACUUCGCCAGUGACAUACAGAGGUCGAUUAUGGAAUUUGGACCCAAGUAAAAAGUCAUCUUCACCAAAGGUAAUUGCUGCCAGACAUGAUGCACAAAACUUCGAUGUUUCAGUUGUGUGGACAUCUGCUGAUUUGAAACAUGACUUAUACAAAUCUGGGUUCAUUAAAGCCAUUACAAGUGCCUCCCUAAGUUCCCUCGACAUUUGUAAAGCGUCGUAGACACUUAGAGGAGCGGGGAUGCGCUUAAGAUGAGCUAGAAUAUCAUACUUAACUAUAUGUGAUUGUGAUGGCUCCUUUGCUUUACUAGUAUCGGGCUUAGAAUCCUUUGCUUUUGGAGAGGAAGGUGGAACUUCCCCUGCAACAGUUUUUCCUGACAAGAAGACCUUAAUCUCUUUCGCCUUUGGCUUCUUCUCGGUUUUAGAGGGAUCAACUUCCUCAUUUUGUUGUGCUUUAUCAGCAGAUGGGAUGCUUCGACCGGAGCGGAGAUUAACCUCAUCAACUUCUGUGUCGACCUCAUAUUCCUCCAAAGAAACCAUGUUGCAUUGAAUGAUUUCUUCCUCACCUUCAGAUUCACUCGAGAAAAACUCAACUGGCAAAAACUCAGUGAGUGUGACAGGGACCCUUGCGGGUUGCUCAUAUUCAUCUUCUUGGGUGAUUUGAACUUUCUUUUGCACUCUCUUCUUCCUCCUCUUAUUUUUCAAGGGUGGCAUGCCUCGAAUCUUGACACCCGGACGAGUCGUAAAUCUGUGAUUGGGUGGGAGAUAUUUAGCCAUGUGCUUGGCCCUUUUAACAAAUGUCGUCCACCCCUCAGCAAAUUCGUCGGUUGAAGAAUCUUCCCAUAUUUCUAGACUAGGGGCAGCCACGAGCUCAUGAAGAGUAGGAAUUUGAAGAUCAUUAGACCAUGGUGCCUUCGGACAAGUAUGUACGAUUGUACCCCGAUGGUCGGUACUAAUACCUGCAAUUUUCGCUCCAUCUAGUAAUGCAGUGAUGGGUGUGAGCUUUUCUUCUAUCAUAUUUGCCGUAGCUGAAUGAUGUCGGGAAGAGGAGUCUAUCUCCAAGCCGCCAUUGUUGAGGAGCUCUUGGAUUUUAUCCUUCAGGAUAUAACAAUCCUUGAGCGUAUGACUGACAAGGCGAUGAUAUCGACAAUACCUAGGGUCAUCUGUCUUGUUGGCCUCAGCAGGACGUUUUGAUUCUGGCAGAGCAAUAGCAUUGGAGGCCAGAAGUUGGUCAAAGAUUGCUUCUACAUCAUCAUCAUCAAAAGAAUAUUUGACCUCUUUGCGUUCUUUAAGAGUUAGCCUUUUAGGUGGGUCUUUGUUUUGGCCUUUGUCAUUUUUCUUUUCAGUUUUGACGAAAGUGGCCAACGACUCUCCUUUCAUGGACUUCUUGUCAUUUUUCUUUUCCCCAAAUUGAAUUUUUUGGGACGCGGACUUUUGGCGAGCAAUUUGUCUUUCAACAUUGCUCGCCUUUGACACCAAAGCGUCAAAUGAUUAGGGUUCAGCAGUGGCGACAAAAGUCGCAAUGUCUGGCAUGAGGUUAUUGUAGCACAUUUGCACUGCUGAUAGCUCAGUAAUUUUCUCAGGGCAUUGAAGAUUGAGACUCCUCCAUCUCAUAAUAAAGUCAUUAGCACUUUCCCCUGGCUUUUGGGCAGUUUGAGCUAGGUCCAUGAUCGAGACCUUCUUUUUAGAACUGACAAAUUGUGCCAAAAAUGCUUUUUGCAUGUCGUCCCACGUCAAGAUAGAGCCUGGCGGUAGCUGUGUAUACCAAGUGAAAGCUGAUCCUUUUAGGGAUUGGACAAAUUGACGCACCAGGAGAGCGUCUGACUGAGAUGUCUCGCCACAUGCUAAGUAAAAAUGUGCCAGAUGUUCAUGGGGUGAGCUAUUUAUGCCAUCAAAUUUAUCAAAUAUGGGCCGUUGAUAACCCUUCGGGAAUGGUAUGGCGUCAUAGUGAGAAGGGAAGGGUUUUCGGUACCCUUGAACAGGAAGCGCUAUGGACAAUUGGAACUCACGAAUCCCCUCAGCAAUUAAUGCCUUCAUGUCGUUUGGGGAAAUUGUGCUUGUAGAGCUCUCUGCUUUUUCCUCUUUUGUUUGUUGUUCAUGGGUCAUCGAUUCAUUUGUUUUGCCCCUGUCUUGCUCUCCUAUGACGGCUUUCCCUUUCAACUUAGCUGAUAGUAACGCUAUUUCCGCGUCUUUCUCUGCUAACUUCUGCUGCAUUUCCUUUCGCAAGUCUUGCAUCAUCUCUUGGAUUAAGGGCAACUGGUCCUCAGUAUUAGAAGUACCAGUCAUCAUGACUUGCAUGCUUUCCACCCCGUCAUGAAGUUUGGCCCCUUGGGAUACUACACAAUCAUUCUCUUGAUUUUGAGAUACAGGAUCAUCAUAAAGAGGAUUCCAUUGCAAAUAAUCGUCCAAACGGGUUGAGUUUGGAGCGGAUAACUCGGGAAUAGUCAUCCCCAUCAUGUCUCGGGAUUUGGAACGAGUCAAUGGACCCAUGUAGGGCCUUGACAGCUCUUGAGAUUUCGGGACUCCCCCUUGUGAUACGGGAUUUUGAUCCCUUGAAGCAUCAGUUGUCGUCACCUUUUGCAUACGCCUUCUUUGUGGAUGAGGUAUAUUCACCACCUUCUUCUCCAUGAUGAUGGCUUUGUUUUUACCCUUAGAAGAGCACGGGUAAACCUCUUGUGAUAUGGAUUCCACAGCGUGGGUUUUUGGACUUGACGGAGGUUCGGCCCCCUGGGCCUCAGCGUUCUCCACAGAGUCGUCCUUUUGACCUUUCUCACUAGUUUCAUUGGUGGAAGUCAUCAGAACAGAAUCUGUAGGAUAUAGGUCGACCGGGAUUGAUCCAAUCAUGAUUUGGACCAAUUGGGUAGCAUUUGUCCUCUUGGAAGUCGGCACAGCCAGGGUGCUCGAGGUGUUCUUGCCUUCAGUCACAAACGGGCUUGUCCCCGAAAGCUCAACCAAAACUGCCUCAAUAGACUCCCUCUUUGCUUCUUUCUUUCCUAAAGCACGCGCAGCCCUCUUUCUUGCAUUUCGGAGAGCGUUCUUGGAAGGUGCUUUCUUCAAUUGGGUCUUGACAACCUUAGGAGUGACCUGAGGCUUGACCCUCUGAAUGGGCUUUGGAACGGCGCACUUGAUGAGGCUCUCACCAACAAUGAAAGUCUUUUUGAACCCCACUCGUUUGGUGCACGCAUUCCAGGUAGCUUCGAUCUUGUGGAAGAAAAUUGUAACUUGUGGUGCCAUCGAAUAUGGUUUUGUUAACCUGUGGCAUACACAAAAAUAAAAACAUUAGUCACUUUAUGAUUGGAGAUGAAAAGGUAAAUGGAUCCCACCGGGCGUGCCAAAAAUUAUGUUGAAGGAAAAUGUGAUCCUCCUAAUAUAAUUUCACCACCACUAAUUAAAUAACGGGGUUUUAUUAUUUUAGGUUCGACCCAUUCGAGACGCAAGUCUCUUAAUUACAAUCCCUUGCUUCAAGGGAACACCCUUUGAUUCCAUCAUAAAGAAACAGAACGUUUGUGUUUGAUUUUGCAACUGCUCCCAAGUCCAACCUCAGGAUGCCUACGUAUCCCUUGCGGGAAUCAAGCCACUCGUAGUUCAAAGAAUCGCAAUGAAUAAAUGACUCAUUGCGAGGGAAAUUUGAUUUGAAUUGUACUGAGAAGUGUUUGAGUGAAUUUAGCUGAAUAAACCAGGGAUUCGAUAUGGGAUUGCAUUUGGGAUGGUUGCAUCUAGAUUGAAUCUCUAGAUUGCCUACGUACCCUUUCAAAGGGAUCAAACCAACGUAGUUCGGAAUUUGGAAAUCAACGGGCAAGUGUGGCCCACUAAUUGAGAAUUUCUGUUUAAGAGACUUGGAUUUAAUCUCAUUAGAGUUUUCAUGGGUAGAUGACCCAUGGAAAAUUGGAUGGUUUUGUACCACUUUCGUUGUUGUCCAUGUCCAAGAAAAAUAAUGAGUAAUUUUAAUUAUCCCAUUAAUUUUUCCUAAACAUUGACAAUUGCGUUUGGGGAUUUCCAUAGGUAGAUGACCUAUGGGAAAAUUUGGAAAUUAAUGGAUAAGUGUGGCCCACUAAUUAAGAAUUUGUAUUUGAGAGAUUUAGAAUUACUCUCAAUGAAAUUUUGCAUGGGUAGAUGACCCAUGGGAAAUAUUAGAAAUUAAUGGGUAAGUGUAGCCCACUAAUUGAGAACUUGAAUUUGAGAGAUUUGAAUUUAAUCUCAAUGAAAUUUGUAUGGGUAGAUGACCCAUGAAAAAUUGAAUGGUUUUGUACCAUUUUUCUGGUUGUCAAUGUCCAAGAAAAAUAAUGAGUAAUUUUGAUUAUCCCAUUAAUUUUCCCUAAAAAAUUGACAAUUGCACUUGGGAAAGUGUUUUUUUUUGGCGAAAUCUGGUUAAGAUAAGCCAGAGAUUUAUACUUGAUUGCGGUUGCGUCUAUUGGGAUGUUAGACUGCCUACGUACCCUUGACGGGAUCAAACCGACGUAGUUCCAAAUUUAGGAAGUUAAUGGGUAACUGUGGCCCACUAAUUGAGAAUUUGUGUCUUUGGGACAAUUUGGAGAUUUUCAUAGGUAGAUGACCUAUGGAAAAAAUUGGAAAUUAACGGGUAAGUGUAGCCCACUAAUUAAGAAUUUGUGUUUGAGAUAUUUGAAUUUAAUCUCAUUUGGAAUUUGCAUGGGUAGAUGACCCAUGGAGAAAAUUGGAUGGUUUUAUACCAUUUUUCUUUUUGUCAAUGUCCAAGGAAAAUAAUGAGCAAUUUUGAUGAACCCACUAAUUCUCUACAAUUGACAUUUGCAUUUGUAUCCAUGCAUGAUUUGGAGGAUUUGAGAUUAAUGGGCUUUUUUGAUCAACAAAACCCAUUAAUCCAUAUUGAUGCUCCUUUAAAAUCUUUUGGGAGUUGAGCUUAAUGCUCCGCGUGUGACAAAUAAUUUAUUUGGACUGGAGUCACCGUCACAGCAUGGUUGAGUCACUUGGCACUCUUUUCUGAAUCGCUUCUUUGCCACAAUGGUUGAUUCCCACAUUUCUUAGUGUGGCUUUUGAAGUGGUUUUGUACCCCUUGACAUCUGGUGUGGUUUUGUACUACUUGAGUCUUCACUUGACGUUGAGUCUUCACUUGACGAUUUGAGAAUUAAUGGGCAUUUUUGGAAUUUAAGCCCAUAAUCCAUCAUUUGCGGACUUCAGGAAUUGGAGACUCAAAGGAAAUCUCAAACAAAGUGGCUGACGCCAUUUGACUUUUCUUCCCUUAUUUCGGUGCGAGUCUUCCUCUUCGUUUAUUUGUUGUUGCCAUGUGCAGCACCAAGCCAAUCCCUCUUUCGUCUUUCUUUGGUUUUGACUUGUUUUUUUUUUCUUUGUUUUUGGUUUGCUGCACAACACCAAGCUGCCAACAAGACGUGGCUAUCCUUUUUUCUUCAUUUUGUUUGUUUGUUGUUGCUAUGUGCAACAACACCAAGUUGCCAAAACGUGGCUGUCUUCAAUAACUUUUUUUUUUUUAGUUCACGUGUCUGUAUGGCAACAUCAGUGGUUUGAACAAGUUGGUUGUCUUGAGCCUUUCCUCCACCCCAUAUGACGAGCAGCAUUUCUUGACUUCCACAAGUCUGCAAAGGGAACUAGCCUUUUUCUUGAUGGUGGAUCAUUGUUAUCACAAAAAAAAUGAUAUUUGUGUGCCUUAUCCAGCUGGUUCUUUUCGGCUUGGUGCCAAAAGUAAAUGUCUUUUAAUUUGAUCAAGACACCCAAGGGAUAGAAAUUCUUCUCCAAGUGAAGUAUGGAUUAAACUCCUUAUUGAUUUGGAGCUGGUGGAUCAUCCAGUGAAGUAAACUUCUUGUCCACAUAGGAUUGGGUUGUCUUCCUUAUAAAAAGGAAAACAUGUGUGCACCAGCAAACAGCCACAAAACGAAAGUCUUAACAUUAUUCUUCGUUUGCUUCUCCAGACCAGCCCAUAGCUUUGCUCAAGCCACUUGUUGCACCAUCAAACAGAAGAGGAUUUCACGUGGUAACCCACAUGCCAUUCCUUAGUUCUUCUCUUUUAUUUUAUUUAUUGAUUGAACUAACUAGGAUUUUUUUGGCAUGGGCAGCAAUAGCUGUAGCAAUUGAAGAGCCUCCAAUUAAUUGGAUGCUUCCGGGCUGACUUGGAACCAAAAGAGACAAUUUCUCUUAUUGUCCUUUGUGUGCUGUAACCUUCCCAAGGUCAAUAACCCAAGACAAAGGGAAAGAGAAAUCAUCUUGCCUUUCACGUGGUAACCCACCCCUUGACAAAUGUCUUUUUUCUUUUGUCUGUUUCCAUGUUUCUGACCUCUUGUCUUCUCUUUUGUAUGUAGAGGCUGUGCUGCCAGCUUGAAGGCUUUGGAGUUUGGUGGAGGAAACCAUCUGUCAUUUUGCUUCAGAAACCCAAGAAAGAACUUGUGGUACUUGCUUUGCCAGCUCCUCUUUUUUUUUGUUUGCUAUUGCUGUACUUUUACCACUGCUCAUAUCCAUUUCUUUUACUCAAUUUCCAGUCAAAGAAACAUUCAAGAGGGGGAGGAGGGGCUGUGCGAUACAGCCCCCCUUUUUUUUUAUUCCAUCACCUUUUUUUAUGUCCCUUGUUUUGUCUCUUUGCAAACAAAACACAAGAACAAAGUCAGCCACCAUUUUUUUACUCCAUUAUUUCUUCUUCCUUACUCCUUUUUUUCAAUCAAAGCAGACCAACAGAGGGAGGGAGGGCUGUGCGUCACAGCCCCCCUUUUAUUUAUUUUUUUUUUCAACUCCUCUUUGCAGCAAAACACAAGAAGCAAACCCACCAUUUUCUUUUGCUCCAUUACCUCUCCCUCCGCUGGCUCUCUUCUCCUUCUCUUUUUGUCUUUUUUUCCUUCUUUGUUGACUUGCUGGCGGCAGCUGCCCAUAGGGAGGCAAUUCAAUUGCCGUGCGCCCCUUUUGGUUUCGGAUGCUUCAUACAAGCCUUCUCUCUUUUGAUUUUGAUCCCAUGGUGGGUUCAUCUCUACAUCCAUGAUUUGAGGGAUUCUUUGCUCCUGGAAGAGCUUAUUUGAUGGUGCAUGAUGGAAUAGACUAUGCCAUAAAACAUGAUGAUUGAAAUCAUCAUGUAAGGCAAACUUGAAAACACUGCUGGAGUUCUUUGAGCGGAGCCAAGCCUCGGAGAGAUUCUUCCUUGGUUAUGAUGAUUUCAAUCAUCAUAGCCAAGAAUUUAUGUGGACCUUUUUAUGAUGAUAGAAAUCAUCAUGGUCAGGAACCCUUGAGUUGAAUGGAACCUGAAAUCUUGAGCAAAAAAUCAGAACAUGGUGCCAUGGAACUAAUCUUUUUACCUUGAAAUGGCUCUUUCCUUUCUCAAGGCUGCUUGCUAAUUUUUCUUCUUGCUAUGACUGUUCUCCUUUCUGCUCUUUUUCUGUCCUCCUGCUGUUCUCCUCCCUUUCUUCCUUCUUUUUUUUUUCUCCUGCUGUUCUCCUCCCUGCGUUUUUUCUUUUUUUUUUUUUGUCCUCCCCUCGUGUCAUGCCUCUUAUAGAGGCUAUCUUAUGAUGAGUUUUAAUUCCAGCUGAUGACCACUUCUCAACUGAGAUACUUAUCUCUUGUUGUUUCAAAACCACUGAAAUACAUCUAUUUUAUUUUUAAAUGUUUUUCUUGAUAAGAUUGCAGGGACAAAACAAAUUCAAUCCUAAACCAAGUCAAACUCUUGGCUAAUUGUUUUUUGUGAAAAUUUUCCGUUCAACAGAUGCCUUCUCAAGCGUUGUGCAUGAAAUGACUUUUUAUGUGCAACGCUUGAUAGCUUUUCCUUUGAACUGCGCAUCCCCUGACUUUUCUUGUAUUAAUUAAUUUUUUUUUUGGUUGAAAAAUUCAGGAAAUGGACGCGCAAGGUCGAUUCGGGUUUGAGCGAGUCUUUGAUUCGCAUGGUAGGGAAUUUGUCUCUGGCCCCCAAUAUGCGAGAUCACUGCCUUUGAGAUCUGUGAAGCUUAAUGUACCCCCUGAAGGCCGUGCAACCUGGUAUACCACCGCCUCCGUAAAUUCGGGGUAUCUUGAAUUCAAACCCCACGCAGAAGAUAAGGUGAUUUCAGUAUGCCAAACGCAUCGUGCUGUGUUUACCGCCCAUUGUUUGGAGGAUGUGAAUAAUGAAGUGGAUGGAGACAUGAAAUUCCAAAUCAAAGAUCUUCCCACACGUGAUGAUUUUUACCCCGCUUUGCAUAGAAUGAUCAAGAGUAAGUUGGAGUGGGGGCCCCAGUAUCAGUUCUAUGGCCGAGCCACUUUUGAAAUUGGCGUUGCGGAGUGGACAAAAUGCGUUAUGAGUGACUUUGGAGACAUAUUGCAUAAGGCAAAAAUAUAUUGUGCCGUAGCAAUUUCCCGAUAUCCUUACGAGUGUUGCCCAAAUAUAUGGAGAGCAUUUUGUGAAUUAUGGGGGCCCUUGUGCAACACCUUUCAUCAUGGCAAUGGUGAGAUGGGGAUUUCUCUCUAUGACAUGAAAGUCAUUUGUGGGUUGCCAAUCUUGGGAGAUGUCCAGUAUGAGGAAUUUAUUCCCCAAAAUAAAGACUUGCAACAAAAUGGAGCAUAUCCUCCGACUAUCACUGAACUUUUGAAGAUCCACUCCCAAUUAUGUAUUUAUCAUAAUCAGUCUACCGUCAGCUGGGCCCAAUGGAUUGGGCACUUUUAUCGGGCGAAGAUUAUUUAUAAGGCCUUUGGGAAUGGCAAGAGGAAACCUCAAGAUCAACUUUUAAGGGCUCCCGAAAUCACUUUACGUAUUUCAAAGGAAGGGGGGUUGGCUGCAUUCUUGGCACUUUGGUUGAGUAGAUUUGUGUUACCUUCCGUGGAUCGCAACGUCAGACCUGAAACUUUUCAUAUGGCAUGUUUGAUGGCACAAGGGGUCAGAGUUUCACUUGCACCACCUGUUUUGGGGUAUAUUUACCAUGGUCUUGGAGAAAUUGCCACUCACCCAGAAGGUCCCAGCUUGUCAAGUGCUUCCUUCCCAAUUCAUUAUGUUAUCGGUUGGUUAGGCGAACAUAUUCCAGGAUUGUACCUACCACAAACUGACAAGGAAUUUGUCAAAGACUACCCUUUUUUGGUGAGGUACGCGGGUGUUAAGCCAAAAGGUUUUAGGCUUAAUCAUGCCAGAAUUAUAUUCCGUAGUGACAAAGAAUUAAUCUAUCGCCCAACCACGUUUACUGAAGAUGAAGGCCGUUCCUUUGUUGACAAGAAGGCUCUAUCAGACAGAAAAUUUGAAUUUCUAGUUUGCACACGUUAUGCGCUUUUGCCGGUGAGGGUGAACAACAAUCUUUGGUUGGAACCAUACUACCCGAAUAGAUUCGCGCGUCAAUUUGGUUUUGACCAAGGUGUCCCUUCGAACAAGCUUUCCUUUAGCGUUCGUGACAGGUGCAAGUGUGGCAUGGAGGAUUUGGCCAUAGCACAAAUCACUUUACUUAGAAGAGAUACCACAGCUGGAUUUUAUAUCCCACGCUAUACUCGUGUUGGAGUUUGCACUUGGUGGUAUUGCAAAUGGUGGAUGGGGUCAUCAGCACUAUAUAUGGGAUUAUCUGUAGCUAGAAUUUUCUUGCCUUCUAGAAAACACCUCGAAAGGCACGAUAAUAUUUUUAUUGUUAGGCCGGAGAAUCAAGGCCCCACAAGUUGUCAAAAAGAGGUCUCCAACAAACGUCAUUCUUCGCGUAGUGACAACAACAAGAGUCCAAAACGAAUUCGAAGCCAGAAUCUUGACCAUCCAGUUGAUGAGGGAGUCAGUUCCUCCCAUGCCGAUGCUGCUACUCUUAUCAGAGACUUGGUUUUCCCCAUGAAUGACGGGCCAUCCGAACAAGGUAGUACCACGAACUUCCCAAGUGAAGCAGAUGAUGCUCAAGAAGUGAGCAAUGAACUGAAUGCUACAGUCGUUGCUCCUGAUGUGAGUAAUGAUCCAAAUGAGACAGACGAUAUUGUUGAAGAUGACUGCCCCUUGCCAUUGGUAGAAUACUUGCCCUCCUCACCUUAUGUGAAGAAUUUCAUUCACCGCAUUCUUGGUCCAAGUGUGGCUCCACGUAGGCGAAGGUUCAUUGCUGAGGAAAUGCAAGACAUCUUUGAUAGAAUUUCUUCUUCCAAAUCACCUAUAGACCUACUAGCUCACCGUGAUCAUAUUUUGGGGGCACUUGGUCUCUUGCGACCUAUGAUUAAUACCCUUGAAUCAGGCCAGGAUGAGUUUCAGGAAUUUGAAACGACUAUCCAACACAUUUUCGAGUUGGUCACUUCAUUUUCCAAGAACGUUGCCUUUGUGGGAGAACAUGCCCAUCUAGAUGUUGACCGCAUCAAUGCUUUGAUCACCCAAUAUGAGCAGUGCUUCGCUGCCAUAAAAACCAUGAGCGUGCAUCUAAUAGAACUUAAUAGUGAGCUUGCUGAUGUGAAUGCCACAGUGGUUGAUGUUGAAAAGGCAGAGAAGGAAGCUGAAGAGGCAGCAAGACGAGCUCAUGAAAUGCGACAACAGUUUGAAUCGAAGACAAGUGCCCUUAAAGAACGUGCAAACGAUUUGCAGCAAUCUUUAGACCAACAAUUCGAAAAGGAAAUUGGGCUUCGACAAUAGUCGCAUUUUCUUAGAAUCCAAACGGAGCCAAAAUUAAAAGAAAAUCAAACAAAAACAAAAAUUAGGAGGAUGAUGACUGACUUGUUGAGGAGGCGCAUACUCGGACUGGUACUCUUCCUCGUUUCUGAGGAUUCUGAGGAUGUUAGCUUCCAUGGGCGACUUGGGAAGUGUCUCAGACGCGUAAGGUCUGUUUUGGAAGAAAAAGGCUGAGAUUGCUUUCCGCAGUUGCAGCGGAGGAUUUCGGUGGUGUUGAAUGCCAUUGGUUUCCUUUAACAAAUGGGUAAGUUUCUGAUUUUGUGCAGAGUUUGGUUCCCUAUCACCAAAAGAUCAACAUUCAAAGUCAAUCUCCCACCAUCUGCCACUGUCAUCCUUCCCUAAAUUAUCAUUCACUCCACCACCAACAAUGCCUUCAAUUUCCUCCUCUUCGCUUUCACCAUCAAUCUCAUCAUCCCAGUUAUGCACACUUUGGUCCUCAUCUGGCUUGUACGUCUACUCCAAUCUCUUCAACACAUCACGGUCUUUCCAUUUCCCCACAACCGACACUGCCUCCUUCUUCGCCUUCCCAAUUAGAAUUUCGUUCCAAGAAAACCCCGAAUCCGCAACCUUCUUCAGAGCCCCGUCGCCAAAUCCCCCAUAACCACCGUCUUGAGGCAUCUCAGCUUGGCCUCCAUCACAACAUCCACGAAAUCCAAAUCAUCCGACACAAGCAUCAAACACUCAGCUCUCCUGUGAUCCAUCAUAUCCACAAUGUGAUUCCUCAAUGCAGCAUCCGCCCUCUGAGGUUUAUCCACCACGCUCCGAACCCAAAACCAGCCCGCUUCACCUCAUCCGCCAAACCCCUCCCUGCCUUGGGUGUCAAAACAUCCCUUGCAGCAUUCUUAUACUUUUCCAUCUUCAUUGAAUACUUACCAACCAGCUUCACCCUCCUGCUCCCUCUAGCAGACUCAAUCUGGCUCAACCUCUUCAUAUGCUCUUUUUCAUGAAUCUUAAAGUGGUUCAAAAGCUUCUCAUUAGUAUAAAAUCUCCUCCCGCAAACCCUACAAACGUUCAGUUCACCAUCCCUAAUCACAACCCUGUUCCUCUCUUUCCUUUCCCUAACAACCUGUGGAACAUAAUCAAGUGCAUGGCGGUUUGCAUAUGCUAUCAUAUGCCGAACAAGCCUGAAAGACGAAGCUGCCGUCUUGAGCUUAACGGCAGCUUCGUAGGGCGAGACUGAUUUGGGUGGUUUGGUAUCCAAAUCCCAGAAAAUCGCAAUUUCUGGAAUUUUUUCGGGUGGCAAACACGAUGUUGGGCUCGAAGAAUUAAAACCCGGUUCUGAUUGGAAAUGGCAAUAUCUAAUCAACAGGGUAAAUGGGUUUAGGGUUUCUGACCUUUUGGAUUGAACUGUACAGAAAAUGUGGUGAAAUUUGAGAUGUUUAAGCAUUUCCACGGGUUUCAAGGUCGGUGUUUUUUAUUUUCGAUGAACUGCAAAAAGAAACAAGAGACCAAUAAACGAUAAUAGAGAAACCAGAGGAAACAGAGAGCCUUGUGAACUUGAAGCUUACGAGUAAGCAUUGAGUUUUCGCCGAGUUCGGCUCGUAUGAAUGUGACUUGGUUUUUUAGCGGGUUUUUCCUUUUUCUCGUAAAUUCGUUUUAAAACCCGAUUUUACAAAUUCGCUAAUUUUUCCUUCCUCUAUAAACUCAAAAUGGAAAAACAAUUUCACUAAACUCAACCAAAAAAAAAAAGAAGAAUUUAUCUUGCCUAUCCUCUCUCUAGAAUGCUAGGUAUGAUGAAUAUGGCUUUUUUUAUCUUUUUAAUUCUUUAAGUUUUAGUAACGAUUGUGAUGAAAAUUAUACUUAAAAAAUAGUAAAAGAUAACAGUGAACAAAGCCAAACAAUCCAAAUAGUAAUAUAAACCCAAAUAUUAAAUUGCACUGAAAUUUCGUACCUGGAGGCAACUGAGGAAUGGGAUCAGGCAGAGAGAAAGGUUCAGGCUCUGGAUCAGGCAAAAAUCAAAGCUUUUUACUCUGAAGGCGCUCACGAAGGCCAGAUACGCCGUGAGAGAAGGAGACUUGGGGCAAUUCCUUCAAAUUGUACACAUGUUUUCUUUGAGAAGCAAAGCUCUAGUAAUAAGGAAGUUGGUCGAGGUCGUGACAGGGAUGAUUGAUGGUGUGAAAUGGAUGCUAUUUCUUAUGGCAAGGCCAACUCUAUAAAUGAAAUUUGCUAUCCCUUCAAAUUGUACACAUGUUUUCUCUUUGAGGAAUCAAACAGUAUUCUGAUGACAUUAUUUACAAUGAGGAAUUUGGAAUUAGUUUCUAGAAUAAAUUGUUUGGUUGGUCAUUAAAAAUAUUAAUUUCUUGUGUUAAGAAAAUUACACUUUAUAUGUAAUGGUGGGGUUGGGGAAAAGAAAGAAAUCUGCAAAUAAUAACACACAUAACACAAGUCAUGUAGAUAUUAUGUUGAAGUUUUGAAGAAGCUCAUCUAUAUACUGAUUAUAAUAUAAAAAAAGUUAAACAUUCAAAAUUCCACAAAUUGUCGUAGUUAAUGAAAAUGUUAAAGGAGAAUGCAAUUCAUUAAUUAAGAUAAAAUAAUACAUUCACAAUGUGUUUAAAUUGAAAUAAAUAAAUAAAGAACACAAGAAAAGUUGCUCAUAAAACUAAGAGAUAAUCACUUUCAAAACUUUACACUAUUUUGGAUAAAUUUUAUUUAAAAAGUUAUAAACUCAAUUUUUAACAAUUAAAAAAACAAAAUAAUAAAAAUAAAAAAUAUCCAAUUGGCACACACUAAUGCGUGUGGCAAGGAGCUAGUUAUAUUUAUACGAUGAAACAACGAAGUACAUAACAUGUUGAUGUCAAAAUUUGAUCAACGAGACUAAAACCAUAAAGCCAUAAAAACACACGAAAAAACACUCACAAUAUAACGUUGUUCACUCAAAUUCAUGUUUCGUUUAGGAUCACUAGUGUAGGUUUCACCAUACAGUUUAUUUUGUUAAGGAAUAUUAUAGGUUCUUAUAUUCUUACAAUAAAAAAGAAUAUUAGGUUCUGAUAUUCUUACCAUAAAAUUGGCUCAAAUUGAUAUGUUCCCUCUUUUUUUUGUUUCUCUCUUUUCCUUUUCAUUUUAUGCUUUGCUGUGCUAUUGCUAAGUUGAUCCGACAGCUAGCAAUAACUUCCCCACCUUUCAUUUUAUGCUUUAUUGGUGACCAGGGAUGCUUAGCAACUUUCUUCAUCCGCCCUUCUUCCCAUGUACUAACCGGUGAUAGGUCAGCAUCUUAGAUAAGAAUCCCAACCCAAUCAAACAGUGACAUCUGUAAAUAUUCAAAAUUGGAAUUUGCUGGUGAUAGUUGAUGAUUGCAUCUUUGUCCGACCAAAAAUAAAAAGAAAAAAAAAAUUGGAAUUUUGCUGGAGUUGCUUCCUUGACUUUUCCACCUUUGUAUGCAGUCCAUUUUACACAAGGAGCCACGUUUGAGAGAUAGCAAUAAACAUGUAGAGAUGGAUAAAUAGAGAGGGAGAAAGAGAGGGAGCGAGCUUUCUGUAUUUACACCGUUCAGGGGAAAAGAAAAAAAACUAUUUCAUGCCAAACUAACUACGGAUUCUUUAAUUGAAAAAAUAACCACAUAUUAAUCAUCCUUUGGAACAUAAAUGCCCCGGUAAUUGGCACUAAAGUAUCUAAAGUUUACGAAAUUAAGGAUUUUGAUGCAAACCUAAAUUUGGAAAAGAGGGCACCAAUUCAUGUAAAAUAUGGUGUACUUAGUAUUAGGGUAUUGUGUGAUAGAGUGCAUUAAGGUAUUUUUUGUAUACCAUAAGGUGUACUUAGUUAAUUUUACAUUUUGAUUUAAAUAUUAGGGUGUAUCUAUAUCAUAAGGUGUACUUAGUUAAUUUUAGAUUUCGUUUAACAACAACAACCACUACUACAUUUUAGUAUUUGCGCGACGAAUCCAAUUUCGUCGCGUAGACUAACUUCUAGUCGCACGAAUGCAAGCGCGACAUAAAAAUCGUCGCGCGUUAUCUGUCGCGCAAAGAUCGUGAAGAAAGACUUUGAGCGACCGAUUCUACGACUCGUCGCGCAAUUUUGUGCGACGGUUAUCCUUCGUUACACAAAAGGUUCAGAGACGACGAAAACGUUCGUCGCACAAAAUUACGCGCGACGAAAGUAGAUUCGUCGCCACAACAAUGCACGGCGAAUAAUUUUCAUCGCGCAAUACGUCUCGUAGACAUUUGCGGCACCAAGAGUUCAUCGUCGCGCAAUUCGGUACACGUAUUGCGCGACGAAACAAUCACUACAAGGAAAAUCCCUUUUAGCGACGAAACAGGAUGGUCGCUAUAACACCAAAUUUCGUCGCCAAAGAAAAAUAGCGACGAAUAUUUUUGGUUGCCAAGGUCGUCGUGGAAAGCUCGUGGCUAAAAGAUACAAUGCGACGAAAUAGGAUUUCGUCGCUAAAAGAUUUUGGCGACCAAAUGUGUCGUCGCUAAACAGCUCUAAGUUGGUCGCCUAUAGAAAGGGAGUUGCCACCAAUACCAAAAAUUCCCGCGAACAUGGAAUUAUUUGGCGACGAAAUAAAUAUUUGGUCGCCUGAAUAUUUCAGCGACGAAUUUUUUGGUCGUGAAAGAUGUAGUUUAUUUGUAGCAUAUGUUAGUUGGUUUGGUUAUUUUCAUAAUGAGCGACGAAACUGAUUGGUCGCCAAAACUAUAGGUAUUGGUAUUAUCAGAUGGAGCGACGAAAACUAAUUCGUCGCCAAGAUGUGUAUUUAUUUAUUUAUUCUAUAUAAUUAUUUAUAUUUCAAUCUUUGUAACAGAAUAUUAAUUAGUCCAUAAAGAUUUUGAAAAACAGUAAAUAGAUGAAAUUAAUAGAAAUAGGAUAAUUACUAUUCAAAAAGAUACUAGUUGUUUAAGCACACAUCAGUGUAUUCUAGAUACAAAAGUCCCCAAGGUAUGUAUGCUAGAUACAAAAACCAUCAAGUAGCUGGAUACAGAAGCCCCAUAGAACCCCCAAGGAAGGCUAGAUACAAAAACCAUCAAGUAUGUAGAUGUACACACAACCUAAUGACUAUUUCCAAUAUCAUCAAGAUCUUCAUAAACAUUACGUGAACCACCACUAUUACCUUGAUCAUCAUGACAAGGAUAAUCACCAACAUGCUGGGACGGAACUAAAUGUGAGGGUAGAGGACCAUCAUGGGUUCGCAUCCACUCAAUGACAUCCAAAAGUUUACCCACUGUGCCCUGAAGCUCACUUACUGUGCCUUUCAACUCACCAACUGUGCUUUGAAGUUCCUCAACCUUUUGCUCUGUAGCACAAGAAGAGGCAAAUCCACCACUAUGCGAACUCUCCACUCGGAGACUAGAACCCAAGCCUCGAAUCCUCUUGCCCUUUGCAACCCCAAGUUCUACAGUCAUGAUCUCUAACUGUUGUGGGAUAGGGAGUAUGACUUGAUCUAGUGGAGUUCCUGAACUCUCUGCCACUUGUUGCUUGGCUUUCUCAUACUCUUCAUUCAUCUUCUUCUACAAAAAGAAGCAAAAUAUAGAUAUGUCAAUAUAUAUAAAUGCAUAAAAAGAAUGAAGUAAAUGGGAUGCCAGUAUGAUCAAUUGUGUUCAUAAACUAGCAAUGCCAAUUAUCCUAAUCAAACAGUCACAAUUAAAAAAAAAAAAUUCAACUUGAAGCAAAUAAUAAAAGGAAAAGGCACAUAAAAAAUGGAAUAGAUCUCUUCGGAUAUGCAGAUUACAGAAAGUUUGAAAAUACUCACAGAUCUUAUAAGAUCUUUUUGAGCAUCUCCUGAAAGCAACAACAAUACAAACAAGAAAAUUCCAAAAACAGGGAUUAUAAAUAUUUGCCCAGCAACAUGGCCCCCUUAUAAUUGGGUCUAUUUUAACUUCUAAGAGCACAACGGGUUAUUAGAACUGAAUAUGUUUAAUAGGUGUUUGGAAUUGGGCCUCCAAAGAGGAAGAGAAGUACAACUGCAGCAGCUCUGUUUCAAAACGAUCUUAGCAUGCACUUUUUUUGGUUGUCAAUAUAUAAGAUCAUGAAAAAUUUAGAAAACUCAAGACACAUAUCUUCAUUGUGUUUCUAAUUAAUUAGUUCUAUUUGCAAUGGAUAAAGCCUUUAUAUGAUGCUAAAACCAAAGUACACAAUUAGCAUCUAAAAUAAUGGGCCGUCAAAAACUUGCAUGACCAGUUGGCUGAUCUUUUGGAUUGCAGAUUAUGCAAGUCAAUAGUUAAUUGUUAGCAGGUUUAUGUAUGCCUUACCCCUUUAAUUUCAGCAGCCUCGUUGAUCCACAUGCUCUUACCCUUAAGCAUAUGCAUGUUGUUCCAAUUGCUAAUGUAUGUAGGAUUUUCACCCUUCUACAUUUUCCCAACAAAAAGAAAAUUAGAAAUACUUGAAAUUAUUACAAUAUAAUAAAUAAAGAAAGAUUUAAAGUGACCAAAAAUUAUAAACCUCUCUAGCAGCUUCCAUAUGUUUUAGGAAAGGACGUGACCCCCCUGUAUGAUCGAACUCUUUCUUUUUUCUGUUCUCAGCAUUGGUCUUGCAGCGUUGCUGUUUUGAUUAAAUACAUGAAUUGUUUUUUUUUUCUUUUUUCUAUUUGAUACUUAGAAUAAGUUCCCAAUCAAAAAAAAUGAAAACAGCAGAUGUUAUGAUACAUUAAAUACCUGAUAUUGCUCAUUUGUGUACAACGUAUCAACCAAAUAAUGCCACUCUUCUAGAGUCCUUCGAGUACCAAAGAUCUUUUCAGGGGGAGGUGUUUCUCGUGCAAGAGCAGGGUCAGAAGCAUAUUGCUUAUAGUGUCUGUGGAGCUUUGCUUUCCAUUCUUUAUAAGUUGAGUGCAUAUGGUCAUUAAUAAAUUUCCAUAUAUCCGGAUCCAUUAAGUCCACAUCAAACAUGAACUAAUAUCAAUUAACCAUAAACAAAACAAGUAUUAGUUAUAAUUUUGCAAUGCAAAUAGAAACAUUGAAGGACAAAUUUUUCAGUUCCCCCUAGAAUACAAUGAAGAAUUGAAAUAAAAAGAGAGCUAAAUGAACAAAAUUAAAUUAUAAUCAACGAAGAAUUAGAUAAGAUUACCUGCAAUCCCAGUGCCAUAUCUUUCUUCAUCUCCAAGCUCACUUUUUUCAUCCCUAAAACAUUCAAUGGAGCUUUAUUGCGAGUGAUUAACCCAAUCUCAGAGACGAACAGUUUCUGAGCCUCAAUAGUCGCCACCAAUUUCUGGGAUGGAUCCAUCCGUAUUGGAAUCAAACUCUUCCUUUUUUUCACAACAUCACAAGUGCCAGCCCCCACAGUUCGGCCACGAGUGUUCUUCCUCUGUGGAGAAGUUUGAGUAUGCGUUCCCUCAUCUAGAGACCCAAAAAAAAAAAACAAAAAACAGUAACUAGAGUGCACCAAAUAAAGGUAUAAAAAUUAAAUGCACAAAAUAUGGUAUCAGUUACCCUGUUGGUGGGAACCCCCUCCUGAGGCUGAUGAAGUACCUUGUUGUGGCUGAGUUGAUUGUUGUUGUGGCAGCUGACAUGGUUGCUCAAGUGGUUGUGGUGGUAGUAGAGUUGAAGUUUUCUUCCUAUUGUUAUUGUUGCUUAAGGUAGCAGCCCUCGUAAGUGUCAUUCUACAAUUACAGACACAUAAACAAAGAGAGAAUACAACAAUAUACUACCAGAUCAUUCCUUGAAAAAAUAAACAUAAAUUAUUGAACAUCAUACUUCAGCUGUAAUGAAUUGAUUCUCAUCACAAACAUGCUUGAGAUAAAUGAAUUAUUCAUCUAAAAAUAAUUGAACAUAAUAUUUUAUCAAUAGGAAAGAAAAAUAACAUGCACAUGCAUUUCAUUACAUGGGGGAGGACACAUGCAAACCUUAUCCGAAGAUAUUUCUUCAAUAUACAGACCUUACCCCUUAAAACAGAUUAAGAAAAACAUAUAGUAACUUGAAGAUAAUUAAGAAACAUAUAGUGCCUAAACAAAAGACAGCCUAACACUUCAAUCCCAAAUCACUAUAAUCAUCACUGUGAACACUGCCUUCAUCAUCACCCGAAUGUAUUUCUUCAAUAUCAUCAUCAUCAAUAAAAUCUUCAUCCUCCAUAUCAGUUGGGACAUGUUCAAAAUUAAUAUCUUCGACAACAAUUUCAGGUUCAACAUACUCUCUACGAAGUGAUGGACUGAGUAGAACAUUAUCUUCUGGUGCAUGUCUGACACUAAUAUGUGCAAUUUGGUCCACAUCAUCGUUGUAUAGUGUUUCUGCCUCGUGAGCCACCUCAUUCUCAAGAACAUCCCACACAUGUCUAUGUGGAAUUUUUUGAAUUACCUUCCAACCAUGACCCAAGGAUGGGUCAUCAAGGAAAAAGAUUUGCUGUGCUUGUUUUGCUAGCACAUAAGGAUCAUCUUUGUACCAUAAAUUCAUUGAGUUCACUGACGUGAGAUGGUAAUCAUGAACAAGCCUAACAAUCUUUUUCUUUCGCUUCACAUCUGUACUUGUAUUGUACCACUCACACUUAAAAAGGAUAACAUGAUAGCCAUAUGUGAAUCCUAUUUUAACAACACUAACUAAUCUACCAUAAAAAUUACUUUCCUGAUCAGCAUGAGUUCCUGGUACCAUGACCCCACUAUUUUGAGUUGUGCGAGUUUCUUCUAUAUCUUUGACAUGCCACCGAAUUCCGUUCACAACACAUCCUGUAUACGUACAAACUCUUUCAUCAGGACCAUAUGAUAAUGCAUACACUUCUUUAGUCACCAAUGUUGAUUCCUCACUAUACAAUGCUUUGACAUGAUGCUUGAACCAUUGGGGAAACGACUGCCUAUGUCUAUGUUCUAUGUUAAACAAGCUUUCACGCUCUAAUAUUUGACGAUGCUCACUGAAAAAAUAAAUAGAAAGUUAAAUCAAAGCAAUAAGAAAACAGAGUGAUAAAAAUAGAAUUAAUUACAUUUACAUACUUUCUAAAUGGUUCAAUUUCCUCGCAAUUGUCCAAGAUAUACCAAUAAAUUGGUUCCAUUUCUCCUUCAGACAAUUGAAGAAAUUUAUAGCCAUUAAAGGGCCGUGCAUUUUGAGAAAAUACUGAGAGCUUAACAUUGGCUUCGCCACCAUCAUCAUUUCGUUCAGGACGAGAGAAAACAGUCUCCACAUUACGAAAAUACAUUGAACAAAAAGUUAAUGCUUCAUUUGCAAUGUAUCCCUCAACAAUUGAACCUUCUGGUCUAGCUCUAUUACGUACAUAGCCCUUUAACUUUCCUAGCAUCCUGUUAAUCAUUGUAUAUUAAUAUUUUAAAUACAAAUGAAAGAGAAUCUAAUCAAAAUAAAUAUAAAAAGAUGAUGACUGAGUAUUACCUCUCUAUCGGGUACAUCCAACGAUAUCCUACAGGUCCCCCAAGCUUGGCCUCACGUGGUAAAUGAAAGGCCAAAUGAACCAUGACAUCAAAAAAGGCGGGUGGAAAUAUUUUCUCAAGUUUGCAUAAAAUGACCACAAUGUCAACCUCUAAUCUGUCCAAAUCUGCAACAUUCAACGUCUUUGCACAAAUUUGUUGGAAGAAACAUGCCAAUUCUACAAGUGGCGCGCACACUUCUUUUAUCAAGUAUGGCCGAAUUCCAAUAGGUAAAAUUCGUUGUAACAAAACAUGACAAUCAUGAGUCUUCAAACCUGAGAUCUUCCCAUCUUUGACAUUUCGUGAUAUAUUAGCAGCAUAACCAUCCGGAAAUUUUAUAGAUUUCAAAAAUUCACAAAAUGCUCGACGAUCAGCCGGUUCUAAUGUAUAUUCUGCAGCAUACUUCUUUAUCUUGCCAUUUUCAUCUUUAUCUAAAUGCAGAUUUCUUCGUAUAUUCAUGUCUUUCAAAUCCAAACGAGCAUUGGGUGUGUCUUUUGUUUUUCCUUCUAUGCUCAACAACGUUCCAACAAUGUUGUCGCAUAUAUUCUUCUCAAUAUGCAUUACGUCCAAGUUAUGUCUUAUUUUCAACUUGGACCAAUACUCCAAUUCGAAAAAAAUACUCUUAUUUGUCCAAUUUAACUCCAUAGGUGUCCGCUUUCUCUUUCUGUCCAAAUUAUCAGGAUGUUUACCAAGUUUACGAUGCACAAGGUGAUUAAACUGAAGUAAUAUGUCAUCACCAGAGAAUUCUCUUGGGGGAUCCCUCAUCUCAAUAGUUCCAUCAAAAUUUUCAGAAUCCUUACGCCAAGGGUGAUUCUUUUUCAAGUAGCGACGGUGCCCCAUAUAACAAAUUUUAUUUCUCAGCUUGGUAGAUGUUGUAUCCUCAAGACAUACGGGACAUGCCUUGUAACCUUUUGUACUCCAACCGGAUAAAUUCCCAUAAGCAGGAAAGUCAUUGAUUGUCCAUAUUACAGCUGCCCUCAUGUUAAACCUUGUAUCAGUAAACUUAUCAUAAGUUUCAAUACCUUGUUCCCAUAACUCUUUUAGCUCAUCAAUUAAAGGACGCAAAUACACAUCCAACUCCUUGCCUGGUGCCUUUGGGCCUGGAAUAAGCAAAGUCAUUAUUGAAUACUGUUGUUUCAUACACAUCCAAGGAGGUAGAUUGUAAGGAACCACCAUCACUGGCCACAUACUAUAAGAUGUGCUCAUAUUCCCGAAUGGGUUAAACCCAUCUGUUGCAAGGCCUAACCUUAUAUUUCGUGGCUCUUCUGCAAACUCAGGGUACAUCUUAUCAAACUCUUUCCAAGCAAUAGAAUCUGCUGGAUGCCUCAUAACACCUUCAUCAUCAACUCGUUUAUUCUUAUGCCACCGCAUGUGACCUGCUGUAUGUUCAGACAUAAACAACCUCUGUAAUCUUGGCUUUAAAGGAAUAUAUCGCAACACUUUUUGGGGCACCAUUUUUUUCUUUUUACUAGUACUAGGUUUAUACCUAGGCUCAUCACACACUGGACAUUUAUCUUUACUUUUAUGCUCUUUGUAAAACAAAGCACAGUCGUAAAUACAUGCAUCAAUUUUUUCAUGCCCCAAACCCAAAUCUUUCAACAUCUUAUUAGCGGCAUAGAAUGAUGGAGGAAUGCUAUGAGGCUGUGGACAAAUAGCACUGAGUAUUUGUAACAUUUGAUCAAAUGACUUGUUGCUCCAAUGAUGAAGUACCUUCGUAUGCAUGAAUUGUACCAUUGCUGUCAAAACUGAUGCAUUGCUACCGGGAAACAAUUGUCGUUGAGAUUCAGCAAUCAACUUCUCAUACUUAUCCAUCUCAACCCUAUGUACAUCGGUAUCAUCCCCCACAUCUUCAUUGUCCCCCAAUGUAUCAUCUACAACUCCCAAGUCUGGUGGGAAUGCAUCAUUCAAAAUAUUAUGCGUAUAAUCAUCAAGACGAGGUGCCUCUUGAGCAGUUGCAGGAGGUGAAGCUUGUCUUGUUAUCUCGAAUUGUUCCCCAUGGUAUAUCCAUGUGUGAUACACCACUGACAUCCCAUACUGCCAUAAAUGUGCUUGGACAACCGGAAGAGAAUGGCAAUUCAUAUUCUGGCACUUCAUACACGGACAUGGAGUCUCAUUCUUCUCAUCCACAUGUUGGCUUGCAACUUCCAUAAAUGACUGAAUUCCAGCACGAUAUUGAUUACUCAACCUGUUUUUAUUAUGUAUCCAAUCCCUGUUCAUCUCUAACACACCUUGUCUCUGUCUUCUUAUACCUCCUAUAAUGGGCCUUAUCCAAUUCAAUCGGUGAUGACUUGAAGCAGUUCCAAAAUUUCAUAACAUGAUUAGAUCGAACACAUUUAUAGAUAUAAGCAAAUAACUCUUUCACAGAAUGACAAGCUAAUAACUCUUUCACAUGAAAAUUAUAAAAAGAGAGAUUCCAUAUUAAUUAUGCUUUUCAAGGGUAAGUAUCAUGGUGACAAAUUUUUUUUACAAUUAUUUCAACAUUAUUUUGCAUAAUUUAGUUGAACCCAUGAAAACAGUUUAAAAAAAAAUGAAGGCAGGCACAAGAUUUGUAGCUAUUCAUACCUCUAAAGCAAAUAUAGCCUCUUAAGCAAGUAUUCCAAACAACCUAUUGGAAAAAAAUAUAUAUAUUCAGUUAGACACAGUAAACCCAUGACACAAGUCAAAAAAAAGAAAAAAAGGCAGAUGCCAGAUUUUUAGCUAUCCACACCUCUUAAGCAAGUAAUUCAAACACCCUACUGCAAAAAAGAAAAAGAAAAAGAAAAUCUGUUAGACAAUGUAUCUUUGGAGGGCUUGAGUCCAAAUUAGUCUUCAAACUCAAAAUAGUAUAUGCCUUCGCCUCUAAGUUUAACCACUCAUCAUUAAACAAACAAAAACAUUAUUUUUCUGAGUUAACUCAAAACAGUAACGUAAUAAGACAUCACAGGAAGCACCAAAUAUCCAAGAUAAAAGUCUCAACAAAAAACCAAAUGGUUCAAAAUAAUAUUGUAAUCAACGCAUCCACUUUAUACAGUUAUAACAUGUACAAUGAAUAAAGUCAGGCUUAAGGUCACAUGUCUCUCAUGUAGUAUAUGAAUUAUCUGAAAUUAGUAAUUAGGCUCUUCAUCUCAAUUCCAUAACAAAUUAUAAUUCAUUACAGUUCUUAAUUAUUAUGCCUUAUAAAUUAUUAUAAAAACCAUUUCAAAUUAACAAAAAUUUACCCUUGAAGCUAAUUGAAUGACCUUCCAUAAUAUUCAAGCUACCAAUGAUCAUCAUAUAAAGCCAAAAUGGUUUGUUAAAAAAGAAAAAAAAAACGUAGCUGGAAGAGCUUGAAAAGGAUUUCCAAAACAAUCAAACCAACAUUGAAGGAUGAUACUCCAUCAGUUAAACUCUAUUGUCCAAUUAAGUGGUACUACACUCAGACACCAAUACUAAGGGAAAGAAAAAUAAUUCCUAAACUGACCAGUUAAUCUAUGGGACGAUGGCCCUGCAGCUAUAGCUUAUAUAUAAAAUAUAGAGACAACUUUGCAGCUAGUUUAUACCUAAACUAUAAAGAGAACUCAAUAAGCUACAUUGGCAAAAAAAUCAAUAACAAUAACAAAAAUAAAAAAAACAUAAGCUCACAGACAAAGGCAAACGAACCUUGAAACGAAUACACCCACAGACCAACUUCCAACUUCUAACUUUUUACUUCAAUUAUAUAAAUGAAUUGUUAUAUUCUUUCUUCCAAUAGAUAGUAAAGAAAUUCAGAAUUAAUCCAGAAGUAUCAAGCAAACAUUCAAGACUUGGAAAACAACCAAUCAGACUCAAAGCAUUAAAACAUAAAAAAAAUGAAAUAAUUAUUGGGUACGUGUGCAAGUGAAACAUCUCAAAUUUGAACAGAACCCACAUCAAAUGCAAAACAGGGCAUUCAUAUCAGACACAGAACCCUACUCAAAUUUGACAUAGAACCCACAAUAAUUAACUACUUGAAAAAGAAAAGUCAUUUUAUUCAGAAAACUUGGACUGUUGAAUGUUCAAGCAUUUAAGAUAUCAAAAAGGAAAAAUCAAGCACUGAAAUUCAGUUUCGAUUUAAAUUCCUGGGUAUCUAUUUUCGAUUUUCCUUGAUUAUUUUCUCAACAACCAAAUGGAAUCCACAACUGAAAAUCAGAGCUCAAAAGAAAAUGAAGGUAAGAGAGACAAGAUAGACUCACCAUAAGCUUUCCGUUGAAACACGUAGUGAGGAGGACUUCGGAGAUGGAGUUUUCAGAUGGCCGUCGAUUCCUGACCGUGGUAGGGAAAGGCGUGCGAGAUGGAGUAUCGCUUGCUGACGUUGGUGGAGGAUUGCUCUGCCGACGUCGGUGGAGGAUUCCUUUGCCGAUGUAAAACAGUGAAGAGUGGGUCUGAGAGGAAAUAACCAAUCGGGAACUUUUUAGUUCAUAUUUUUGUAUUUAAACUCUCCAGAUUAGCCCCAAAAACUAUUUGGUCGCCCAUAUGCUAAUAUACAUAAAACUACGUCGUUUUAUGGCUUACAUUUUUAAAAGCACAAUGAUCUGCGACGAAAACCAAAUAGUCGCUGGCCCCACGAAAUUUUUACGCGCCAAUUCUAACUUAGCGACAACACAUUAAAACUCAGCGACCCAAUAUUUUCGUCGCCAAAACUUUUGAAGUUUCGCGCGCACUCAAUUCCGCAAAUCGCGACCAAAUAUACGUUUGGUCGCCAAGUCCUUGCCUAACCACCAAAAACUUUCGUCGCCCUUAGUUGAUAAAUUAGUCGCUAUUUAGUUGACUCAAGUCAUCACGGAUGUCUAAAAAUCACAAAUCUUUUGGCGACCAACUGGAAAAAUUUUGUCACCGAUUCUCUUUUUGGCGACGCAAAUAUGGUGCGUCGCUAAAAAUUUCGUCGCAAAAGAGGUUUUUCCUUGUAGUGAAUGUUGUCGCGCAUAACCUUUUGCUCGACGGCAAAUUGGGUCGCGCGAUACGUGCCCACAAAAUUUGUGCGACGCAAUACUGUUGUCGCAGAAAUCCAUUUUAGCGACGAAAACGUUCAUCGCGCAAAAAUAAUUAUAUGUAUUUAAAAAAAAUGAAACAUUAUUUUUUCGGAAUAUAUAAAUUUGCGCGACGACAAAGCUUUCGUCGCGCAAAAUUAAUAUAUACAUUUAUUAUAUAAUUAUAAUAUUACUUUUGUUUUAUUUUAUAAAAAAAUAAAUUUGGUUUUCUUUUUUGGGUAAUAAAAUGAAAUUCCAAUAAUAAAAAAAUUGAAGUCAAUAACAAAUUUAUUAUAUAAAAUAAAUGUAUGCUACAAGAGAAAGAUUUAAAAAAUAAUUACGAAAAUAAAAAAACUAAUCGAAUAAUGUUCCAAAAUCUACAUUAUCGUCUGGCACAUGCGGUUCAGAGGUCUGGGGGUCUACAGGGGCCGGCGUCUGGUGGGGAUGCUCGGGAUGGACGGGCUCGGAGGUCGGCGCAUCAAAAUGCGGAACUGGAAUGCCGGACUGUGCGAGAGACUGCAGAAUGACCGACAUCUGACUCUGAAGAGUGGCCACCUAUGCUGUCAAAGCAGUGACCUGACUGUUUGACUGCUCUGAUGAACGGGGUUUGGGUUCCCUCCGCCUGGCAUUCCCUAUCCCUUGACAAUAUGUCCCCGGUCUCCUCCCUAGAGUCUGAUCCAAUGUCUCCGUCAAGAUCUGAAACCCAACAUCCUGUGCAGGAUCCACAGACUCGAUCGGAGUAUCGGGAGGAAGUUGGGAGGCGGACUCCUGAAGAACCAACUGGCUCCUCUCCACCAUCGUCGUCUGUUUAGCAUAACAUAAAAUAUAAAUUCAAACAUUCAUAUAAAAACCUUUAAAGUUGAAUGCGUAACAUAAGAAUUAAAAUUAAAUAAUACUUACAUGAAGGGACUCGGCCAACUCAUUCCCAGGUCGAACAUAAACGUCGCCAAAGAUGUCGAUAUCUGAGAAUUUGGACCCCCCCAAAAUUGAACAAAAGAAGAAAAAUAUUAGUACGAAAAAAUAAAUUAAGAAUAAUGAAAAAGUAAAAAUUAAAUAAAAAUUAUUUUAUUAUUACCUGACGCCGUGCAUCCAUCCUAUACGAGAAGGGCCUGGAACCCGAAUGAUGGAGAAGAGUCUUCUUCUUCCUAUUGCCCUUAUUGAUUUGGGCUUUAUUCUGUUAUACAAAAAAUAAAACGUAUUAGUUGAAAUUGAAAUUAAAUAUAAAAAAUUAAAAAAACAUUAGUAAGAAAAUAAAAUAAAAUAUAAAAAAUUACCACAAAAGCGGGCGCCUGAAAAUGAGCGCAGAGCCACGCCCAACUAUCCUCCCGGCCCUCAAGCUCUUUCGGACAACCCUCUUGAAGAGCGACUUGCGGAUCAUCAAACGCCUCAAAAUGGUGGUUCAAGUCGCUCUUCCACUGUUUGUACCUCUCAGAGAAGAGUCUGUUGACGUACGCCAAUGACUCUUCGUCAAGGUCCUCCAAGUUGUAGUUCGUCUGCAAUAAAUUAAUUACAUACAUUUAAAAAAUAUAAAUAUAACGUUUGAAAGAAAAAGAAUGAAAAGGCCUACAUACCGACAACUGGCCGCGAACCUCAGUCUUGGUCUCGUCAGGCAUCACCUUCCAAGACUUCCAUUGCAUCGGGCAAUAGCUCCGAAUGACAUGACCAAUGUCGUCGGCCAAGGAGCUAUGCAACUCCGCCGUCGGUGCAGCUCGAUGUCGCUCGUCGUAACCGAUGUUGAUACGACUGUUGGUCACUCGGGUGACCUUCGCCGUCUUCAACUGCCGACACGGCCCUCGGGUGUUCUUCUUGGCUGCAAAGAAAGAUGACAUGAAUGUUAAAUAAAUAACAAAUUUAACAAUAAAAUACACACACACACAAAAACAAAAACAAGAAAUAAAAAAGAAAAUUAACUGGAGAAAAAGGAAAGCUAUACCUGGCUGUGACCCCGAUGCAUCAGUGGAUGUGGUGUCGGUGGUGCUGGAGGGCCGAUGACGCCGCCUGGCGCUAACAGGCUGCGCCACUGAUGACGCUGAUGAGGCAGGCGCCUGGGACCCCGCAGGUCCAACUGCCAACUGGUCUAUCAAUGCUGGCGCAGUGGCAGCAGAUGUCGGCUGAGUCGGGGGCUCAGAACUCUGCGUGGUCGUCACCGCCCUACGACGUCUAAUCAGGUCUGACAUCUGCACAAUUUCAUUAAUACACAUACAAAUUAAUAAAAUAUACAAAUAUUUGAAAACACAUACAAUUUUAUUCAGAUUAUUGACCUAGGGUUUGCGAGUUCGGAGUAUCCGGGACUCCGAUCCACGAUCCGUCGAAUCCUAGACGAUCCAAGAAUACAAGGUACACCAUGCGUGAGUUUGAGUUCGAUCCAACGGUCUGAACAUAACAACCCCGGAAAUCGCACAAUAGGCAAAAUUCGUUCGAGACGCAAACAGUAACCAAAUUCCAAUCCGAAAACACCUACGCGCUCGUGACAACUACAGGAUUGCACUGGGACCUAAUUCAGGUGGCUACAGUAACCCACGCGCCGCCCCACGCGCCGGGAGCCGCGGGUGUCCAAAGCAAUACCAAUCGCUGGAAAAUUCUAAAAACUAAGGGCCAAGGUUCCUACCCUAGGUUCAAAACAUCAAUUGGAGCCACUUUUGUUCUCGGACAUACCCCGAAAAAUGGUCGGAAGUGGCCGGAAUUGAAAAUCAAAAACCGGCCCAAACUUAGGGUUUCAAAUUAACUGCCCUAUUACAACAAUUUCAGAAAUCCUACCCAACCAUCAGAUAAAGCAUCAAAAAUAGGACAGAAACCAUACCUCAGGUGUCGGAAUUGGUCGCCGGAGGAGAGAGAUCGACGGCGGCGCAGAUUCGAUGAAAAUCGAAGAAAUUGCGGCGGCUGGCUCGACGGUGAGGGCGGGGGAGCUCCGGGGUACCACCGUUGUGGCGGCCCGGUCCAAAUCCACCGGGGUAGGAGACGGAGCUGACGGCGGAGAGAGAGACGAAGAGGUUUAGAGUUUCUGCAAUCUGGGAAGAAUGAGGCCAUCGCGUGGUUUCUGAAAUUUUAUUCGUUUUUGCGCGACGAAGGUAAGCAAACGUCGCGCAAGAAAUUUUAAAUGACUAUUGCGUGACGAAACAGGUACGUGUUCCGUCGCGCAAUGUCGUUAAUCCGCCAAAAUUUGGUAAAAGGGUGGUUUUUGCCCGACGCACAACGCAGCUUGUCGUCGCGCAAUGUUGGCAGUCUGCCAAAAUUUGGGGUUUAGGGUUUAGCAGGCGAUAUUGAAAUCUUGCGCGACGCACAACGCAGCCUGUCGUCGCGCAAUGUUGGCAGUCCGCCAAAAUUUGAGAUUUAGGGUUUAGCGGGCGAGAUUGAAAUCUUGCGCGACGCACAACGCAGCCUGUCGUCGCGCAAUGUUUGCAGUCCGCCAAAAAUUGGGACCUAGGGUUUAGAACUUGCGCAACGUAUACGUGGACCGUCGCGCAAAAACUCGCAAAAAAAUGUAUGCUAACCGUCCAAGGCGAAAGACGGUGAAAAGGAGAAAGGGCUGGCUGAGAUUGCGCGACGAGUACGUACAGCGUCGCGCAAAAACUCGCAAAUUUUUUUGACUAAGUGUCCAAGGAGGAAGAGUGUGGAAGGUGAAAGUUCUGGCUGAUAUCGCGCGAUGAACAGCAUUGGUUUCGUCGCGCAAGACUCUUCCAUGCAGGCUAUGUGCGACCAAUUAUACUUUGUCGCGCGCUGUUGUAAUAACGGCAACAUUUUUGGUUUUAUUGUGGAGAGAUUGCGCGACAAAAAUGUAAACGUCGCGCAUGUCAGCUCUCUGUAAACGCGAAAAUAUUUGUAACCAAGUGUUGAAGGAGGAAGCGCGACGACGAGUCGUUUAUUCGUCGCGCAAGACCGUUGUUUGGAGGCUUUGUGCGACCAAAGAGAGUUAUUCGUCGCGCAAACCCUAAACCCUAAAGCGCAGAAACCCUAAACUCGGAACUAGUUUUCAUGAUCCAACCGGCAAACUUGUUUUUUUAUACUUCGAGAUCGUAUAUGCCGAAAAUCAAAAAAAACAAACAUUAAGAGAUCAAGUAACAGGACAAAACUUGUCGACGGUUCUAAAUGAAAAGUCAUGAUUUAACGUUUAUUUUUGCUCUGAUUUGUAUGAUUUUUUACAGCUACUUUUCUUUACCCUAUAUGAAUACAAUUACUAAAUUUGAUCUUCAAUUUCAGAUGUUUACACUAGGGUGAUACGACAUAAUGUUAUGUUAUAUUUAACGAAAGUAUAAGUAAACUAUUCAUUGUUGCUGAAUAUAUGGUUUUGAUGGCAAACGCAUUCUACGAAAAUAGGUUCAGCAAUCCAGCCGUCAAACUUGUUUAUUUGUACUUCGAGAUCUUAGACCCCAAAAAGCGAAAAAAUCAAACAUUCAGAGAUCAAGUAACGGGACAAAACUUUUGAACGGUUAUAAAUGAAAACUCAUGAUUUAACGAUUAUUAUAACUCCGAUUUUGAUGAAUUUUUACAGCUACACUCCAUGACCCUAUAUGAAUACAAUGAACUAACUCGAUCGUCAAUUUCAAAUAUAUAUGUGCAUAUAUAAUAUAUAUUAUAAAAUAAUAUAUAUUUGCGCGACGAACAUAUGUUUAUCGUCGCGCAAACUUUCAUCGCGUGACGGACGACACGUUGUCGCUCAAUUUUUUUACUUCACGCGACUAGUGUAUUUUGGGUCAUGCAAAAUUUGCACGACGAGGUUUACUUCGUCGUGCAAACAUGGCACGACGGGGUUUACUUCGUCGCGCAAGGGUUUUCAGUUUUGAAAAAUGUUUGUUGUCAAUAAUUUUCAAACUUUGUAUAAAAAUGUUUGGAUAUAUUUAUUUAUCAAUGUUUUAUAACAAAUUUUGUAUCAUUUUCAUUUUGUAAAUGUGUUUUGUCAAAAAAAAAAUUAAAAUUUAUUAUUAAUAGGGUUUCGAUAUAUUGAUUUACCAAUGUUUGAUAACUAAAUUUAUUUGAAUAAUGUUUCAGUUGUCCACAUAUAUAAGGUUUGGAUAUAACAACUACAUAUAUUCAAACAUUUGUAUUACACAAAGUCUGUACAGUAACAUAAUAAAAUUACAAAAAAUUUAAUUAUUCAUCAUCUGAACUAUAAUAACUUUCGUUAUCGUCGCUAUCAUCACUUUCGGUCUCCCAAUCCUCCUCCUCCUCCUCUACUAUAACUACAUCAUCUUCGCUGCUCGGGCCCACUACAACAUCGAAUCUUGGAAGAUCCCCGAGGUCAAUUGUAAUUGACUGAAUCGGUAUUUCGAUUGAAGACACUCCUUGUAUUUGAAACGGUUCUUGUAUAACAUGUGUAUCUCGAAGUGUUUCCGCAUCAUUUUCCAUUGAUGAUUCUAAACGUUGGUCAGCCACAUUGUCGACGUCGUUGUCAGUUAGGUCUAGUUCUGGUAUAGCAUACACGUUCCUAUGAUCCAUCUUCUGAACAACUUUCCAACUGCUCCCGGCUUUAGGGUCAUCUAGAUACACAAUUUGUGUUGCCAUGUUUGCCAAAAUGUAAGGGUCGUCAUCAUACCAAGUUCUGUUAAUGUUCACAGAUAGUAAGCCAUGGUCGAUUUUAACACUUCCCGGCCUAUUUGGGUUGCUAUCAAACCAUCGACACUUAAACAUGAUCAUUUGGUAUCGAUCUUUGUAAAGCAAUUGAACGACAUUUGUGAGUUUGCCAUAGAAAUUAAUGUUUGUACUUUCGCCUCCACCUGGGACAUGGACACCGCUGUUUUGCGUACACAACUUGUCAUCUCGUGCAGCCCCCAAAAAUUUAACGCCGUUAAUAUAACAACCCGAAAACAAUUCAGCGCGAAUCGGGCCGAAGGCCAAGUUAUAUAACUCAUCACUGUAAGUGGGGGAAUUCGAUGAUUUCAACUUAUUCACCUAAUAUAAUAGAAAACCAUUCACAUGUUAGUCUGAUAAAUUAAAUACUACAAUUUAUAUUUGUGAAAUACAAAACACUUAUAACUUACAGAUUCCAAAAACCAUUGUGGAAACAAUUCACAUUGUUUCUGGGCAACUAAAUGUGAUGGAUGUUCUCGCUUCAUCAUCUCUUCAUGCUCAUCUAAGUAUGCCAUUAUCUCGUCACAAUUGUUCAGUACGAACCAAUGCGCUACUUCCAUGUCAUUUCUAGAAAACGACUCUCCUCGUCCAGGAUCUCCAAAGGGCCGUGCGCUUUGGGCAAAAACAGAAAGUUUUUCCUUCUCAUACCUCCGUCGUUAUUACGCUGAGGACGAUUGAAAGCCGUCUCCACAUCUUUUAAAUACAUUCCACAGAAAGUAAGCGACUCAUAUUGAACCCAAGCCUCUAUAAUUGAUCCUUCGGGCUUCGCCCUGUUGCGUACACUUUUUUUCAGCUCUCCGAGAAGCCUGUCAAAAUAAAAAGAUAUGAUACAAAUUAGCAAGCCUGUGAUAAUGAUGCAUACACAAACGAAAAGGAUUAUAUACCUUUCUAUUGGAUACAUCCAGCGAUAGUUGACAGGACCAGCAAGCAAUGCCUCUUCUGGCAAGUGAACCAUCACGUGCAUCAUACUUGUGAAGAAAGCUGGAGGAAAUAUCAUCUCAAACUUGCAUAGGACUUGGACAAUGUCAUGGCGCAACUGCAAUAUGUCUGUCUUUCGCAAUGUUUUUGCCGUCAGUUGGGAAAAAAAUCUGGACAACAACAUAAUUGGCUUCACAACAUCUUUCGGCAAUAGAUGUCGAAUACCCACAGGAAGUAGGCGUUGCAUAAACACAUGGCAGUCAUGGCUCUUAAGUCCAGUAAAUUUACCCCCGUCAACAUUCACGCAACGUGCGAUAUUAGAAGCAUACCUAUCAGGAAACUUUACAGACGAUACAAACUUUAGAAACUCUUUUUUGUCAUUCGGUUUCAUAGAAAAGAAUGCAAGAUCCCUUCUUGCUUUAUCACUGUCCCUGUUCAUCCAUAAUCCCCUUCGUAUGCCCAUUCUUUCCAAAUCAAGACGGGCUUUGAUUGUGUCCUUUGUCUUGCCCUCGAUAUCUAGAAUCGUGCCCACCAAUGUGUCAAAUACAUUUUUCUCAACAUGCAUCACAUCUAGAUUGUGCCUCAAUUUGAGUUUCGACCAAUAUGGGAGCUCAAAAAGCAUAGGCUUGUGAGUCUAGUUCAUAUGUGUCGAAGGUCUGGUCCGGCUAACUGUUUUUUCGAACGGAGCAAAAUCCAAACGGUUAAGCUGUUCCAAGAUCUCAUCACCGGACCAUUCUCUAGGUCUGAGGCGACGCUCUGUGUUCCCGUCGAACUCUUUAUCUUUUUCCCGCCACUCGUGGUCCCAUGGCAACCAUCUCCGAUGACCAAGGUAACAAACUUUUCCCGCGUGCCAACCAGAAGUUACAUCUUCCUUGCAUACAGGACAUGCCAUAUAACCCUUUGUGCUCCACCCAGAAACCAUUGCAUAUACUGGAAAAUAAUUCACAGUCCACAUAACUGCUGCCCGCAAAGUGAACAUCUUCCCAGUUGAUUUAUCGUACGUGCGAACACCGUUUGUCCAUAAAUCCUUCAGCUCAUCAACCAGCGGCCUUAAGUAAACAUCGAUUGACCUCCCAGGAUCCUCAGUUAUCAAAACAGUCAUCAUCAUGUAUUCUUUUUUCAUGCAUUUCCAAUGCGGCAAAUUAUAUGGGAAUACGAAAAUCGGCCAAGUGCUGUGGUGUUGGUUUAGAACCCCAUACGGAUUGAAUCCGUCAGUGGCAAGUCCUAAUCUCACAUUUCGGGGAUCAGCAGCAAACUCGGGGAACGUUCGAUCGAACUAUUUUCAUGCCUCCCCAUCUGCAGGAUGCCGCAUUACAUCAUCGUCUACCCGUUUUUCCUUAUGCCAUCUCAUGUCUGUUGCAGUGUGCGUCGACAUAUACAAUCGCUGCAACCUAGGUUUCAGGGGCAGAUAACGCAUGACUUUUUGUGGGAUCUUAGUCGUUCUAUUCUGAGAUGUCAUUUUGAACCUCGACUCAUUGCAUAUAAGGCAUGUAUCCAACGUUUCGUGCUCCUUGUAGAAUAACAUGCAAUUAUUUUUGCAGGCAUGAAUUUUUUCAUAACCCAAUCCAAGACCAUUCAACACCUUCUGCGCGUGUUUAUGAUCUUUUGGCAAACAAUUGUCCGUCGGAAGCAUUCUCUUGAAAACCCCUAAAAAGUAAUCGAAACACAGGUUCGACAUACGAUACUUUAUUUUUCCGUGCAUUAGCUCUACAAUGGUCGUGAGAACGGAAAAGCUCUCGCACCCCGAGUAUAACUCUUGGUUUGCAUUUUUUAACAGUUUUUCAUAUUGUUCAAACUCCGCGCUGUCUAUUGGUGUUGGCACGUCAUCUUCCCUUUCGUGAUUGAUGUUGGUCGAUGCAAAUGGAAAAAUAUCCUCUAUAAUAUCCAUGACUUGAUCAUUAGGAUCCACAAUAUGUUCAACACUGUCCAUUCUUGUGGCAUUUGAAGACGAAGCAUAGUCUAAUUGUUCCCCAUGAAGGUUCCAAAUGCUAUAUGUCUCAAUCAUUCCAUUCCUUACUAAAUGAAAUCCAACAUUUUCAAUUGUCUCCCACAACGUGUUAUUACACCUCCUACAAGGACAUCGGAUUCUAGUUGCACCCGGGUUGUGUCUACGUGCAAACUCAAUAAAAUCCUCGAUUCCAUCCAAGUAUUCGUCUGAGCAUCUAUUUGGGUUCUAUAUCCACCUUCUGCUCAUAAUUCCUGAAACCAUAAUCACAACAUAACAAUCACAACAACUUCAUACGAAGUUAUAAUGUCACCUUAUGCCUCCGGUAAGGGCCCUAUCCCAUUCGGGAAUGCAUAGUUCUGUCACGUAACCUACGGCUACAUGAGAUUAGAUUUCGACAUGGAUGAAUUUCGGCAGCAUCUCGAUACAGUUCUUGAGGUGGGCAUAGGUAUUAAUACCUACGUACCACCCGAAGAACGUACCGAGAUGACACCGAAAUCUCCACAAUCGAAACCUAAUCCUGUAGCUGUGGAUUACGUGACAACACUAUGCAUUACCAAACUGUCCAAAUAGUGGGACAAUUCAAGAAUUAAUUGGACCGCAGUCAUGCUUUACGCAUCCAUGUACAAAAUCCAACUAAUCUCGAACGGGAAACUAAAUGUUACUAAACAUACAAAUAAAAGUACGAAGUUAAUUUCAAUUAACUUCGUACAUCACAACACAUUGUGCUACAUCACACACAAUUUAACAACAUAAUAUAAAUAUAACUUCAGAAAAAAAAAUGUACACAUAACAAA